rnacentral:lncRNA from 1 species
ACAGCAGUGAUUACGAACACAUACACAUGAACUGGUAACAAACUUGCACACAAUCUGACUAACAAAAAGAACACAAUACACGUGAACUGAUAAUCCGCACGGCUAAUGGCAGAGCUUUGUUGCACCUAGGUUCACCCGUUUACUGAUAGUAGAACUUCUCAGUUGUAUUAAUUCAGACUGAUGUUUAAAUUUUCACCAUUUUGUCCUACAUAUUAGAAUACUAAGAACAUAUAUUUACAGAAGAUCCUGCCAAUACAGAGUUACAGAAUAAAUUCUUUGUCCAAUGACAACGUAAGAGUCACGACCAGUAAUCACAAACAACACUAUCUCGACCGCCGGGCAUGUGUGUGCGGCAAGGGGAUGCAGAUACUCCGAUGAUAGAUGUGUUGAGACAACAAGCUCACGCAGGAGGCCUUGAACUGCUUGCCUGUUGCCAUUGAUGGCUAUGGAUCAUGCAAAAUCCUGACCAAAAGAUCACAUUAUUUUCACGAAACUAAUCUCUUGAACUUGCUCCACGACAAUCUUUGAACAUCCUACAAGAACAGUCAUUAUUUUAAAGUUCACAUGAAUACCUACAAGCCAUGAUCACAAACAUUCCCAAAACAUUCUUUUAAAGAGUUAUGCAGCAAUAAUUAGAACCAGAAAAAUAGGGUGAAACUAUGGCAUCUACACUACACAUCAUCUAGACUGUAGCAACAACUGUUUUGCAUGAUCAUUGGCAUUUGGAGUAGCAUACAACAACUAGACGGAGAAGGGAGAAAGAGUUGGACCGGUGUGAACCCCAUACCUGGACAGGGACCGGAGGAAGUAAUGCAUGGGGCGGCGGGGGCUGUCUGUAGUCCAACCUCCCCCGUGCCGCAGUUCAGAGAGAAACAAAUUAGUAAGAGAAAAGAGUAGUAGAGAGGAAAGAGAUAUGGCAGAUGCAUGGACAGCUGCUGUUCUUUUUUGUUGAAGCACAGAUGAAGAAACUCCCAUAGGUCGCAGCUGAAGAAUAACAGUGGCUUCAUAACAAGUUUAACAACACAACAUUUUAGCAGCAAGUACGUGCAGGUAGAGGUCAUCCCAUGGAUUGGAUGGAAACUCGAUGCAUGAGCUGACCAUAAACCAAGGAAAGAGCUAAAACUUUUUAAUAAAUCAUAUCUUUAAAUAUACUUGUGCGAAUCUCCCUUUCCAGAACCAACCACCUCAGACAAAUACAUGCACAAGCUUACCUUCAUUUUAACCAUGGUAUUUUUCAGCAAAAAAAUGGUGUGCAUUAGCUCCACAUAAACAUGCAACUUCCUGCUUUUUCCAUCUUUAUGCGCCAAAUGCAAUGUGCAUUAGUAGUACCAAGUGCCUCAGCAUGGUGCCCUGGUCAGGGACGAUGCCGCUGGCGACGCACCACGGACGUAGAUAUAGAUGGACAACAGCCAGGCAGAAUGUAGAUAGCUCGUCACUUUGGCAUCAUUGCAGCCGACAUCCUUGUGGCCGCGCACGAGAUCACUACAGCAUUAGCAUGGACUCGCUACAGCAUUAGCAUGUCCAUGUUGUUGAACUGAUGAGAUUUUUUUCAUUGCACUGUUGUAACAUAAGGACUAGAACAACUAUCAAUAUAAAUUGAUGUUUUUUGUAGGUUUCUGAGAAUUAUAAUUUUUGUUUUGUAAAUAUAUAAAAAAAUUAAAUAGGUGUACUGCACCAUUACAUAAGUUUGCAAUGAACAUGUCCAUUAUAAUUACUGUAGCUUUUAUUUGACAACAGAGAAGUUUUUUAAAAAUUUGAUGAUUGUUUGGGCUAGACAUACCAAAACAAACACUUUAGGAAAGAAGAGUCUGAACUUCUUGUGCAUUUUCCCAUUGAUCUUCACUGAACUAAAAUUAGAAUUUGAACUCCAGCUUUCUUUUAAUAGAACAUGGUAAAUCCAUGUUGUUUGUUUUUUAACCAGAAAACUAAGCAAGAUUGCUCGCUAAAGGCCACAUAUUUUUUCAUAUAGUAAGACAAGUGAAAGAUAAUAUAGAUAACGGCCCAUAGGAGAAAGAAUUAGCAAAACUGAAACAAAAACAUAUGUUACCAGAACUAAAAGCAAUGGUUUUUCAAACCUUUGGCUGAGAGCAUGGUGCUCUAAUAUGAUUUUGCAUGUAUCUAAAACUCCACGGGCGACCUGAACUGAUGCAUAACAGUAUGAGUGCAGAAUUCUUGUAAGCAUAAGAAAAUACAUAGAGUGCACAUAUAAUUUUUUAGGAUUUCCUCGAUGUUCUGCACAUUAAAGUUUAUGUAUUGAAAAUAACGCAAAAUUUGAACUAAAAAUCAAGUAAAAGUUGAACUCUUGUAUAGUUCAAGUAACUGUUUUGUAGUUAUAUGUGUUAACCAUGUGCUACACAAUGAACUGGUACAUUUUUUAUUAGCGAAUUGUAGUAAUAUAGGUACUAGAACUUCUAGCAGUAUAUAUACAUCAUGUCAAAAGCAAAUAAUAGGCAUGAUCUCCACAAGACCAUACACUCCAACCAGCCACAAUCAUGCAAACAUCCCACUCUCUCAUAUCUUCAGAACAUAAAUACUAGUCAUGCAUGAUCUCCACAAUACCGAUAAAUUGAGUUGUUUCAAUAACACAAAUUGAACUUUUUCUAUGAUUAUUUUUUAACUGAUGAUAAAAUACAUAGUGAACGGUACACUUAUUGUAUGAUUUCUUGCAAAACCAUGGAAGUAUACUCUGUUCACAUCCAUUCUGUGACUUUGUUUCUAGAGAGUGGAAGAAUUUAGGACAAUGCAAAUAUUUAUCUAUAAUUUGGCCAUUUUAGUGUGGUCUGAACUGAAAAAACCUGAUAAGUGAUUUUCCAAAGCCAUGAAAGGAGUUGGAGGAGGCAGCGAUGGGGAACAAAGGGUUCACGACGACGCAUUUGGGAGCUUGAGGUAUGGAGGCACAUGGGGGCUGGUGGGACGCUGCACCGGCAGCUCGCAGUGGUAGUGGUUGUCGCAUGGCUUCCCGGGGACGCGGCGACCAGGGAUAUUCUGGAACUCUUUCCUGAACAUCUUAGGUCAUAACACAUAUAUUUUUGUUAUCUUUUUUAUAUAGACAAAACUUCCAAGUUUUCUCUAAGACACUCGUUGAACUUUUAACUUCCUAAAAGUUGAACUAUGUAUGGAUUCAUUAAACUUCCAACCAAAAUCAGACGAGCAUCACAAAUGCUACAUCAACAGUUUAGAAUCAGUGAGAACACAAGUUUAGUAACAUUGUCAGUUUAGUAGUACACACAAGCAAACAUGGCUGAAUCAUCAAUUUAGAGAUGAGAUCUUUAUUGUGGCUUCCAUUUUGAUAGUAGUACAUCAGUUGUUUUAAGAAACAAGAAAUAUGAACAAAAAACAUGUCUAGCUCCUUGUCAGCAUUUCAACAAACAUGUGUAGAGGUAUAUAAAAGAAAUUGAAUUAACAACAAUAUAUCAUAUGAACUUGUGGGAGCACAUUUUAUUUUUUCACUGCAUUUUUUCCACAACUUGUUGCAACAAAGCACCAUCUUUUGAGAGCAUAAUGGUUUGCAGAAUCAUGGCAGCUGGGACUAAAUUGUACUGCUGUGAAUCAAAACUUCAGAGACAACUAAACUGUACUGCUAUGCAAUCAAAAUUUCAGCUGCAAGCUAGCAAGGAUACGUGAUUCCAGAAAUGUCCCCCUACAUGUACUAGGAACUUUCAGAACCUGUACUGACAAUGAACUAUGGAUCAACGGCUAGAGGCGGAGGAGCUCCACCCGAGUGAGUCUCACAGCCCCACCACGUCGGCCAGAUUCACACCGUUCGACCCGCAGGAGGAAAAAGGUGGAGGCGGCUACAGGAGCUGGCAGAGGAUGGCGGUUGGCGGCGCCGGGAGCCGGAGAGGUUGGGGACUAGGCGUCAUGGGGAUCCGGGGAGAUGCGGGCAUGCGGCGCCGGGAUCCAGGGAGGAGGUAGGGGCAGGGUGGCGCCUGGAUCCGAGGAGGUUGGAGGUUGGGGGCCGGGCGGCGCCAGGAUGGGUCUGGGGUUCUUAGAAAAUCUUGGCAUGCUUUUACCAUGAGGCACCUUCUCCCUGACGUUGAAUAGAAGAAUGUAGAUAAAGAAACAAUUCAAUUUGUUUCUAAAAAAAGAAUUGAACUGAACAAAAAUUAGAUAUUGAACUAAACUAAAAUAAAAACUAGACUAAAUUAAAAUAAGAAAUGAAACUUCACUAGAAUUUGAAAUUGAACUGAAAUAAAAUAUUAACUUUUCUUGCAUAUCCUGACUUGAACUUUUCUCCUAGUGAAUUUUUUGUUAAUAUUUGUUGUGUUCUUUAUUUUCUACGCUCUUGCCUCUGAACUUUCUCGUAGUGCAAAAUUUGUAUGCCACGAUUAAAACAAACAGAGGUAUACGUGAGCAUUGUAGCAGCGGAGAUCUGAACUUAUGUGCUUAUCACAUUUGAGCUUCAAUAACCUUUUUCAUAGAUCCAAAAAAAAUACAACCACAUGGACCAACACAUUUGGAGGGAGAAACUAUAGACGUACAUCAUGGGGUAGCAAAUAAUAUGAACUCCAGGCACAACAUUUUUUAACUUCUUUUUGUAUCUUGCAAACUGAAAAUAAGAAGCAAAUUAGAACACAAAGUAAGAAGAAAGCAGAGCACUAGUGCUUGUGUGGCAUGGAUCUGUCAACCCUUUUGCAUCCUAGCUCCAGCCAGCAUGAGCUAGCACCUCCUGGGUCGAGCUACAGUAGUGCAACACAACGUAUCAGAGAGAUAAAAAGGUGAGUAGAAGCAUGUAUAGGAAGGGGAGAAAGCAACUACAACACACGAGCAUCCACCGACAGAGAGAGAGAGAGAGAGAUGCAGCAAUGGCUGGACAUGCGCAUUCUCAAUGGACGGAUGGUAGCCUGCUUUGUUGGGCAAAGACGGUGUCCCUCACUGUCAGGCACCAGCGACGGGGCGCGACAGUGCUCGGGGGUCCCAGAGCAACGCGAUGUGGGUUGGCGGUCUAGGCAUCGGGGUGGCGACCGUGACGACUGUACUAACAGACUGAAUAAGAAGUUAAGAACUGGAGUGUCGGUGUCAAAACCGGCGGAUCUCGGGUAGGGGGUCCCGAACUGUGUGUCUAAGGCGGAUGGUAACAGGAGGCAGGGGACACGAUGUUUACCCAGGUUCGGGCCCUCUUGAUGGAGGUAAUACCCUACGUCCUGCUUGAUUGUUCUUGAUGAUAUGAGUAUUACAAGAGUUGAUCUACCACGAGAUCAAAGAGGCUAAACCCUAGAAGCUAGCCUAUGGUAUGAUUGUAUGUUGUCCUACAGACUAAAACCCUCCGGUUUAUAUAGACAUCGGAGGGGGUUAGGGUUACACAAGGUCGGUUACAAAGGAGGAGAUAUACAUAUCCGUAUUGCCUAGCUUGCCUUCCACGCCAAGUAGAGUCCUAUCCUGACACGGGACGUAGUCUUCAAUCUUGUAUCUUCAUAGUCCAACAGUCCGACCAAAGGAUAUAGUCCGGCUGUCCGGAGACCCCCUAAUCCAGGACUCCCUCGGGGAGCAAAGACCUUUGGAAACAUAUUUACAAUUUUACAUUAUAUGAUAAAAAACAAACUUAAUAUACCAUGCUAAAAAUUCAAAAUCUUCAGAGUUGAGUGCCUAUAACUGAACGUACAUCCCAUUUUUCUUGCAACGGAGUACCACAAUACUAACUUGUGGCCUGACUGUAAUCAAAUAGAACUCAUGGACUAUGCCCUUGCAACCACCUAAACAAGCCCCAGGGUAGCAAUGCGAUCCAACAGCUCGUUUAAGGAUGAGACAUCCGCCGGGUCCAUUUUUUCGGAGUAUUCAAGGCCGAUGCGGAGGUGAUGUUUGGCUGGCACGGGGGGCGUCGUCGGCUCGACAGCCGUGCGGGUGCCCACGGUGAAACCGCCAAGCUGGAGAGCCUGUCCCGAAGUUAGGCUCCUUCUAGAAGUGAUAUCAUUGUUGAUGACAAGGCAAGUCAUCGAUCCUUCUAUUGACAACACAAUGGAACUCUCAAUGAAAGCACCAAUGUCGGUGUCAAAACCGGCAGAUCUCGGGUAGGGGGUCCCAAACUGUGUGUCUGAGGAUUGAUGGUAACAAGGGACAAGUGGGACACAAUGUUUACCCAGGUUCGGGCCCUCUUAAUGGAGGUAAAACCCUACGUCUUGCUUGAUUGUAUUCGAUGAGUAUAGGGGUUACAAGUGUUGAUCUACCUCGAGAUCGUAAUGGCUAAAUCCUAGAUGUCUAGCCUAUGAGAAUUCUGAUAGUCUUUAAGGACUAAAUCCUCCAGUUUAUAUACACACUGGAGGGGCCUAGGGUUAUACAAAGUCGGUUUGUGGGGGAAGGUAAUAACAUAUCCGGACACCAAUCUUGUCGUCCACGCAUAUAGGAGUCCAACCCGGACAUGGGGGAAAGUCUUCUGCUUGUAUCUUCAUGGCCCAUUAGUCCGGCCCAUAUCAAAUAGCCCAGACACCCGAGGACCCCCUGAUCCAGGACUCCCUAAGCGGUGUACUAGACCGGCGAGCCUUUUAUUUUGGCAAAUCAAGCAACACAGAUAUUUUUCUUGGAAGACACAUAUGCACAUAGCGAUGACUUGAGAGUAUUCCAAAGGUUUGAGCAGAGGAAUUCGUUUAAUGAAUUUGCAUAACAAGAUGAUGCUUACACUGCUCCUGAUGUAGAAGAUUCCACAUAUGUUCCUAAUAUCUAUGAGAACCAUCACGUCAAUGACGCUCGGAAAGAUUGCAUGUCGGGCUGUGGACAUACAAGAGUUGCUCAAUAAGACUCCAACGUUUGAGGACAUUGAGGAUGAAGAAUAAGAUGACACUAUUUUGAAUUACAAUUCAGACUGAUACACAUGGGAAAGAUGUUGACGCUGCUGUUGCGGAUGAUGAUUAGAUUGCUUUUGUCGUAUUUGACUGUCAGAAGACGACUUUUUAUCUACUAUGUGAAAUCGUGUUUGCUAUGACAAUUGAAACCUGAUGAAGUUGUUGAGUAUUUUGUUGCGAGAACAUCACUUAUUGUGUAUGUUGAUUUGUGUUUGGUGAUUGUAUGACGACUAAAACAUGAUGACAUUGUUGUUUAGUUGUACUCAUAUUUGGCUAUGAAACUUGUAUUUGAUGACAUAGUUUGCUGUUGGACUGCAAUUUGCUCUAUGUCUUCAAAUGGGAACGAAGCUGACCUGACAGGGCCUCUGCUAAUUUAUUGAUUAGCAAAAGGGCCUCUGCUAUUUAUUUAUUUAGAAGAAAAAGGUGAUAACCCCCGAUUUCUGUUAAUAGAAAUAAUUAGAUGUUCACAACACUACACCCAGCCUGCUAAAUAGGUUUCAUUCAUUACUAGUUUUAGCAAAGUGAUCAUGUCAUAGCCACUGAAUACAUCAUGAGUGCUACAUACACUGCAAAUAAAGAGACAAUCAUCCUACAGAGCACAUUGAUUUUGCCCAUUAUCUUCACAAGCUCUUUCAUCUCCUCAUUGUUGUCAAGGUCGUUCAUCAAUUGUUGCUUGGCCAUGAUCAUAGGAACUGCAUCUUUAUCCUUCUGCUUUGUAGAUUCCUCUUCUGCUGUCCGUUCAGUUACUUGUCCAACACCCCAACCUGCUGGUAUUGGGAUUCCUCGGCUAACCAAAUAAUCAGCGUAGUUCCAUUCCCCCACAUCAGCAACUUCCCAAAAAUAAAAAUCACACGAAUAUUCCCUUUUCUGCAUGAAUCAAAUUGGAAGAUCAUCAACCAAACUAUUAAAAAAAUAGCAACUGAAAGCAGCCGAACAACACUUCAACAUAUUAUUACCCCAUGAUUCGGGCAUUUGUAGAAGACUCGACCAGGGUUGAGGAUUGUGGUUGAGACGCGAUGGAUGACUCUCCGUGAUUUGCAGCGGUGGCACCACACCAACGACAGCGGGUUGUGAUGAGCAACCGGCUGGGUGCGUGUGCCGGUGGGGGGUGUGAUGAGACACACAGGCGAUGGUACGGGUGGCGACUUAGUGCAUAUCUGGUUUUUGCCUGCUGAAGAGCAGGUGGACGAGCCGCCAACGGACAUGGUUGUUGCGGCCAGAGCUUUUGAUGCUAGGCAGAGUAAGUAGAGAAGAGGAGAAGCGAAUAUUGGAUAUGUUAGUUUCAUUACAUGCAUAGUAGCAUAGCACCAUAUAUAGUCAUAGUCUAGGUUUGGAUUUGAACCAGCUACAGGAGCAUGUCUCUCUUUUUUCUAAAACUCAGCAAUGUCUCUUUACUAGUACACUAGCUUGUUUUGUACGCCUUCUCAAGUCUUUGAUUUUCUUUUUUCUUUUUGCGAGGAAGGAAAGAGGAGAAAAUUGAGGGUUCCUGGGACUUGAACCCAAGACCUCUCGGUUGAAAACCAAGGGUGCUAGUCACUUAUGUGGUGAACGUUCCCUAGGAGGAGGACGGCAAUCGAUGCAUUUUCCUGGCAAUUUUAGUUGCGACGCAAGAUCAAACGGUCGCAGUUUCUGGAAUGUUAUCUGGCGAAUGAGCCCAGUUUUUCUUUUCUUCCUAUAAAAAGUAUGCUACAUGGUGUCGGCUUAGUCAAAAAAUGAUUGUGCCAACCUUGACCGUUGGAUAGACAUUCAAUGUCUAUCGUGUUUCUUCAGUCUCUUAUUCCUCCAUCCGCCAAAGCCAAACCAGCGCCGGCGGGACCACCUGCUCCCGCCUCCCACGACUGGCUGUGUUGCCACGCACGCAUCGUGGCCACAUCGCACCCUAAAACUUUGUGCAUCUUCCCUGGCUACUGUUCCUCCCAUGACUGGCUGUGUUUGCUCAUCGCGGCGCCGCCCUCUCGUGUUGUCAAGAUGAUCAACAACCGAGAGGAAUAAGGAGAUGAUUGUACAUGGUGAGGAUGACAAUAGGGACCCAGCAGGAUCAUGGCAGUAGGCAAGCAAGUGCCUCCUUUAUUACAGUAAAAAAAGGGUUCCUCCUGAUGGUUUCCUGACAUCUGGGUCGCACGCUACUGUCAACAUAGUCAAUAAGCGAGAUAACUGCACAAGGAGCGGCAGACACCCAGGACCCAACAGCGCAUGCAGUAUUUUUUUGUUUUCAGGACGGAGAAGGGUAUCAACUAGGUUGUGCAGGAGCUAUGGCUUGUCUAGCCCAUGCUUUUAUUUCAUAUGUUUACCACAUGACCAGCCCAUUUUUUCCUUCCUGAAAAUGGCUAGCUCAGCUAUUUUGUUUUUUGCAGAAUAACCAAUGUAGGCCUACUUGCUUUUCUAUGCCCUACUGGGCCGAAAAUCUUUCAAGACGAGGAGGGAUGCAUUCGGGCUUGCCAAGAAAAUGGGCUAUAAGUAAUAAGAAAUGGGCUGCAAAAUGAAAAAAUACAGCAAACAGACAAUUAGUUCCAAAAUACUUUUUUCUUUCAGAUUUUGAUAUUUUAAAUUUCAUUGUUUUUGUGCAGGUAAAAUUUCAUUGGAUUGAAAUUAUGGUAUGUUUAAUUUUAAAAUUAAUUUGAAUCUGGCUAAAAAAAAUCGGACUGUAUGCUUCUUGGGACAGAUUUGGAGGCUGACUUGUGGGUCUACUAGGUUGACGUGUAUGAAAGGCUUUGUCAACUUAGUCCACAAAUGAUUCUAGCAGUAGUGAUCGUUGGAUGUUAAUCCAACGGCCAUGCUGCUUCUUCAAUAUCUGAUCUUCUUGCUCCAUCUGCCCAAACCAGUGAUGAUGGUACUGCUUGCUCCCGCCUCCCGUGGCUAGCUGUGCUGCCGCACAGGCCGCACCACCCCACCCUACUCCAUCGCUGGCCAAGCCAUUCCUCUACUCACCCACACCUCAUGUUAUUUUCCGGCGACGGCAGCCGAACCAGUAAACCCUCAUACUCCCCACCGUGUGGGCAACCACUGCUGAGUCUUCCCCAGCUCCGGGUCGUUCCCUUCCUAGGCCUCGCCGUUGUCCACCGCCCUGGUGCUAUCGGCGUGGUGACCGUGGUCAACGAAUGACAUCCAUCGGAAGAGGACUAUACAUAGAGAGGCUAACAGGUGGGUCCACGGCCAUACGCAAGUAAGUGCCUCAUUAUUAUGUGCAAAAUAAUGAUUCCUCCAUCUGACAGCGAGGACCCACCGAAAGGGCAUCGGUAUUUCGCGAAAAAAACAUUCCUCCUGCUGACAGCUCGGAGCCACCAACUAUAUCUUCACACGCAAAGAAGUGCCUCCUUAUUAUGCACAAAAAAGAAUACUCCCCCUGCUAGCUGGGACCCACCUUAUUUGGAGGCUGACAUCUGGGCCUACUAAGUUGACGGGGAUGCAUGAUUUGUCAACUUAGUUAAUAUAAACGAUUCUAGUUGCAGCGACCGUACAAUGUCCAUCCAACGCCCGUCGUGCUUCUUCAACCUCUGGUCUAUUUGCUCCAGCCGCCCAAACCAUCACCGGCCGUGCCACCUGCUCAUGUGUCUCGUGGCCGGCUAUGCUGCCGCGCAGGCCUCACCGCCCCACCCUACUACCAUUGCUAGCCUAGCCAUCCCUGUACUCAUUGAGACCUCCUCUUAUUCUCCGGCGACAGUAGCCUCACACCGCAACCGAAGCAGUAAACCCUCAUACUCCCCUCCGUGUGGGAAACAACUGCCGAGUCUUUCCCGGCUCCUAGUCAUUCCCUUCCUAGACCUCGUCCUUGCCCCAGCCUUGGUGCUCUUGAUGCAGCAUGGUCAACAUGGUCAAGGAACGACUUCCAUCAGAAGAGGUCUGUAUGUGGAGAGGCUGAUAGCUAGGUCCACGGCCGCAGCAAGGAAGUGCCUCCUUAUUACAUGCAAAAUAAUGAUUCCUCCACCUGACAGUGGGGACCCACCGGAAGGGCCACCGUAUUUUGCGAAAAAACAUGCCCCCUGACAGCUGGGACCACUAGCUACAUCUUCGCACGCAAGGAAGUGCGUCCAUACUACGGGAAAAAUGAUUUUUCCCUUGACAGCUAGGACCCACCAGUUAUAUCUUCGCACGCAAGGAAGUGCGUUCUUAUCCUCCCUCCCAACUAGGACCCACCUGAUCAAAGCAUAUGUAGUGUUCUCGCGAAUGUGUACGUACAUACUGGUCGACCAGUCUCUCUGCAGCGAUGAACUAUGGCCGAGUAAGGAGCGACGUGUGUCGUAGUAGAGGCGCACACAUGGCAUGUCACGCAGUCCCGUAUAUAUCGUGUACACACACAUGCAUAGCUUCUACCUCUUGAGCAUGCAUUGGUUUUCCCUUGAAGAGGAAAGGGUGAUGCAGCAAAGUAGCGUAAGUAUUUCCCUCAGCUUUUGAGAACCAAGGUAUCAACCCAGUAGGAGACUACACGCAAGUCGCCUAGUACCGGCACAAACAAACAAGAACCUCGCAACCAACGUGAUAAAGGGGUUGUCAAUCCCUUCACGGUCACUUAUGAGAGUGAGAUCUGAUAGAGAUAAUAAGAUAAAUAUUUUUGGUAUUUUUAUGAUAUAGGAUGAAAGUAAAGAUUGCAAAGUAAAUGACGAUAGAAAUGGCUAGUUGUUGGGAGAAUAAUAUAAUGGAAAAUAGACCCGGGGGCCAUAGGUUUCACUAGUAGCUUCUCUCAAGAUAGCAUAAUCUACGGUGGGUGAACAAAUUACUGUUGAGCAAUUGAUAGAAAAGUGAAUACUUAUGAGAAUAUCUAGGCAUGAUCAUGUAUAUAGGCAUCACGUCCGUGACAAGUAGACCGAAACGAUUCUGCAUCUACUACUAUUACUCCACACAUCGACCGCUAUCCAGCAUGCAUCUAGAGUAUUAAGUUCAUAAGAACAGAGUAACGCAUUAGGCAAGAUGACAUGAUGUAGAGGGAUAAACUCAAGCAAUAUGAUAUAAACCCCAUCUUUUUAUCCUCGAUGGCAACAAUACAAUACGUGCCUUGCUGCCCCUACUGUCACUGGGAAAGGACACCACAAGAUUGAACCCAAAGCUAAGCACUUCUCCCAUUGCAAGAAAGAUCAAUCUAGUAGGCCAAACCAAACUGAUGAUUCAAAGAGACUUGCAAAGAUAUUUAAAUCAUGCAUAAAAGAAUUAAGAGAACAACCAAAUGUUGUCCAUAGAUAAUCUUGGUCAUAAAGCCACAAUUCAUUGGAUCUCGACAAACACAUCGCAAAAAGAAUUACAUCGAAUAGAUCUCCAAGAGAAUCGAGGAGAACUUUGUUUGAGAUCCAAAGAGAGAGAAGAAGCCAUCUAGAUAAUAACUAUGGACCCGAAGGCCUAUGGUAAACUACUCAGACAUCAUCGGAGAGGCUAUGGUAUUGAUGUAGAAGCCCUCCAUGAUCGAUUCCCCCUCCGGCGGAGCUCCAGAAAAGGCCCCAAGAUGGGAUCUCACGAGUACAGAAGGUUGCGGUGGUGUAAAUAGGGUUUCGUGAUGCUCUCAGAUGUUUUCAGGGUAUAUGGGUAUAUAUAUAUAGGAGGAAGUAGGUCGGUGGAGCUGCGAGGGGCCCACGAGGGUGCGUGCAUGCCCUCCUGCCUCGUGGCCUCCUCGCUUCUUUCUUGACGUCCACUCCAAGUCUGUUGGAUCACGUUUGUCUCAAAAAUGAUCCUCGCAAAGGUUUCAUUCCGCUUGGAUUCCAUUUGAUAUUCCUUCUAUGCGAAACACUGAAAUAGGCAAAAAACAACAAUUUGCACUGGGCCUUUGAUUAAUAGGUUAGUCCCAAAAAUAAUAUAAAAGUGCAUAAUAAAGCCCAUUAAACAUCCAAAACAAAUAAUAUAAUAGCAUGGAACAAUAAAAAAUUAUAGAUACGUUGGAGACGUAUGAAGUAUCCCCAAGCUUAAUUCCUGCUCGUCCUCGAGUAGGUAAAUGAUAAAAACAGAAUUUUUGAUGUGGAAUGCUUCCUAACAUAAUUCUCAAAGUUCGGAUAUGAAAGAUUCAAGAUAAAAGUUUAAUAUUGAAGUAAAAAUAACAAUACUUCAAGCAUACUAACUAAGCAAUUAUGUCUUCUCAAAAUAACAUGGCCAAAGAAAGUUAUCCCUACAAAAUCAUAUAGUCUGGCUAUGCUCUAUCUUCACCACCCAAAAUAUUUAAAUCAUGCACAACCUUGAUGACAAGCCAAGAAAUUGUUUCAUACUUUUGACGUUCUCAAACUUUUUCAAUCUUCAUGCAAUACAUGAGCGUGAGCCAUGGAUAUAGCACUAUAGGUGGAAUAGAAUGGUGGUUGUGGAGAAGACAAAAAGGAGAAGAUAGUCUCACAUCAACUAGGCGUAUCAAUAGGCUAUGGAGAUGCCCAUCAAUAGAUAUCAAUGUGAGUGAGUAGGGAUUGCCAUGCAACGGAUGCACUAGAGCUAUAAGUGUAUGAAAGCUCAAAAAGAAACUAAGUGGGUGUGCAUCCAACUUGCUUGCUCACGAAGACCUAGGGCAUUUUGAGGAAGCCCAUCAUUGGAAUAUACAAGCCAAGUUCUAUAAUGAAAAAUUCCCACUAGUAUAUGAAAGUGACAACAUAGGAGACUCUCUAUCAUGAAGAUGAUGGUGCUACUUUGAAGCACAAGUGUGGUAAAAGGUUAGUAGCAUUGUCCCUUCUCUCUUUUUCUCUCCUUUUUUAUUUUUUUAUUUGAGCCUUUCUAUCUUUUUUAUGGCCUCUUUUUUCUUUUUUUUCUUCGUCCGGAGUCUCAUCCCGACUUGUGGGGGAAUCAUAGUCUCCAUCAUCCUUUCCUCACUGGGACAAUGCUCUAAUAAUGAUGAUCAUCACACUUUUAUUUACUUACAACUCUAUACUAGAACGAAAAUUACUCUAUGUGAAUGCCUCCAGCGGUGUACCGGGAUGUGCGAUGAAUCAAGAGUGACAUGUAUGAAAAAAUUAUGAACGGUGGCUUUGCCACAAAUACGAUGUCAACUACAUGAUCAUGCAAGGCAAUAUGACAAUGAUGAAGCGUGUCAUAAUAAACGGAGCGGUGGAAAGUUGCAUGGCAAUAUAUCUCAGAAUGCUAUGGAAAUGCCAUAAUAGGUAGCUAUGGUGGCUGUUUUGAGGAAGAUAUAUAUGGUGGGUUUAUGGUACCGGUUAAAGUUGCGCGGUACUAGAGAGGCUAGCAAUGGUGGAAGGGUGAGUGUGCGUAUAAUCCAUGGACUCAACAUUAGUCAUAAAGAACUCACAUACUUAUUAUAAAAAUCUAUUAGUUAUCGAAAGAAAGUACUACGCGCAUGCUCCUAGGGGGAUAGAUUGGUAGGAAAAGACCAUCGCUCGUCCCCGACCGCCACUCAUAAGGAGGACAAUCAAUAAAUAAAUCAUGCUCCGACUUCAUCACAUAACGUUUCACCAUACGUGCAUGCUACGGGAAUCACAAACUUGAACACAAGUAUCUCACAAAUUCAUAACUACUCAACUAGCAUGACUCUAAUAUUACCAUCUUCAUAUCUCAAAACAAUCAUCAAGUAUCAAACUUCUCAUAGUAUUCAAUGCACUUUAUAUGAAAGUUUUUAUUAUACCCAUCUUGGAUGCCUAUCAUAUUAGGACUAAUUUUAUAGCCAAAGAAAAUUACCAUGUUGUUCUAAAAGACUCUCAAAAUGAUUUAAGUGAAGCAUGAGAGAUCAAUAAUUUCAAUAAAAUAAAACCACCACCGUGCUCUUAAAAAGAUAUAAGUGAAGCACUAGAGCAAAAUUAUCUAGCUCAAAAGAUAUAAGUGAAGCACAUAGAAUAUUCUAAUAAAUUCUGAUUCAUGUGUGUCUCUCCCAAAAGGUGUGUACAGCAAGGAUUAUUGUGGUACUAAAAAGCAAAGAGUCAAAUCAUACAAGACGCUCCAAGCAAAACACAUAUCAUGUGGUGAAUAAAAAUAUAGCCUCAAGUAAAAUUACCGAUGGACAAAGAUGAAAGAGGGGAUGCCUUCCGGGGCAUCCCCAAGCUUAGGAUUUUAGUUGUCCUUGCAUUUUACCUUGGGGUUCCUUGGGCAUCCCCAAGAUUAGGCUCUUACCACUCCUUAUUCCAAAAUCCAUCAAACUUUACCCAAAAACUUGAAAACUUCACAACACAAACAGAAAAUCUCAUGACCUCCGUUAGUAUAAGAAAACAAACCAUCAAUUCAAGGUACUGUAAUGAACUCAUUCUUUAUUUAUAUUGGUGUUAAACCUAAUGUAUUCUAACUUCUCUAUGGUUCAUACCCCCCGAUACUAGCCAUAGAUUCAUCAAAAUAACCAAACAACACGCGAAAAACAAAAUCUGUCAAAAACAGAACAGUCUGUAGUAAUCUGUAGGUUUCGAAUACUUCUGUAACUGCAAAACUCCUACCAAAUUUGGACGACCUAAAUAAUUUGUAUAUUGAUUUACUGCAAUUGGAAUCAGUAUUUUAUCAUUCUCAGGUUAAAAAUGAAAAUUAUUCUCGUGAGCGCAUACUGCCUGUUUUUUUCAGCAAGAUCAAACAACAAUCAUCCAAUAAGAUCCUAAAGGCUUUACUUGGCACAAACACCAAUUAAAGCAUAAAAUACACUAUCAUCAAAGAGGAUAGAUGAUUUAUUUCGUACUAAAUAUGAACAAAAAGCAAGAAAUAAAAAUAAAAUUGGGUUGCUUCCCAACAAGCGCUAUCGUUUAACGCCCCUAGCUAGGCAUAAAAAGAAGAAUAGAUCUAGGUAUUAUCAUCUUUGGUUGGCAAUUCUUCAAUUGAACACUUAUAAUCCUUAGGAAUUUCCUUAUUUUUAUUAAUGAUCAAACACCUAGGCAAGAAAUCAAUAAAUUCAUUUGUAGCAAAAGGUUCCUUAAUGAUAGUGAAAAAGUUGGGAUGAACACUUAUUGAUUUGUGAUCCACAUUUUCUUUACUAGAAAAUUCAACCUUAUUUCUAGGAACAUACAUAAACUUGGAAACUUUAGUAGUAGGAGGAUUUGGGGUAUUUUUCACGGAAGAAAUGGCAGAUCCUAAGUUUGCUAUAAUAUCCUCAAGUUUAUCAAUUCUUGUGGAAUCUUGAUCUAUCUUUUCGUUAACUAUGGGUUCCUUUUCUUUAAAAAAUUUAAGAGCAACUCCUACAUUAGAUCUGUAUUGGGUAAUUUGGUUGUGGAUUCUUUUAUCCAAAUUUUCAAUCAAUUCUACAGUGGCAACUUUAUUUUCAAUAAUUUCAAGCCUAUGCAGCACAUGUUCCAAAGUUAAAAUAGUUCCAUUAACCAAAAGAGGUGGUGGGCCAAAAAAAUCUAACAUAGCAUUAUAAGAAUCAAAAGUAUGGCUGCCCAAGAAAUUCGCUCCGGUAAUGGUAUCAAGAAUACAUCUGUUCCAAGGAGUGAUGCCUACAUAAAAAUUGCGAAGAAAAACGGAAGUAGAUUGCUUCUUAAUAGAUCUAUUCUGAGCAUUGCAAAUUCUAUGCCAAGCAUCUUUUAGAUUUUCUCCCUCCCUUUGUUUAAAAUUAAGAACUUCAUGAUCGGGAGUACUAACAAUGAUAGAAGGACUAGCCAUGACGAUGAAACAAACGAUCUAUCACAUGGACACACAAGAAGCAAGCGGAAAGAGACGGGCGGAAAAAGAGGGGUGAAUAGAAAAGAGGCGAAUAAAACAGCAAGGGUGAAGUGGGGGAGAGGAAAACGAGAGGCAAAUGGCAAAUAAUGUAAUGCAAGGGAGAAGAGUUUGUGAUGGGUACUUGGUAUGUCUAGACUUGUGUGUAUAUCUCCCCGACAACGGCGCCAGCAAUCCUUCUUGCUACCUCUUGAGCAUGCGUUGGUUUUACCUUGAAGAGGAAAGGGUGAUGCAGCAACCUAGCGUGAGUAUUUCCCUCGGUUUUUUAGAACCAAGGUAUCAAUCCAGUAGGAGACUACACGCAAGUCACCUAGUACCUGCACAAACAAACAAGAACCUCGCAACCAACGCGAUAAAGGGGUCGUCAAUCUCUUCAAGGUCACUUACGAGAGUGAGAUCUGAUAGAGAUAAUAAGAUAAAUAUUUUUGUGGUAUAGAUUGGAAAAUAAAGAUUGCAAAAUAAAUGGCGACAUAAAUGGCUAGUUGUUGGGAGAAUAAUAUAAUGGAAAAUAGACCCGGGGGCCAUAGGUUUCACUAGUGGCUUCUCUCAAGAUAGCAUAAUCUAUGGUGGGUGAACAAAUUACUAUUGAGCAAUUGAUAGAAAAGCGAAUAGUUAUGAGAAUAUCUAGGCAUGAUCAUGUAUAUAGGCAUCACGUCCGUGACAAGUAGACCAAAACGAUUCUGCAUCUACUACUAUUACUCCACACAUCGACCGCUAUCCAGCAUGCAUCUAGAGUAUUAAGUUCGUAAGAACAGAGUUACGCAUUAGGCAAGAUGACAUGAUGUAGAGGGAUAAACUCAAGCAAUAUGAUAUAAACCCCAUCUUUUUAUCCUCGAUGGCAACAAGACAAUACGUGCCUUGCUGCCCCUGCUAUCACUGGGAAAGGACACCGCAAGAUUGAACCCAAAGCUAAGCACUUCUCCCAUUGCAAGAAAGAACAAUCUAGUAGGACAAACCAAACUGAUAAUUCGAAGAGACUUGCAAGGAUAUUUAAAUCAUGCAUAAAAGAAUUCAGAGAAGAACCAAAAAUUUUCAUAGAUAAUCUUGGUCAUAAAGCCACAAUUCAUCAGAUCACGACAAACACAUCGCAAAAAUAAUUUCAUCGAAUAUAUCUCCAAGAGAAUCGAGGAGAACUUUGUAUUGAGAUCCAAAGAGAGAGAUUAAGCCAUCUAGCUAAUAACUAUGCACCCGAAGGUCUGUGGUAAACUACUCACACAUCAUCGGAGAGGCUAUGGUGUUGAUGUAGAAGCCCUCCAUGAUCGAUUCCCCCUCCGGCGGAGUGCCAGAAAAGGCCCCAAGAUGGGAUCUCAUGGGUACAGAAGGUUGCGGUGGUGGAAAUAGGGUUUCGUGUUGCUCCCGGAUGUUUCCAGGGUAUAUGGGUAUAUAUAGGAGGAAGAAGUAGGUCGGUGGAGCUGCAAGGGGCCCAAGAGGGUGGGGGCGCGCCCUCCUGCCUCGUGGCCUCCUCGCUUCUUUCUUGACGUCCACUCCAAGUCUCCUGGAUCACGUUUGUCCCAAAAACAAUCCUCGUGAAGGUGUCAUUCCUGGAUUCCGUUUGAUAUUCCUUUUCUGCGAAACACUGAAAUAGGCAAAAAAACAGCAAUUUGCAUUGGGCCUUUGGUUAAUAGGUUAGUCCCAAAAAUAAUAUAAAAGUGCAUAAUAAAGCCCAUUAAACAUCCAAAAUAGAUAAUAUAAUAGCAUAACAAUCAAAAAUUAUAGAUACGUUGGAGACGUAUCAAUAGCCACGCUGCAAGAAAGUAAAUACGGCUACAUACGUACAUACAGGUAGGGUCUCGAACAUGUACAAAGAUGUCAUCCUGAUCAUCGGCAGCCAACCGGCUGGGUCGCAACAGAGGAAACAUCGUUGUGUUCAUCGGGAGGAAACAAAAUACGUCAUGUUCAUCGGGAGCCAACCGGCUUGGACGGAACAGCCGAAACAAGUUCUGGCGUACCGCAAAACGGAGGAAACGGGCCUUUUGUUCGACCACGUACGGUCGAAACAGGGUCAUGUUCAUCGGGAAGGGUCAGGCGUACUGCAAAACAAAGCAAAUGGACUUGUGUUCGAGUGCCUACGGUCGAAACGGCGGCCUGUUGAUCGGGAGGGGUCUGGCGUACCACAAAACAAAGGAAAUAAACUUGUGUUGGAGCGCCUAUGGUCGAAACGGGUCCUGUUCAUCCACCGACUACUGCCUUGCUCUAGCCUCCACGGGCUACUGUUCAUCCACAGUAAACCUCCUCCAGCCUCAAGCGGCUACUGUUCAUAGAACCUCCACGGGGUCAUGUUCAUCCAACCCCAACCGGCUGGGGUACGACAGCCUCCUUCGGGUCCUGUUCAUCCAGUGGCAACAACCUACUACCAUAGGGUCCUGUCAUCCGACCCCCACUGGGAACUGUUCAUCCACAGCCAACCAACCGGCUAGACUCACCAUGUCUCGACUCAUUCUACGUACCACACACACGGUAGAAAUGGUCAUUGUUCAUCGAGAGGCAACCAACACUGGUUGGCUAGCUACGUCUCGCAUAGGGCCUCGACCGGCUUUAGUGUAAGCAACGGCAAUGAUCGAUCGCUCGGUUCAGUUAGCAGCAACAGCGAAGGAAUCGCUCAGGUUCAGUCAGCAGCGAAUGAAUCGCUCGGGUUCAGUUAACAUCAAAGGGAUUGAUCGCUUGGGUUUAGUAACAUAGCUAGCAGUGUGGUCGCGCAGGUUCAGUUAGAGCCCAAUGCCUCCAACACAUAUGCGUACACGAGAGAAAUGCGCAAACCACAGUGCAUCACUCGGCCCCGACCACCCACCAUAACCGUGAACUCCCCAAUAUUUUCCUCGCCCUUGCUUCUACCACGAUUUUUUCCAUCAUGGACGGCCCAAAGAAUGUCAUGCAUCUGCAUCUCUGGCCCGCCCAGGAUGAAAAGCCCAUUUUCUAUCAUGAUUUUUUAUCAUAGAAGUGGGAGCCCACCACAUCUAUGAUGAUACAUGUUUUUGUCACAAUUAUCGUCAUAGAAGUUUCAUGAGCAUGACAGAAAAAAUUUCGUUCAGGCCAAAAUGUCACAGAUGUGUCUUUUUUUGUAGUGCAUCCCAAGGCUUAUGGCUUUGCAUAUAACUAGAAUCAUGGUUAUUCAAAGAAUUCAUACUAGCAACAUUGCAAUCACGCUCAUCAUUCAAAUAUUUAGUGCCAAACAUUUUAUUGACUUCUUCCUCUAACACUUCGGCACAAUUUUCAUUUCCAUCAUUUUCACAAAAGACAUUAAAAAGAUGAAGCAUAUGAGGCAACCUCAAUUCCAUUUUUUGUAUUUUUCUUUUAUAGACUAAACUAGUGAUAAAAAAAUAAACUAAAAGAUUCAAUUGCAAGAUCUAAAGAUAUACCUUUGAGCACUCACCUCCUCGGCAAUGACGCCAGAAAAGAGCUUGAUGUCUACUACGUAACCUUCUUCUUGUAGACUCGUGUUGGGCCUCCAAGCGUAGAGUUUUGUUGUAGCAAGUUUCCUUUAGGUGGAUGGCCUAAGGUUUAUCAAUCUGCGGGAGGCGUAGGAUGAAGAUGGUCUCUCUCAAACAACCCUGCAACCGAAUAACAAAGAGUCUCUUGUGUCCCCAACACACCCAAUACAAUGGUAAAUUGUAUAGGUGCACUUGUUCGGCGAAGGGAUGGUGAUACACGUGUAAUAUGGAUAGUAGAUAUAGGUUUUUGUAAUAUGUUAAUAUAAGAACAACAAUGUAGCAAGUAACAAAAGUGAGCAAAAACGGUAUUAUAAUGCUUGAAAACAAGGCCUAGGGUUCAUACUUUCACUAGUGCAAAUUCUCUCAACAAUGACAACAUACUUAAAUCAUAUGGAAAUCCCUCAACAUGCGACAAAGAGUCACUCCAAAGUUCCUAUCACAAAGAACAUAAGAUGAAAUUGCUUGUAGGGUACAAAACCACCUCAAAGUUAUUCUUUCUGAUCAAUCUUUUGAGCUAUUCCUAUAAGUGUCACAAACAUCCAUUGAGUUCGUGCUAAAAUAACACCAUGUGAUACACAUCAAUCAACCCUAACCUAGACACUCCAAUGUCACCACAAGUAUUCGUGGGUCAAUUAUAUGAUAUGCAUCAAACAACUUCAGAUUCAUAAUAUUCAAUCUAACACAAAGAACCUUAGAGAUUGCCCCAAGAUUUCUACCGGAGAAACAAGGAUGAAAACAUGCAUCAACCCCUAUGCAUAGAUUACCCAAAUGUCAGCUCGGCAAUCCGCGAGUUGAGUGCCAAAACAUACAUCAAGUGAAUCAAUAGAACACCCCAUUGUCACCAUGGGUGUCCCACGCAAGACAUACAUCAAGUGUUCUCAAAUCCAUAAUAGUAUUCAAUCUGAUAAUAGUGAAACCUCAAAGGUAAAACUCAAUUCAUCACAAGAAGAUAGAGAGGGAGAAACACCAUAUGAUCCAACUAUAGUAACAAAGCUCUCGGUACAUCAAGAUCGUGCCAAAUCAAGAACACGAGAGAGAGAGAGAGAGAGAGAGAGAGAGAGAGUGAGAGAGAGAUCAAACACAUAGCUACUGGUGCAUACCCCCCAUCCCCGAGGGUGAACUACUCCAUCCUCAUCAUGGUUACUACCGGGAUGAUGAAGAUGGCCUCCGGUGAUGAUUUCCCCCUUCGAUAGGGUGUCGGAACGGGGUCCUGAUUGCUUUUUCAUGGCUACAGAGGCUUGCGGUGGCGGAACUUCCGAUUUAGGGUUCUUUUUGGAGCUUUGGGUAUUUAUAAGAAUUUUUGGCGUCAGUCUCACGUCAAGGGGUUGCCCGAGGGGACUACAAGCCUUGAGCUAGCGCCCUGGGGGGUAGGGCGCGACUAGUAGGUUUGUGGCCUCCCCGGUCACUUCCUGGCCCAGCUCCGGUGCUACGGGGGUCUCCUGUGGUCCAUAAAAAAUCACCGUAAAUUCUCAGCCCAUUCCGAGAACUUCUAUUUUUGCACAAAAAAAACACCACGGUAGUUUUGUUGAAAACAACAUCAGUCUAGGUUAGUUCCAAUCAAAUCAUACCAAAAUUAUAUAAAAUUAUUUUAAACAUGGCAUGAAUACUUCAUAAAUUAUAGAUACAUAGGAGACGUAUCAGGAACCUACCAUUAAAAUUAAAAUUAAAAAUUAUGAGUGCAAUGCUUGAUGUGGUUUGGGUGCUAGUGUUUCCACAAUACCAAAAUCUUUAUGUGAUGUGCUAGGUUUUAUCAAUAUGGAUGAAUGUUCUCUUAAUUUGCACUUGGCGGAUUCCACUAUUAAGAAACCUUUGAGUAGAAUAGAUGACAUUCUUAUUCUUGCAAAUAGGAAUUAUUUGCCCAUUGAUUUUAUUGUGAUUGACUUGAUUGCAAUCUGUCUUGUCCCAUAAUACUUGGUAGAACUUUCUUGCGAACCAUAUGUGCUAUUAUUGAUAUGAAAGAAGGGAUAUAAAAUUUGUAUUUCCGUUAAAGAAGGGUAUGGAACACUUUCCUAGAAAGAGAAUUAAGCCACCAUAUAAAUAUAUUAUGAGGGCCACCUAUGGGAUUAAUUUGAAAGAUGACAACACUUGAAACUAUGCAUUACGCCUAGCUAGGGGCGUAAAAGAAUAGAGCUAGUUGGGAACCCAGUAGUUAUCUUAUUUUUUCUAGUUCUUUUACUGUUUUUUGGUCUGCACACAAUUAUGAUACUAUUAUGGUUGUGCUUUUGUGUUUUAGUCAUUGUUUGUGACAAGUAAAGCCUUUGGGAUGAUUUGGAUGAUGCUUUUCUUGGAUUCUGUGAAAAAGUAGAAACUUUUGCGUCCAAAAGGAGAAUUAUUUAAAAUCACUGGGGCGUGAUAAAAUUCUGCAUUUUUAACACAUGGUUUAUAUACUAAUUUCCCAUGUUUUCCUAUUUUUUCAGAAUUUGUGGAGUUACAUAUGUAUGUUCAUUGUUCGAAUCAUUACAGAGUGUUCUGUUUUUGACAGAUUCUGUUUUUGUUGCGUUGUUUGCUUGUUUGGAUGAAUCUAUGGAUUGUAUCGGGGGGGGGGGGUAUAAUCCAUGGUGAAUUUAGAAUAUAGUAGGUAUAAUGCAAGAUUAAAAUAUGAAUGGGUUUACAACAGUACCUAAAGUGGUGAUUUGCUUUGUUAUAACGGAUCUCACGAGUUUUCUGUUGAGUUUUGUGUGCUGAAGUUUUCAAGUUUUGAGUGAGAUCACGACGGAUGAAGUAAUAAGGAGUGGCAAGAGACUAAGCUUGGGGAUGCCCGAGGCACCCCAAGGUAAUAUUAAAGGACUCCCAAGAAUCUAAGCUUGGGGAUGCCCCGGAAGGCAUCCCCUCUUUCUUCUACCAACUAUCGGUAAUACUAUUUGGAGCUAUAUUUUUAUUCAUCACAUGAUAUGAGUUUUGCUUGGAGCAUCAUGUAUUGUAUGAGUGUUUGCUUUGUUUGAUUUUUAGUUUGCCACAAUUAUGUUUGUUGAACACACCUUUUUGAGAGGGACACACAUUAUUCGUGAUUUGUUAGAAUAGUCUAUGUGCUUCACUCAUAUCUUUUGAGCUAGGUAGUUGCUCUAAUGCCUCACUCAUAUCUUUUAGAGCGCGGCGGUGGUUAUAUUUUAAAGAAAUAGGUGCAAUCUCAUGCUUCACUUAUAUCUUUUUGAGAGUUGGUAAUAGUGAUGGAAAUUAGUACAAGCUAUGAAUUUGGUCUGGAUAUGGUAGACAUUCAAGAGGGAUAUAAUAAAAACUUUCAUGUAGAUAACUGAAUAUGAUAAGUUUGAUUCCUUGCAAUAGUUUUGCGAUAUAAAGGUGGUAAUAUGUGGGUUAUGCUAAUAAGUAAUUGUGGUUUAGUAAUAAUAUUGGUAUUAAGGUUUGUGAUUCCCGAAGCAUGCACCAAUAGUUUCUUGUUAUGCUAUGAAGUUGGAGCGUGAUUUAUUAUUGAGUGUCUUCCUUUGCGUGAAGGUCAGGGGCGCACGAUGGUUAGCUCCUACCAAUCUCCCCCUAGGAUCAUGCGUAGUAGUACUUUUCUUCAAGGGCUAAUAAAAAUUUGCAAUAUGUAUGUGAGUUCUUUAUGACUAACAUGAGUCCAUGGAUUAUACACCUCUCACCUUUCCGCAAUUUGCGAGCCUCUUCGAUACCGUGCAAUGCCCUUUCUCACCUUGAUAUGUGGUGCAAACUUCGCCGGUGCAUCCAAACCGCAUGAUAUGAUAUGUUGUAUCACACAUAAGACUCAUUAUAUAUUCCUCAAAACAGCCACCUUACCUACAUAUUAUGGAAUUUCUAUAGCCAUUCCGAGAUAUAUUGCCAUUUAACUUCCACCAUUCCAUUUUUAUGACAUGCAUCAUCAUUAUCAUAUUGCUUUGCAUCAUCAUAUAGUUGACAUAGUACUUGUGGCUCAGCCACCAUUAAUCAUUUUUAUACAUGUUAUGCUAGAUCAUUGCACAUCCUGGUACACCGCCUAAGGCAUUCAUAUAGUCAUAUUUUGUUCUAGUAUCGAGUUGUAAUUUUUUUUUAAUUGUAAGUAAAUACAAGUGUGAUGAUCAUCAUAUUCAUUAUUAGAGCAUUCUCCCAAGUGAGGAAACGAUGAUGGAGACUAUGAUUCCCCCACAAGUCAGGAUGAGAUUCCGGACAAAGAAAAAAAAUAAAAAAGCCCAAAGAAAAAAAGAAAAAAAGGAAAAGAAAAAAGAGAAAAAAAUAAAAAAAGAGAGAAGGGACAAUGUUACUAUCCUUUCAGCACUUGUGCUUCGAAGUAGCACCAUGUUUUUCGUAUAGAGAGCAUCCUAUGUUUUCCCUUUCAUAUAACUAGUGGGAAUGUUUCGUUAUAGAACUUGGCCUCUAUAUUCCAAUGAUGGGCUUCCUCAAAUGCCUGAGGUUUUCAUGAGCAAGCAAGUGGGAUGCACACCCACUUAGUUUCUUUUUGAGCUUUCAUACACUUAUAGCUCUUAGUGCAUCCGUUGCAUGGCAAUCCCUACUCCUUGCAUUGACAUCAAUUGAUGGGCAUCUCCAUAGCCCGUUGAUUAGCCUCGUCAGUGUGAGACUUUCUCCUUUUUUGUCUUCUCCGUAUCAAUCUCUACCACCAUACUUAUUCCACCCAUAGUGCUAUAUCCAUGGCUUGCUCUCAUGUAUUGCAUGAGGGUUGAAAAAGCUGAAGCGCGUUAAAAAGUAUGAACCAAUUACUUGGCUAACACUGGGGCGGUGUGAUGUCUACUAUGCAACUUUAUUCUUGUAGACUCGUGUUGGGCCUCCAAGCGUAGAGUUUUAUAGGGAAGUAACAAUUUUCCCUCUAGUGGAUGGCCUAAGGUUUAUCAAUCCGUGGGAGACAUAGGAUGAAGAUGGUCUCUCUCAAACAACCCUGCAACCAAAUAACAAAGAGUCUCUCUUGUCCCCAACACACCAAAUACAAUGGUAAAUUGUAUAGGUGCACUAGUUCAGCGAAGAGAUGGUGAUACAAGUGUAAUAGGGAUAGUAGAUAUUGAUUUUUUUCUAAUAGGAACAAUAAAAAACAACAAGGUAUAAAGUAACAAAAGUGAGCACAAACAGUAUUGCAAUGCUUGAAAAUGAGGCCUAGGGUUCAUACUUUCACUAGUGCAAUUUCUUAGCGAUGCUAAUAUAAUUGGAUCAUAUAACUAUCCCUCGACGUGCGAUGAAGAAUCACUCCAAAGUUCUUAUCUUGCGGAGAACAUAAGGCGAUAUUGUUUGUAGGGUACAAAACCACCUCAAAGUUAUCAUGUCCGGUCGAUCUAUGAAUCUAUCCCUAUAAAUGUCACAAAUACUCCAUAUGAUACACAUCAACCAACUCUAAUGUCACCUAGAUACUCCAAUCUCAAUGCAAGUAUCCGUGAGUUGAUUAUAUGAUAUGCAUCAAACAAUUUCAGAUUCAUAAUACUCAAUCCAACACAAAGAACCUCAAAGAGUUCCCAAAGAUUUCUACCAAAGAAACAAAGACGAGAACGUGCAUCAACCCCUAUGCAUAGAUUACCCCAAUGUCACCUCUGCAAUCCGCGAGUUGAGUGCCAAAAACACAUCAAGUGAAUCAAUAUGAUACCCCAUUAUCACCAUGGGUAUUCAUAGGAAGACAUACAUCAAGUGUUUUCAAAUCGAUAAAAGUAUUCAGUCUGAUAAUAAUGAAAUCUCAAAGGGAAAACGCAAUUCUUCGGAACAAGAUAUAGAGGGGAAAACAACAUAUGAUCCAACUAUAUUACCAAAGCCCACGACACAUUAAGAUCGUGCCAAAUCAAGAACACGAGAGAGAUAUUAAUGUAACACCCACAAUGUGGCUAUAUCUCCCACGUGUCGGGGCACGACUUAGAGGCAUAGCCACAUGGUAGGCAUGUCGCAAGAGGGGUAAUCUUCACACAAUCCCAUGUACUGAAUAAGAAAGGGAUAAAGAGUUGGCUUACAAUCGCCACUUCACACAAAUACAAGUUAAACAUACAUCAUCUGGAGUACAAGAAAGAUCCGACUACGGAACCAAAAUAAAGAAGAAAACCCCAAAUGCUAGAUCCCCGAUCGCCCCAACUGGGCUCCACUACUGAUCAACAGGAAACAAAACAACACAAUGAACAAGAUUUUCAUCGAGCUCCCACUUGAGCUGGGUUGCGUCACCUGUACUGGCAUCAUCGGCACCUGCAACUGUUUGGAAGUAUCUGUGAGUCACGAGGACUCAGCAAUAUCACACCCUCGAGAUCAAGACUAUUUAAGCUUAUGGGUAGGAAAAGGUAGUGAGGUGGAGCUGCAGCAAGCACUAAGCAUAUAUGGUGGCUAACAUACACAAAUAAGAGCGAGGAGAGAAGAAACGCAAUGGUUGUGAAGCUAGAAGUGAUCAAGAAGUGAUCCUGAAACUACUUACAUUCAAGCAUAACACAAGAACCGUGUUCACUUCCCGGACUCCGCCGAGAAGAGACCAUCACGGCUACACACGCGGUUGAUGCGUUUUAAUUAAGUUAAGUGUCAAGUUCUCUACAACCGGAUAUUAACAAAUUCCCAUCUGCCACAUAACCGCGGGCACGGCUUUCGAAAGUUCAAAACCCUGUAGGGGUGUCCCAACUUAGCCCAUCACAAGCUCUCAUGGUCAACGAAGGAUAUUCCUUCUCCCGGGAAGACCUGAUCAGUCUCGGAAUCCCGGUUACAAUACAUUUCGACAAUGGUAAAACAAGACCAGCAAGACCGCCCGAUGCGCCGACAUCCCGAUAGGAGCUGCACAUAUCUCGUUCUCAGGGCAACACCGGAUAAGCUAAGCAUACAGGUACCAACAUAACCCAAGUUGCCAAGGGACAGUCCCGCACGGUGCUCUAGUUCGGACCAACACUUAGAAAAGCAUUGGCCCGGGGAGGGGGGUUAAAAUAAAGAUGACCGUUGAGUCUGCAGAACCCAAGGGAAGGUGAUAGGUUGUUAGGCAAAUGUAAAACCAAGGUUGGGCCUUGCUGGAGGAGUUUUAUUCAAAGCGAACUGUCAAGGGGUUCCCAUAACACCCAACCGUGUAAGGGACGCAAAAUCAAGGAACAUAACACCGGUAUGACGGAAACUAGGGCGGCAAGAGUGGAACAAAACACCAGGCAUAAGGCCGAGCCUUCCACCCUUUACCAAGUAUAUAGAUGCAUUAAUGUAAACAAGAUAUAAUAAUGAUAUCCCAACAAUAUCCAUGUUCCAACAUGGAACAAACUUCAUCUUCACCUGCAACGAGCAACACUAUAAGAGGGGAUGAGCAAAGCGGUAACAUAGCCAAACAACGGUUUGCUAGGAAAGGUGGGUUAGAGGCUUGACAUGGCAAUAUGGGAGGCAUGAUAGAGCAAGUGGUAGGUAUCGUGGCAUAGCAAUAGAGCGAGAAACUAGCAAGCAAAGAUAGAAGUGAUUUCGAGGGUAUGGUCAUCUUUCCUGAAAUCCCGCAAGGAAGAAGAACGAGUCCAUUAAGAAGACAAAUGGACGUAGUCGAACGAUUCCUCACAACCCCAGAACGAAACCGAAGCUAACGAGAGAAGCAACCCGGAAAGAAGCAAACGACAUAGUAAACAACCAUCACAUAAGCAUGGCAUGAUGCGCAACCAAGUAUGAAGCAUGUCCAGUUUAAUGAGGCAUGGCAUGGCAAAAUGCACAAACAAUCCUACAAAUUAAGUGGAGCUCAAUAUGCAACUCCGUUGCAUAUUGACAAAACACCAUGUGACUUAUUUAGUUCUCUCUUGUUUAGGUACCCAACAAUAUUAAAUGUUGAUUAACAUGGCAAGAGGUGAAGCAUAUGAAAACUACCUAUCUAGGGAAGUUUAAAUGAGGUCGGUGUCGGCGUACUGGGAACCAGGGUACCCAGACUUGCCUGUCUGCAGCCCAUGUCGCGUUCCAGGUACGGCUCGGUAGGGCCCAGCUGAUCGACCAGCUGCUCAAGACCCUCGCGAGAGGGCCAGCCCUGGCGAGGAGAACGACCAAGACCUCCUCAGGGAGCGGCCUCACCUAGGCUGCUCCAGAGGGGCAACCAAGACCUCUCCCAAGAGUGGCCUCGGCUAGGCUGCUUCGGGAGGGUGGAGAUCUCAAGGCAAGGGCUGCCUCAGGAGGAGGCAGUGACGCAAGCCAUGAUGAACCGUGCCAGCGGGCGCCAGUGGGCGCCAGCGCGCACCAGUGGGCGUAGUUUCCAUAUCGGUGCAAAGGAGACCGCGCAGGCGCAGGUUCCCGAGGGGCGAGACAAAGGUUUCCCCUUUGGUGCAACUAGACCGAAGACCGCAAGGACGGCAGGAAGGAUGUCAUCACUGAGCCCACCACCGCGUCACCGCCUGCCCUCUUUGCAGGCGAAGACCACCUUUUGUCAGGAUAGGAGCGUCCUUGUGUUCCCGCUGAAAUGGCCGUUGUGGGAUUCCCUUCCCGCCUAAACAUUUCGGGGGAAGAGGACCCUGGCCGUCUAUAUAAGUAGCUAGGGUUCCUAGCAUAGAGAGGGACCAAGCCAUUGGGACUUAGCAUAGCAAAGGAGCAAGAACAUCCGCUUCCUCACCCCUCUCGAGCUCGCCUCCUGAGCUCAAGAAACCACUAUAUUUGUUCAUACUCGAGCCCUCGCGAGGCCAAUCCACUAAAGCAGGACGUAAGGUUUUACACCGCAAGGUGGCCUGAACCUGGGUAAACUCUUGUGUGCUCUACUUGUUUGCUUGCUUGCAUUCCAUUCCCACCACCAAGAGAAGAGCGAGGCACUAGGUAGACGUGUAGUGGGAGAGAUCUUCGUCAUGCCCCUGUGUUCGAAUCUUAAGGGUUUUGCGGAGCCCGAAAUCCGACAUUUGGCGCGCCAGGUAGGGGGCGUGUUGAAAUCUCGCUUCUCUGAUGACCUCUCUCCGCUCUUCUCCGUUGACCUCAUUUCACCGCCAUGGUGGACACUCGCCGAGCACGUGUCGCCCGCCGCGCCGCCAACGUCACUCAGAUGGUACCCGCGGGCAACGGCGCACCACUCCGCCCCAACUCGCCGGUCGUCAACGCGGCCACGGACCCAGCCAUUCACGAGCAGCAGGACUUGUCGUUGCCGCUAUCCGUGCGGCGCGAAGGCCGCACAGCGACCCCAUCACCUUCGCUGGCAGCAGCGUCGUCCUCGCUAGUCCGCCGCAGGCCGGUCUACCAGCAGCCUGUGCUACUGAUGGCGCGGGAGCUCCUACGCUACCGUCCGGCGGACGACCUCUACGACGAGUGGCUCCACCGCAUCACCAAGCUCGUCAACGCCGCCGGGGAGGCGCCCGCACCGACCCAUUCCUCUCGCCCUCCGUCGCCCAUGGCAGGGAACAAGGACCAUGGCGCUUCGCCCCCACCUCCACCGCGCGGCGCCGGCUAGGGGCUCAGGCGCGAGGCUCCAUUGCGUGAAUAGCCCCGCAGGGCCCCCGCGCGCGAUGAGGAGAGCUGCCAGGUGGUCCCAUGCCCCCAGGCAGAAGCGCGCGUGCUCCCCGCUCAGCAACACCAGAAUCGUGCCCCACAGGAGGUGGUGGCCCCUGCACCCCAAGAUCCAGCACCAUAGGCGCAGGGGGCGCCAGCAAUCAUGAGCGUGGCUGGAUGCCGCGCCCUAGCUCCUGAGCUACGGCGCCUCAUCUGGCCCGACAAGUUCAAGCCGGACCUACCUUCACGUUACGACGGCACCGCCGACCCGGCGGAGUUCCUCCAACUCUACGAGCUCAACAUCAAGGCGACGAACGGCACCGAGCAGGUCAUGGCGAACUGGUUCCCCAUGGCCCUCAAGGACGGCGCACGCUCCUGGCUCAUGAACCUUCCUCCAGGAUCCAUCUCUUCUUGGGAGGAGCUUCAUGAGCGCUUCAUCGCCAACUUCCAAGGUACCCGCGACCAAGCUCCAGCGGCCGCAGACCUGCGCCGCGUAAGGCAGCAGCCUGGGGAGACCCUGCAGAUGUACAUCCAACGCUUCAACACCGUGCACCUCAAGAUCCCCAGGGUCUCCGAGGCCAUCAUCUCGGCGUUCUCCGACGGUGUCCGCGACGUCAGGAUGAAGGAGGAUCUUGCCAUCCACGAGGACCUGUGCACGGACCUCGAGAUGUUCGAUCUCGCGGCGAAGUGCGCCAGGGCAGAGGAAGGCCGCCUCUCCCUCCUGGAACUGCCUGAGGCGGAGGCCGACGACAAGAAGACCAAGGCCAAGGAAGCAAAGCGCAAGGGACCAGCCGUGCUGGCCGUGGAGCCAGAAGUGAAGCGCGGCUGCGGCUACAAUGACCCUCCAAGAGACAACCGUACUGCGUCUUCCAUGAUGUCCAUAGCCAUAACACCAACGACUGCCAAGAGCUCAGGGCGAUGCGCGGCGGGCACGUCGGGCAGCGCCCUAAGCGCGACAACCAUGGCUACGGCCACGGAGGAGGCUGUGGCGGAGGAUGCUGGGACGGCAGGAACUCGCGCCAAGGAUGGCAUGAUCAGCCUCGUGACGCCCCCUGGCGCGACCAGCCUCGCGAGGGUCGCCCUUAGGGCAACGCGGGCCUGCCUCCGCUGCCACCACCGCCAAGAAGGAACGACGACGACUGCCAGGGAGAUGAAGCGGGGGGCUUCCAGGAGCCACGCGGGGUCGUGUGCAUCCUGGGAGGAGCUCACGCUCCGGCUUCUCACCGCAUCUUCAAGCAGUUCGCUCGUGAGGUGAACGCGGCGCUCCCCAGGCCUGACGCCGCGCGCAACCUCAGGUGGGCCAAGUAGAUCAUCGCCUUCGACCCCAAGGAUCAGCUCAGUUGCACCGCCGCGCCAGGCACUCUCCCGAUGCUCUGCACCCCGACCAUCAGUAACGUCCGCGUGACCAAGACCCUCAUCGACGGUGGGGCAGGGCUCAACGUCCUCUUCGUUUAGAUCUUCAAGACUCUUCAAGUACCCUACGAUCAGCUGCACCCGACCAAGCCAUUUUACGGAGUCACAGACGGCUCCACCCUCCCGAUGGGGCAGUCCGCCUCCCCGUCACCUUCGGCGACCGCGACAACUACCACGCCGAGCUCAUCGACUUCGACGUCGCCAACAUCAACCUCCCGUACAACGCCAUCCUAGGGUAUCCGGCCCUCUCCAAGUUUAUGGGGGCGACCCAUCAUGGCUACAACGUCCUCAAGAUGCCUGGAAGUUGCGGAGUCAUCACGAUCGCCUGCGACGAGAAGGAAGCAGUACGUUCUCUGGAGCGUGCCUAUCAGACUGCGGCGAUCGAGAGCUCUGAUGGAGACGGAGCCGUCUUCGCCCUGAUGACCGCCCCCAAGAAGAAGAAGCAACUGCCCGACUCUCAGGCCUCGGGGGCUCCAGACGGCACGACCUCAAGCUCCAUGCCUGCUGAUGAGGCGCCUUCCACCCUCGCAUAGGGAGGCGCGCCCAGCGCCCCUCUCAGGACGGGCUCGGGGGCUCCCCUUAGGGGGACCCCGGACCUGGUCGUGAGGGAGGUGCCCGAGCACCACUCGCAGGCGCGCCCCGCCGUGCGUCGUCAUGAUCCCAGCGUGAGCCUCAUAAUGCUGGGGGCUUAGGAUGAACCGUGCCAGCGGGCGUAGUUUCCAUAUUGGUGCAAAGGAGACCGCACAUGCACAGGUUCCCGAGGGGCGAGACAAAGGUUUCCCCUUUGGUGCAACAAUACCGAAGACCGCAAGGACGGCAGGAGGGAUGUCAUCGCCGAGCCCACCACCGCGUCACCGCCUGCCCUCUUUGCAGUCGAAGACCACCUUUUGUCAGGAUAGGAGCGUCCUUGUGUUCCCGCUCAAAUGGCCGUUGUGGGAUUCCCUUCCUGCCUAAACAUUUCGGGGGAAGAGGACCCUGGCCGUCUAUAUAAGUAGCUAGGGUUCCUAGCAUAAAGAGGAACCAACCCAUUGGGACUUAGCAUAGCAAAGGAGCAAGAACAUAUGCUUCCUCACCCCUCUCGAGCUCGCCUCCUGAGCUCAGGAAACCACUGUAUUUUUUCAUACUCGAGCCCUCGUGAGGCCAGUCCACUAAAUCAGGACGUAGGGUUUUACACCGCAAGGUGGCCUGAACCUAGGUAAACUAUUGUGUGCUCUACUUGUUUGCUUGCUUGCAUUCCAUUCCCACCACCAGGAGAAGAGAGAGGCGCUAGGUAGACGUGUAGUGGGAGAGAUCUUCGUCACGCCCCUCUGUUCGAAUCUUAAGGGUUUUGCGGAGCCCGAAAUCCGACAGCCGGUACAACAAACAAGUCUGAAAACUCCUUAUGUGCAUAUUUUAGGUUUGGUACUGUUAUGUCCUAAGGCAUAUUUUAAAGUUUUUAAACAUGCAAAGCAAGGUCACCAUGAUAAUCUAUGCAUUUUUCUACCCCAUUUACAUAUAAAGUUUGUUAGGUUUGGAGCUACGGUUAUUUAGUUAUGAAUUAAAUCAUUUUAACAUGGCAAUUAAGAAAAUAAAUGCAAACAGCAGUUUAAACAUUUUAAACAUGGUUUAAAGUUUGAUAUUAUGAAACUAGACACAAUUUUAAGCAUUUUUCAUAUAUAAAGUUUUUACAUAAGAUGCACGGUUUGUGAGUUACAAUAUGCAUGAACUAGAGGGGUUAUUCUGCAAAACUAACAUUCUCUAGACAAAUAGGGAAAACCUCCAGAGCUGGAAAAAAUGUAACAGGCCGAAUGUGAACAACGGUUUGGGGUGCUGGGGUGAGAGUUCUCACCAUGGGCCUCAGCCCAGUCGAUGGAGACAUAGGCCGGAAAGGGGGUGCUGGGCCUUGCGCGGUGCUGGGCCUCACAGGCCGGUCCAGCGAUGCAGGAGUUUGAGGCGCUCGUCCUCCUCGUGUCUGGCUCAGGCGCAGGAGCAGGAGACAGGGACGGCGGCACCCGAAGUCAACGAUAGGGCAGGAGCGACUCCGGCAGGUGAGGGCGGUGGGGAGGACCGGAGAGGAACGGAUCCGGGCGGUGGCUCAUCGGAUCUGGCACGGGGAUGGCUGGAACGAGCACCGGCGACAAUGAGGACCUCGAGGCCGGCGAGCUCCUACAAAGAAGAGGGAGGGAGCUCGGGUGAGAGAGAGAGAGAGAAGGGGAAGGGAAGGCGGGUGGCCUGGGCGAGCUCACCAAGGCGGCGAUGGUCGCCGGCGGCGGUAGGUCCGGCGAAGACGACGACCGACGACGAGGUUGGGGCAGCGCUGGAGGAGGUUGUGCGGUUCGGGAACUCGGGGAGGAACCAGGGGAGCGGCGAUGGAGCGCUCGGGCCCCAAUGGGCUCGGGCGGGCCCCGCACGGGCCUGAGCGGGCCGCGGUGGAAGGGGGCGCUGGAGGGGCGACGUGGCCUCAUCUGGUUGGGCGGGGAGGCGGCGCUGCUAGGGCUAGAAAAAAAGCUCGAAGCUCGCGAGCUAAACAAGUAGCUCGUGACUCGGCUCGAAUCGACUCGAUCUCGAAGAAUAACGAGUUGAGUCGAGUUUUAGUUUAAGACCGUUUAUAGACCAAGUUAAACAAGCCAAUCUCACGAGUACUCGUGUAACUCGUUAGGCUCGAUACAAUAGAUCAGCCACUCCCAAUACAAAGAAAGAUCAGUCACUCAGCACCCUACGCCCUAGGCGCACAACACAAGGCCCGGUCGUUGAAGGCCCAGCAGCCUGGGAGAGACUCAUGUGUUACAAGGAAAUUGCAAUUGUUUAGUGAUAUAUAUGUUUAAUAUAUAAAUAAUCAUUUUUAUCAUAUUUGUGGGCUUUAUGUUUAUAUCUUGAACGAGCUUAACAAGCUAAACGAGCCAGCUCGUGAGUUAUACGAGUCGAGCAAAUCUUGGGUUUGAGCUCGUUAUAGUAACGAGUCGAGUCGAGCUAGCUCGUUAACGAAACAAGCUCUAGCGAGUCAAGCCGAGCUGGCUCGACUCGGUUCGAAUUCCAGCCCUAGGCGCUGCCCACUGGGGUGGCGCUACAUGGCGACGGCGAGAUGGCGGCGCUGUAGAAGGCCAAGUGGCGGCGGCGGAGCGGAUCGGACGGCGACAAGUGGCGGGUGGAGGCUGGGGCUGCGUGGAAAAUGAGGAGGAGGGUGGAAGAGGGCCAAAAUGGACUAGGGGUGUCCAUAUAUAGCAGAAGGAGCUAGGGUUGGGGGUUUUGCUCCAUUUCGGAGCCGUUUGAUCUCGAUCGGAUGAUCCGGAGCGGAGGGGGUUAGAUAGGUGGACUAGUGGGCUGUGCUAGAGAGAGAUGAGCUGAGAAGAGAGGAGAGAGAGAGGCCCGACAGUAGCUUCCGAAGACCGAAAACGUCUGACGUUAGACCGACUAUAUUGCCGCUAUAGAUAUCCGUUGGGGCAUCAAACGAAGUCCGAAUGCGAUGAAACUUGGCAGGCGACCUACUAACAACAUAACAACACCGCAUGCCAACUUUCAACGCAUUUCGAGAACAUUUUCCGACCACUUAUAAAGUACUAUUUCGGACGUGCCGCGUGCGCGUGCGAGUGUGGUUGGGCUCAGUACGAACAACGGAAGGAACUGGGAGACCCGGGACGCAUGCAAGUUUUAAAAACAUGCAGAUGCAAUGCGGAUGAUGACAUGGCAGAGAUGCAACACGCAAACGAAAGACAAGGCAACAACAGUGAAUAACUGGAAGACACCUGGCACAUCGGUCUCGGGGCGUUACCACACUCCACCACUAUAAGAGGAUCUCGUCUCAAGAUUUAGAUGGCACCGGAGAGAAACAGAAGAGGAAGAGAAGAGGUAAAACUAAGUUGCUUCUUUGACAAACGAGUGAAACCAAUGAACCUUGUGAGGUUGAACAAAUUUAAAGAAAGAAUAUGACGAAGAUGAACAAAGUUUAAAACACCCCGUUAGAAAAGAGGAACAAGGAACCUUACUAGAACCUUGUGGGUAGAAAGACAUAAGGAAAGGGUUACAAUGGACAAAAAGUACAUUCAACUACUCCGGUUAAAACGAGAUGUACAAGGAAUGAUAAAGAUCAAUUACGUCAACACUCCGGUUGGAAAAAGGAAUGUAAAGAAUAUAAACUUUGCAAAACGAAAGCACUUGGAUGAGACUCCGGUUAGAAGAGGAAUGAUAGACAUGACACUCCGGUUAAAACAAGAUAGAGAAGGAAUAAGAAUGAUAUAAUUUGGACAGCACUCCGACUGUAAAUGGAAUGAACUGAGCAUGAACUUGACAAGAUGAGAGGAUACUUGAUGAGAUCAACAACACACUUCCUCCGGAACAAAUGAAUGGAAAACUAGAUGGUUGGAAAGAAAAAGAACGGAGAAGACGAAUGACAACUCUUGCAAAUAAAAUUGAAAUAGCAUGCUUACGAAGAAAAGUUUGAACAGAGUUGCUGGAUUAUCAACAACGAAAGCAUAACCUUGAUGUGGGCUAAUGGAAGACAUCUCGAAACUGAGGUGAAAUUCUGCCACUAACUUAAACAAUUGUUUGCUUGAGAUCAACGAAGAGAUGAAAACUUGUUAAACCAAGAGGAUAAAGAGCAAGCUUGGGUCACUGAGAAGCACCACAAUAGCAACAUUCCUUAGGGAAGGCUUUAGGUGAAAUCUUUGCCAAGAUAACUCCAACGAAGAGAUUGAUGGAUUUAAAAUAUCUCAUUCUUGACAACAUGUGAAUCAUGAAACACGAAGGAAAAUUAACAAGAAUGACAUAACACCACCUGAAAAGAUAAAAGAGAAAGAAUUGCACUUCGGAAUGCAAGAUGAAGAAUGCUUGAGCUCCUUUGAAAAGAAUCUCAAUGAACACUUCGAGAAGGAAUUAAAUCCUUGAUGAGCUGCCAUGUAGCGCCUCCCUGAAAAACUCCGGUAAUAAAAAGGAUAACGAAAAGAAAGAGAAGUUGAAAACACAAGGUAAAGCCUUGCGAUGAUUUAGAUGGAGCUUUGCGACGAGAUAAAGAGGAAGACCUGGAACUCCGGAAAAGAAAGAUGAACAAAUGAAAUCAAGAAUUUGAUGAGCCUCCGGAAUAAGGAAUUGAAUUCACUCAAUGAAACAAGAAUAAGAAUUACAUUAUGCUUAUCCUUCACCAAUUUAAAUUGAUGACAAGCAACAGAUUUGGCAUACUACUUAUUCUCGUAGAAAGGAUUAAGAUAGAUAUAGCGCCAACUUGGGAAGGUCUCGAUGAGGCACUGGUAGGAUUGAAACAACGGAUAAAUUAAUAAGAUAAAGAAAGAAGAGAAAUCCUGAACGAACCACCAUAAGAAUUCGAAAUGAAAGUAGCAGAGGCACAAUUCACCGGGAAGAAUUGGAAAAAACGAAUGAAGAUACUUGAGGGAAUUUGAAGCAUGAGAAUGAAUAGAUCACGAACUGAUUAGAGAAUAUUUGAAUGAUGCACCGGUAAGAUUUGGAGAACGAGAGCUAAAAGAUGGAAUGAAUAAACCUGAAAUGACGGCCUUCGGAGAAUCAAACUGAAAAGAAUCUUUAAUUGCUCAGGAUUGGUGAAAAGAAUUUUCACAAUCAAAAACAAGUAUGAGAGGAUAGCAGCAAGCUUGAACUACGCAUCUCUAAGAGAACAGAUAAGAUAUGGAGGAAAAACUCUUCUUCGGUCUUCAAAUGUUGAGAAUGCCGAUGAGAAAUACCACCAUGAAUUGUUGAGGCACUCCGGAAUGAAAAUUAGAAAGGUUGAACUACGAUGAAAAGAAUUUGAAAGAUCUUGGAGAAAGACAUAUGACUGAUGAUAAUUCAUUCUUACGUCAACUUGGAGAAGAAUUUGAUAGCAGCUCCGGAAAAUAAGAAGAGUCAGGUAAGAUCCUGGGAAAAGACAUGUGGGUUAGGGCCCACUCAAAAGAAACACCGUUGAAAGAUUACUUGAAAAGGAGAUUGCACCGGUUGAAUUAAGUUGUUUGAAUGAGAUAACAUCCUCAAAAGAACUUGAGCGAACUGAGAAUGGAAACGGGAAUCUUCUAAGAUAUCUUCAACACUUCAGAUAUGAAUAGAGAGAGAUGAACGAUUAAGAGGUGCACCGGCAUGAGAAAACAUUUGACACGAGGAAAGGAUAUGAUCGACACAGCUUGAAUUUAAUCCACCGGAGAAGAAAAGAGAACGAAGAAUAAUGAACUUGAAGCUCCGUUAGAAUCUUCAUGAGAAUUCACUGGAUAAGAAUAUUGAUGGAAAAGAAUGGAGAGACUUCACAUCAAUAAAAAGGAUACUUGAUUAAGAAGUCUGAGUCCUUGAAUAAAAGGAAGGGUGGGAGGGCGGGAAAACAAAGGCAACUUGGGGACAGAUGAAACGAACAACAUUGGAAAAACCGAGAGGUGAUCUUGCGAAUGUUGAAAUGAUCGGAUCCACUUGAAGAGAAGCUCACCGGUUGAGAAGAAUUUGGGAUGACAAACUCGAUGAUCAAGAAGGAUUAGCAUCCACAUAGAAAUAUGACAACACCGCUUAAGGAAGGUAUGGAAUCAACACUUGACAUUGAAGCAACUCGAAUACCACAAUCAAAACAAAAACAAAGGAUUGGCUUGCAGAAUAAGCUGGAAACAAACAUAAGAUAGACCCCAUGUCGUAUCAUGUGUUUGUUGGGAAGAUAUUCUAGGAGCUACUUGAAUUCCCACUUAUAAUCUCCCAAAACUUUCUGGUUAUGCAAUCAGGUGUUGGGGAUACAGGGGAAGCAUAAUAUCUCACCGAAAACUAGCAAAUCCUACGUCCAGCUGUAUCCAUCCUUCAACACAUAACCAAGAAACCUUUGGAAAUCGUUUACCUCAACCUUCGAAAAGCAUACGUUAUACGAUUUAUGGCAAUACUCCCGAACUCCCGCCCCAGUACUGGGUGGCGUUGAGGUUACCUCACCAACAACUGCAUAAAAGAGAUUUUUGAUGUCGGCGGACUCAGGUAUUCCAGAACUGGAACGAUAAAAUUGUGACGACAACAUCUCAGAGCUCAACUCCCCGGGAAACUGCCACAACCCCUAAAUGUCAGGAGGCACCAAGAACAAUGUUCUUGUCACAAGACUAUCAGAACGAUUCCAAGAUACCCGCGUGAUCAUAAAAAAAUCAUGAAAUUUUAGGAGAGAAGAGUCAAAACUUCUACGUCAGGAGGCCUCACCAGAGCGACGAUGGGACUGAGGAGUAAAACGAAUCCUACUCUUCGAUAUAUAUAAUCCUAAGACUCAAAACAUUUUGUUCUAGACUCAACAACAUCAGCGAUUCAAUCAAGCAGGGGGCUCCUAAGUCAGGGAAGGCUCUGAUUACCAACUUGUAACACCCAUAAUGUGGCUAUAUCUCCCAUGUGUCGGGGCACGACUUAGAGGCAUAGCCGCAUGGUAGGCAUGUCGCAAGAGGGGUAAUCUUCACACAAUCCCAUGUACUGAAUAAGAAAGGGAUAAAGAGUUGGAUUACAAUUGCAACUUCACACAAAUACAAGUUAAACAUACAUCAUCUAGAGUACAAGCAAGGUCCGACUACGGAACCAAAAUAAAGAAGAAAACCCCAAAUGCUAGAUCCCCGAUCGUCCCAAGUGGGCUCCACUACUGAUCAACAGGAAAUGAAACAACACAAUGAACAAGAUCUUCAUCGAGCUCCCACUUGAGUUGGGUUGCGUCACCUGUACUGGCAUCAUCGGCACCUGCAACUAUUUGGAAGUAUCUAUGAGUCACGAGGACUCAGCAAUCUCACACCCGUGAGAUCAAGACUAUUUAAUCUUAUGGGUAGGAAAAGGUAGUGAGGUCGAGAUGCAGCAAGCACUAAGCAUAUAUGGUGGCUAACAUACGCAAAUAAGAGCGAGGAGAGAAGCAACGCAACGGUCGUGAAGCUAGAAGUGAUCAAGAAGUGAUCCUGAAACUACUUACGUUCAAGCAUAACACAAGAACCGUGUUCACUUCCCAGACUCCGCCGAGAAGAGACCAUCACGGCUACACACGUGGUUGAUGUGUUUUAAUUAAGUUAAGUGUCAAGUUCUCUACAACCGGAUAUUAACAAAUUCCCAUCUGCCACAUAACCAUGGGCACGGCUUUCAAAAGUUCAAAACCCUGCAGGGGUGUCCCAACUUAGCCUAUCACAAGCUCUCACGGUCAACGAAGGACAUUCCUUCUCCCGGGAAGACCCAAUCAGUCUCGGAAUUCCCGUUACAAGACAUUUCGACAAUGGUAAAACAAGACCAGCAAGACCGCCCGAUGCGCCGACAUCCCGAUAGGAGCUGCACAUAUCUUGUUCUCAGUGCAACACCGGAUAAGCUAAGCGUACAGGUACCAACAUAACCCAAGUUGCCAAGGGACGGUCCCGCAUGAUGCUCUAGUUCGGACCAACACUUAGACAAGCACUGGCCGGGGGGGUUAAAAUAAAGAUGACCCUUGAGUCUGCAGAACCCAAGAGAAAGUGAUAGGUUGUGUCGGCGUCCUGGGAAUGGGGGUCCCCAGACUUGCCUGCCUGCGGCCCCCGGCAUGGCCGAGCCAACAGGCCGUACGACCCAUCUUCACCAACGAAGCGCCCAAGACCCUUGCGAGGGGCCAAGCCUCGCGAGGCGGAUGAUGCAAGACCUCCUCUGGAGUGGCCUAGCUAGGCAGGCUCACGAGGAGCGGAGAUAUCAAGGCGAGGCGAACCUCACGAGGCUCUCGUGACGUGAGCCGUGAUGAUCGACACAGGCAGGCGCCAGCACGCACAGCGUCCUUGUUUACUCUUUGGUGCAAAGGGGGGCAAGCGCAGCCGCGGAGUACCGAGGCAUCCGGCAAAGGUUUCCAUUUCGAUGCAACAAGACAAAGAUCAAGGAUUACAAGACAGAGGUCAUCGUGGAGCCCAGAACAGCGUCGCUACCAGAACUUUGUGCAGGCGAAGACUAAUUUUGUCAGGAUAGCUUGUACUAGCUGCCCCCCUUCAAAUUAGCCCGCCAUUGUUGGCUCCCUUCCCGCUCGAUAUUUGGGAAGAGGACCAGGGCCUCUAUAAAUAGGACUACCCACCACAGCAGAGGGGGCAGAGUGAGAGAGAGGAGGAUCUCAUCUUAGCUCGAGAGAGACCACCGCACACACAAGCUCACCGAGCACAAGAACGCCUUAACCUCUGGAGGCCGUUCUGCCCUUGUAUUGUUCAUCAUCAUCCCAAGAGGCAAUCCACCACCACCACACUAGAGUAGUGUAUUACACCACAACGGUGGCCCGAACCAGUAUAAACCAUGUGUCCAUCUGUGUUGUGAGUUCGUCGAGUUCGUCCGCGAGAUCCUAGCAAGCUAGAGCGUAGAUAGGUUGAAGGGAAAGACUUCGCACGCACCCCAGUGUUCGGACCUUAAAGGUUUUCCGAGACCCCAUACCCCGACAUUUGGCGCGCCGGGUAGGGGGGCGCCGGAGCCUUUUCUCUGCCAAUCAGCUCUCCGACGAUCACCGGCUAUGAUGUCUGGUGACCCAAGAGCCGGAUCCGACUGCUGGGCAGCCUGGCCGGCCCGGACGGUGCCUCCUGCCCAUGAAGAUCUCGACCCUGCACGCCAGGCGGCGCGGGCGUCACCGAGCUCUACCGGGCGUGGACAGCACGACCAGGCAUCAUCCACCCUCACCCCGUGGCAAGCACGAGCCACGGCGAGAGCAGCAAGUCACGCCACUGCAACGGCGCCGCACUCACGGCGGGAGCAAGCGAACAUGCGGGCAGAACUCAUAGUGGCAAGGGAGCUGCUACGAUGCAGACUGAUGGAGAGCGGCUGGGACACGCUGCUUGAGCGUGUUGCUGAGCUGCUGGACACAAUGGCAUCAGGAGCGCCACCCUUCAGCUAUUGACUUCCCCCCAGGCCAAUGCAAGGUUGCGCGGCGAGCCUCACCACAUCUGUGCACCGUCGACUAAGCCCGGGGGCUUCACCAACAUCAUGACGGCCGGCGGCGUAGGGGGCUCCAAUCCCCCCAUUCCGCUCUCGAGAAGCACGAGCGCAAGCGUCACCCUCCAUGGCCCCAGCCGGAUGCCGUAUUAUCAUCCCCAGGACGCCAUCAUGGGCUGAGCAACAUGGAGUGUGGGGCACCAUGGCAAGGUGUUCGGGGUGACGGCCUCGGAAGCCUACGUCCCCCGCAUGAUGGACCAAGGGUACGCACUAGAGGACGACAUCGGCUCAUUCGUUGGAGAAGACUGGGGAGAAGGGGCGCUAGGAGUCGAAGCCUUCUAAGAGCUAGCGGAGAACCACAUCGAUCGCACCGGCGACGACAACUAUAGGGUACCGCUAACCUCUAAGGAACAUGCUUAUGCUAACCAUGGGCUACCAAUGAAUCAGGUUGCAGCACCGAUCGACGACCCCGGCGCAGCGGCACCCGUCUCAACAAGGGAGACACGCUGGGGGCCGCCGAGAGGGAGCCAGGAGCAAGGCCCCUCCCCAAGGCACGUGAAAACAGGGGACACCCAGAGGUAGGCCCUCUGCCGGGGUGGCUUCAACGACCCUUCCUCCGGCAGAGGACCCGUGGUCGCCGAGGGAACCGCUGGCGUCCUCUUUCCCUCCUUUGUGCCGUCCUGGUCUCCGGCCGGCUCAAAGGAGGUCAAGAGUGGCGCAAGGCGGGGCCCUCAUGGUGAUAUGAAGCAAGGCCAGUACCUGUGAAGAAGGCCCGGUGCCUGUGAAGCUCGCCGCCCGUGACACUCUCACAUAAUAAUGAGUUGGGGUUGUACACGCCCCAGAGUCUCAGGAGCACCGGCCUCAGACCCUGGGGCUCCCUCCCAUGCCUAGUGGACAGCACUUAGCUCCGCGCUGGUGAGAAGACUUGAAGACCCGAAGACUAGACUAGGUGCCGGACACGGCCUUUUGCUUUGGAUCUCUCUUUUUGUGGCUUUGCUUUCUGAUUCUGGACUUAAGUUGAAGCUGAAUUUUUAUCAUUGCGUGCGGGGGGUGCCUUUUCUCGUUUGAGUCAUUUCCCGCCUUCUGGAUCUUUUUUGGUUUGGGACUCACGUCCGUCGCCUCUCCCUCGCAAAGCUCCUCGCGAGCCAGACCGCGCAGAGCACACGCUAGCACUACGCCUGGUGCUCACCCUUCCCGGGGCCCCCCUUCAAACAGGGCGGCAACCCCUGCAAGAUUCUCCGGAACACGUCGCCUCACGACCCAUCCCUAAGCAGGCGCUGACUAAGGUAAUCCACGUCUGAAACUCACCCACAGCUUCACAAGCUCACGAGGUCACAUACCCACAUCACAUAGGAAAGUAAAAACUACGAUUUGCUUACAUGAGGGGCUCCCCCUCUCAAAAUGCUCUCACAAGUUUUCCAAGGGCCACGCCCGAGUUUUGCAUGCAGAAUAAGACAACAGGAGAAUAUGGGAUCACCUAGAGAUAUCGCUCACUCGUCAUCCAGGGACGUGUCGCUCGCAUCAUCAUCACCUUCGGUGGAAUCGUCGCCCCGUCGGCGACGCCCCCAUCACCGUCGUUGACCACGUCACCUUCGUCUGCGACAACCACCACCCCAUCGUCCUCCGAGGUGAAGGCCCUGACCAACAUGUUGACAUGAUCCUCUACUCAACGCGCCAAGUCGCCCCGAACGGCAAUGGGCACAGGAGCAAUGGCGGCAUCAAAGUCGAAGUUGGGGUCAGCGUUCAGGAGGUGGCUGAAGACAUGGGAGAAAGCGCGCUGAAGCAGGCCACGACCCCUCUCCUCCACAAGCUGCCGAGCUCUGGCAGAUUGAGCCUCCAGGCGCGUCACCACCUCCGUGAAGAAGGUCAGGUGGCUGGCAUAGUCACUCGAGUGAGGGGUCGGGGCAUUCUCGUCGCAGAUAUAGCCCAGGGCGAUGUUGGUCUUGUUUCGAAGGUCUUGAUGCAUAGGGCCAUGCACGCGCUCCAGCGUUCGGUGUUGGAGCACUUCUUUUUUGUUUUGCCGAGCAACGGCCUCGGCAUCGUCAAUUUGCCUCCGGAGGGAAAGCAGCUCGGCGCGGGCGGAGGCCAGGUCCGCCUGCACCGUAACCAGGGCGGUGGUUGUGGCCUCAGCACGCCUCUCGGCCUCGUCCAACCUGGGCCUGAGGGCGGCGGCCCUGCCCGCACCCUCUUGUCCGGCGAGAUCCAGCCUCAAGCUGUACCUGCCCUCCAGAUCGGCGCGAACCAUGGCUACCUGACGAUUGAUCUCUUCUUCGACUCCGACCUCGCGGGCCCCGACGGCAUCUUCAGCUUGAGUGACUUGAUGCUCCCUCGUCUCCAGCCGCUCGAUCUCGAGGCUGCGCUCCACGGCCUCCAGGGCUAGCGCCUCCUCACGCCGUCGGAUCUCCUCUUCCUCCGUAGGCGUCCCCCUCAUCGACGCAAGGGCAGCCCCACGCGCCUUGACUUGCUGCUCAAGGGACGCGCUCCAGGCCUGGAGCUCCCACGCGCACUCCUCCACAGCCUCGCGGCGGCGAUCGGCCUCGCGAGCUUCCUCCAAAGCUCACGAACGGGCCUCAUUGGCAAUCUUGAGGGACGCCAUGGCCUUCGCAUCCUCGAGGUCACGAUGAUAACGGCCAAGGUUGAUGGCCACUCGCAGCUUGAGCCGCUCCUCCACCAACCGAAGACCUUCAGCCUCAAGACGCGAGUCAACGCCAGCAAGCUCUUCACCAAGGUGGUUCAUCGCGCCCAUCGCCUCCUAGAAGAGCUCGUGGCGGACCACGCUGCGCUGGCGCUUGAGCUCGAAUGCUCGCCCCAUCUCAUCCUCCGCCUAGGGGGCUGCGGGUGGAGCAUAAAGUGGCGCGCCAUCUCCUGGUUGGGGGCUGGUGCGGCCCCAGGCGUCGGCUGACCCUCGCAAGGGGCCCGGACCAAACAAGGCCCGCUGCUUGAAGGAGGCUCCAUCAUCGAGGCUAGCCAUCCACCAACCGUGACCAAGGGAGGAGCCCUUGGCACUCCCGCUGCGAUCCAAGCAAGGCCGUGUAGGAAGGACAGCGAAGGCACAAGCUCGGGGCACCUUGACGACAGACCAGCUCCCGAGGCUGACCCCACGCCACGGGCAGUGUCCGAGCCUGAAGCACUGGAGCUUGGUGAGUACAAUGUGACGAGAGGGAGCUGCUUCUCUGGAGAUUUUGCGGCCUUAGUAGAAGGGGACCUGAGGGAGCAAUCGUCAGGAAAGGAAGGCGGCACAUAGAAGAUCACCAAGGAGAGGUACUUACUCGUCGAUGGCGAUGUACUUCCAUCGGUUCAACGUUCUGAAGAUGUUGCUGUCGCUGGGGGAUCCCUUCCUCUUGCGGAGCUCCUCGAAGUCCACGCAAAGGCGACCGAAGCGAUGGACGUGACGGCCGGAGCGCGGGGAGCCGACGAAGAACCAAGAGGAAUGGCUUCAGGGGAGCCCGGCUGUGGCGAACAGCCCGACUCUCUCUCGCUGUGACCUCCCGAGGCCCCUGAAGCCUCGGCCUUGGGAGCCGCAUGCCGUACCUCAUCAGCGACUGGCGCCUCAGGAGAGGCGUCGCAAGCUCCUGAGGACGACGCCCCUGGAUCACUGCUUGGCACGUGCUCCUCAGCACCUGAGCAGCCGGCCCCCGUCGCAGCUCGCUCCCCUGCACCAUCACCUGGGGCGAGCUCGUCACUGGCGGCAAAGAAUGGGACCAUGAUGACGGGAUUCUCGCGGGGUCACUCCAAGCCAAUUGGGAGCAGCCCCCACUCAUCAAAGGAAGACAUGGUCUCGAUGAAGGUAACCUUGUUCUCGCUGCAGUACAACAUGCAGCUCUUCCUGGGCAUCUCAUCCGGCAGAGGGACACCGGAUAGCACCGUGAGCACAAUUUGCCGCGCAGCAAGAGGAAGCCCCUCCUCCUGAAACCUCAUAUUGUCCCGACUGCUGAGCAAGUCCCACAUCGGGCGAGAAUGACGCUGAAGCGGGGCAACUCGAUGCUUGACGAACUCCCUCACCACCACGGAGCAGUCAUACCAAGGUCCUUCAACCACCGCAGCCUGGCCCAGACAGGGGCAAGGCAGGGGCUCGUGAGCCUCUGGUGACCCCAACCGGAGUUUGGAAUGGCAGGCCCCACCGGAGCUUGGAGCAGAGGGUUGAGCACGCCGGCAUCAACAAACACCCAAUGCGUGCGGAAUUCGGUCGCGGAUGAAGGAAGCUCGAAGUCGAUCCCCAUGCCUACCGUCGCCGCCACGGCCUGAAAGCCCACACACCCAGAGCUCUGCCAGGCACCGAUGAGAUGUAGCGAGAAGAAGUGGCGGAGGAGCGCCACGGAGGGGGUGAUGCCCACCAUGGCCUCACACACGAAGGCAAAGACGGCAAGAAGGGUCACAGAUUGAGGGUCGAGAUGGAGCAUAUGGAUCUGAUAGUGCUCGAGCACCGCGUUGAAGAAGGCCGAGAAGGGAGGAAGCAGGCCAGCCUAGAGGGAGUCAAUACUGGAGCGAGACGCAGGCCAGGCUGGCGUCUCUCCCCACUCGUUGAAGCUGGAGGCGAGCAUGGGGCGCACCUUGCCCAUGGCCUCGUCGUUGAGCACCCGAGGCCGACUGAGCGCCUGCUCGAAGGAUGGAGGCGCAGUUGGCGAGGACAUAGGUUUCUUCCCCUUGUCGACUUGUUUCGGCGCCAUGGCGGUAAAGCGGGCGGAACACUGGUUGGACUGGGAAGGCGGAGCAGGGCGUCGAGGAAGCAGGAAGAUUGGAAGAUUGGAAAGCCAGGCGCAGAGGGGGAGGAAUAACUGUGCAAGAAGCGGGGCCGCAUAGCCAGGCGGAUUCAAAGGCAGCGUGGGGAAGCGGAGACGCCCACGUCCAAUCAACCGCCACGCGUCAACCGAGGUCACAGGCUUUUGGGGCCCGCGGCGCUUCAAGCUUGACCCUUGGCUUCGCCGCGAAGACAAGCCCGCGCGCACCUUGGGCCCAAGGGCUACUGUCAGUGUCCUGGGAACGAGGGUCUCCAGACUUGCCUGCCUGCGGCCCGUGGUAUGGCUGAGCCAGCAAGCCGUAUGGCCCAUCUUCACCAACGAAGCGCCCAAGACCCUCGCGAGGGGCCAAGCGUCGCGAGGCGGACGAUGCAAGACCUCCUCUGGAGUGUCCUAGAUAGGCAGGCUCACGAGGAGCAGAGAUAUCAAGGCGAGGUGAACCUCACGAGGCUCUCGUGACAUGAGCCGUGACGAUCGACACCAGGCGGGCGCCAGCGCGCACAGCGUCCUUGUUUCCUCUUUGGUGCAAAGGGGGGCAAGCGCAGCCGCGGAGUACCGAGGCAUCCGGCAUAGGUUGCCAUUUCGAUGCAACAAGACCAGGACCAAGGACUGCAAGACGGAGGUCAUUGUGGAGCCCGGAACAGCGUCGCCACCAGAACUUUGUGCAGGCGAAGACUACUUUUGUCAGGAUAGUUUGUACUAGCUUUCCCCCUUCAAAUUAGCCCGCCAUUGUUGGCUCCCUUCCCGCUUGAUAUUUGGGAAGAGGACUAGGGACUCUAUAAAUAGGACUAGCCACCACAGUAGAGGGGGCAGAGUGAGAGAAAGGAGGAUCUCAUCUUAUCUCGAGAGAGACCACCUCACACACUAGCUCAUCGAGCACAAGAACGCCUUAACCUCAGGAGGCCGUUCUGCCCUUGUAUUGUUCAUCAUUAGCCCAAGAGGCAAUCCACCACCACCACACUGGAGUAGUGUAUUACACCACAAUGGUGGCCCGAACCAAUAUAAACCCUGUGUCCAUCUGUGUUGUGAGUUCGCCGAGUUCGUCCGCGAGAUCCUAGCAAGCUAGAGCGUAGAUCGGUUGAAGUGAUAGACUUCGCGCACACCCUAGUUCGAACCUUAAGGGUUUGUCGGGACCCCAUACCCCGAUAGGUUGUUAGGCAAAUGUAAAACCAAGGUUGGGCCUUGCUGGAGGAGUUUUAUUCAAAGCAAACUGUCAAGGGGUUCCCAUAACACCCAACCGCGUAAGGGACACAAAAUCAAGGAACAUAACACCGGCAUGAUGGAAAACCAGGCAUAAGGCCGAGCCUUCCACCCUUUACCAAGUAUAUAGAUGCAUUAAAGUAAACAAGAUAUAAUAAUGAUAUCCCAACAAUAUCCAUGUUCCAACAUGGAACAAACUUCAUCUUCACCUGCAACUAGCAACGCUAUAAGAGGGGCUGAGCAAAGCGGUAACAUAGCCAAAAAAUGGUUUGCUAGGAAAGGUGGGUUAGAGGCUUGACAUGGCAAUAUGGGAGGCAUGAUAUAGCAAGUGGUAGGUAUCGCAGCAUAGCAAUAGAGCGAGCAACUAGCAAGCAAAGAUAGAAGUGAUUUCGAGGGUAUGGUCAUCUUGCCUGAAAUCCCGCAAGGAAGAAGAACGAGUCCAUGAAGAAGACAAACGGACGUAGUCGAACGAAUCCUCACAACUCCGGAACGAAACCGAAGCUAACGAGAGAAGCAACCCGAAAAGAAGCAAACAACACAGUAAACAACCAUCACAUAAGCAUGGCAUGAUACACAACGAAGUAUGACGCAUGUCUGGUUUAAUGAGGUAUGGCAUGGCAAAAUGCACAAACAAUCCUACAAAUUAAGUGGAGCUCAAUAUACAACUCCGUUGCAUAUUGAUGAAACACCACGUGACUUAUUUAGUUCUCUCUCGUUUAGGUACCCAACAAUAUUAAAUGUUGAUUAACAUGGCAAGAGGUGAAGCAUAUCAAAACUACCUAUCUAGGCAAGUUUAAAUGAGGCCGGUACAACAAACAACAAGUCCGAAAACUCCUCAUGUGCAUAAUUUAGGUUUGGUGCUGUUCUGUUCUAAGUCAUAUUUUAAAGUUGUUAAACAUGCAAAUCAAGGUCACCAUGAUAAUCUAUGCAUUUUUCUACCCCAUUUACAUAUAAAGUUUGUUAGGUUUGGAGCUACGGUUAUUUAGUUAUGAAUUAAAUCAUUUUAACAUGGCAAUUAAGAAAAUAAAUGCAAACAGCAGUUUAAACAUUUUAAACAUGGUUUAAAGUUGGAUAUUAUGAAACUAGACACAAUUUUAAGCAUUUUUCAUAUAUAAAGUUUUUACAUAAGAUGUACGGUUUGUGACUUACGAUAUGCAUGAACUAGAGGGGCUAUUCUGCAAAACUAACAUUCUCUAGACAAAUAGGGAAAACCUGCAGAGCUCAAAAAAAACUUAACGGGCCAAAUGUGAACAGCGGUUUGGGGUGCUGGGUUGAGAGUUCUCACCAUGGGCCUCAGCCCAGUCGAUGGAGACGUAGGCCGGAAAGGGGGUGCUGGGCCUUGCACGGUGUUGGGCCUCACAGGCCGGUCCAACGAUGCAGGGGUUUGAGGUGCUCGUCCUCCUUGUGUCUGGCUCAGGCGCAGGACCAGGAGACAGGGACGGCGGCGCCCGAAGUCAACGACAGGGCAGCAACGACUUCGGCAGGUGAGGGCGGCGGGGAGGACCGAAGAGGAACGGAUCUGGGCGGCGGCUCACCGGAUCUGGCACGAGGACGGCUGGAACGAGCAUCGGCGAUGACGAGGACCUCGAGGCCGGUGAGCUCCUGCGAAGAAGAGGGAGGGAACUCGGGUGAGAGAGAGGAGGGGAAGGAAGGCGGGCGGCCUGGGCGAGCUCACCAAGGCGGCGAUGGUCGCCGAUGGUGGCAGGUUCGGCGAAGACGACGACCGACGACGAGGUUGGAGCGGCGCUGGAGGAGGUUGUGCGGUUCGGGAACUCGGGGAGGAACCAAGGGAGCGGCGGUCGAGCGCUCGAGCCCCGAUGGGCUCGGGCGGGCCCUGCACGGGCCUGAGCGGGCCGCGGUGGAAGGGGGCGCUGGAGGGGUGACGUGGCCUCAUUUGGUUGGGCGGGGCGGCGGCGCUGCCCACUAGGGUGGCGCCACGUGGCGACGGCGAGGUGGCGGCGCUGUAGAAGGCCAAGUGGCGGCGGCGAAGCGGAUCUGACGGCGACAAGUGGCGGGUGGAGGCUGGGGCUGCGCGGAAAAUGAGGAGGGUGGAAGAAGGCUAAAAUGGACUAGGGGGUGUCCAUAUAUAGCAGAAGGAGCUAGGGUUGGGGGGUUUUGCUCCGUUUCAGAGCCGUUCGAUCUCGAUCGAACGAUCCGGAGCGGAGGGGGUUAGAUAGGUGGGCUAGUGGGCUGUGCUAGAGAGAGAUGGGCUGAGAAGAGAGGAGAGAGAGAGGUCCGGUAGCAGCUUUCGGAGACCGAAAACGUCCGAGGUUAGACCGGCUAUGUUGCCGCUAUAGAUAUCCGUUGGGGCAUCAAAUGAACUCCGAAUGCUAUAGAUAUUCUGUUACCCUACUUGAACUGAUGGUUUCAUGCGAUCGUACUGAUGAUUUUCAUCCCGUCGAACUGAUCGUCUUUCCGUCGGAAUGGGGCGUGUAAUAUAUCGCUGGAAAGCUCUUGACAUCUACAUUACAAAUAUAUUAAAUUAUUUUGCAAAAUCAUUAUGGUUUAAGAGAAGUUUUGAAAAAAACGUUUUUUUCAAAACCAAAAACACAAAUCGUAUUUUGGACUUAAUUUUCAAACGGUUUGUCGAAAUUGAGCAAAUAAGAUGGCGUUGGAAAGCUGGUGAAAAUCCGCAUCUUCCAUAUAUCUAUUGUUUUUUCUAAUUCUAUACGAUUUAAAAGUAAUUUGGAAAACGAUGAAAUUCUGAGCGAAAUGUAUUUUCGCGAUUUUUUGGAAACGGUUUGUCCGAUUGAUGCAAACAAUACGGCGUUGGAAAUCUUUGUAAAAUGCACAACUUUUUCAUAUUGAAAUGUUUUUCUAAUUCCUUACGAUUUAAAAACAAAUUCGAAUAUGGUCAAAUUUGAUUUCGAACGCGAUUUUUUAAAAAGUUUGUCGAAAUGAGGCAAAUAAUAUACGGCUGGGAAGAUAUCGAGAAUACAAAACUUAGUCAUGUUGAACGUUUUCUUAAAUUUGCAACCGUUAAAGAGUAAUUUGGAUUACGAUGAGACCCAUCGUGCUGUUUUUCCAUCAGAAAAAACAGAGUACUUGUACUGAUCUACGUGUGCGUUUAUACUGAUGUAUUCUUCGGAGAGUAAUUUUUAAAGGUUCCGGAAAAAAGAGUACUUGAACUGAUGUUUGCAUGGGUUUGUAUUAAGCGUGUUUUCACUAACUAGACUUUUAUUUUUUGCUCGUACGUUUUCAACGGUUUAUUGUAUCGUCCCUGUACUUGCAUGUUUUAUAUCAUUGAACUGAAUGAUAGUUUUUUUAAAAAUAAAAUGUUUUUUUAUUCUUUUUUUUUUGAACUAAACAUUUUUUUACAACGAUGUUUUGGAUUUUUCUUUUUUUACGACUUGUACUUUUCCCAUUUGAAUUGCAUGCGGUUUCUUUUUUGCUUGAACUUUUACAAGUUGAAUUUCUGUCAUUUCUUUUAUUCCGAACGGACCACCAUUUUUAACUUGUACUGGUCAAUUUAUUUAAUUCAACCAUUUUUUCUUUGUAGAACGGACCAUCGUUUUUGUUUGUACGGAUCAGUUGUAGAACUUAGACGUCAAUGUCACAGAAUUACACUUUGAAAGAAUCACCUUCUCCCAUUCGGACUGACCACAAAAGUUGCAUCAGGAAACUCACAAAAACAGGGACGAAUCACCUUCUUCCAUCCGGACUGACCACAAAAGUUGCAUCAGGAAACAAAAACAAGGACGAUUACAACGAGAUCGACGAGAAUGUAUGAACCAUACCAUUUUUAGCUCAAUAACUUAUUAAACAAGAUGUUUUUGAAGUUUCCCACAUGAACACAAUGAUAAUUAUCAAAAAAAUAAAGUGCUUCCGCACAUGGGUACAAAAAAACUUCCAGCACACUUGGUCCUGCUCCUUGUCUUCGGUAUCAGUUCAACAGGUAGCGUGCUUUAGUGCUUCCACAUGAGGAUUGCAUUAACCAAGAAAUCACUUAUUUCACAAAACUAAACUCUUGAACUUGCUACACGGCAGUCUUUGAACCUCCUACAGGAACAGAAUAUAUAUCAUACAACAUAUAUAUAUAUUUGCAAACUUGGAGCUUGUACUCAAUAAGAAUCUCUUGUUUCUUGGGCACAUAUCAACAGAAAAUGCUCAAUAGAAUUGCUUGAUGUACUAUAUUUUACAGAACAAAUUGUACUAAACUUAACUAAAAUUAGAAAUUGUACUGAACUAAAAUAAGAAACUUAAACUGAGUGUGUCACUAAAAUAAGAAGUAGAACAUGUAGGUCUGAGAAGGCAUGGAUGUGAACUUUAUUUGUGCAAUGAAACCAAACACUCAGAGUCUCGCUUUUUUAUUCUGACAUUUAGAAAUUGAUUUGCAAAUGACAACAUGUGGACUCAGCUCAUGAACAUAUCAUCCUUGCUGCUGGUUUAUCAAUAACACUUUUUUCUGGAUGAAACCAUGCAAUCCCAUCAUCAAUUGUAAAAAGAAAACUCCUUUAUUUUUCAUUUUCCCAUGCAAUAACACAAGAAAAAAAAUCAACAAACCACAAUGGUAAGACCAAAGCUACAAUACCUUUUCUUGAGCUAGCUACUACAUGUACUGACUCCACCACUGUAGCGUCCCUGUAUCCUCCUUGCGCGGGCAACCACUAGGGAUCAAGUGCUGCUGCCGCUCGACACAUUGAACCACCUGUAGGAAUCAAAGUGAACGGAAGGGAUUCGAACACAUCAAUGGACACAUGUACUACAGAGCAAUGUGAAUCUGUACUGUCCAUGACAACAAACUAACAAAAAUACAAUUUAUGAAGGAAAACAGUUCUUUGAAAUUGGGUUGAGCUUAAAUUGUUAGAUUUUUUGAACUCCUGCAGUACUUAUACUUGGACUUGCACGACACAUUUUUGAAAGCAUCUGAUGUUCAGAAUAUGCUAUAUGAAAAGAGGAAGGGGUAACACAAUAAGAGACAUAGGCGAAAGAGAGAAAAUCAUGAUCUAUUUAGCUAGGAUAUUUAUGAUACUAGGCAGUGACAUACAUGUCAAACCAUUCCCACCAAGAAGUAGUAGCAGGGUUCAGCUAUCAGUGAGGAGAUGCAAAAGAAAUGCAACUAUACAUUGAAAAUUCCAAUAAAAGCAUUGAAAAAACCCUACUGUUGGCCGUUUGCAAUGCAACUUAGAGGAUUGAAAUACACAAGCAUCAUGGGAGAACUAAAUCAAAUAAAGUACCUUUCUUCCUGCAGCUAUCUAAUUUGCAUUAUAUGUUGCACGAACUCCACAUUGAACAGCUCGUUACCAUUGCUAGUUUGAACUGAAGUAAAUUUAGUACUCCCUCCUUCCCAAAUUGUUAGGCGUAUUAGCUUUUGCAUGCAAUCCCAACAUGUAAGGCACAUGCAAACAAAUCCUUCUCUCAAGCAGUUAAAAUAUCCUGACGAUCGCUAAAUUCCUAGAAGUUAAGGAGUACUAGUAGGUAAUGAAGGGAUCGUGCAGUUAAAAGACGUGGUCAAGGAGAUCGUGCAUGCCUCCCUUUCCUUUUUUUGAGGUCGUGCAUGCCUUCGUCUCUCGUACCUGUACGUUAGCUCGAGUAACAAACGAUGUGCGCUAAUUUUCGUGCUGAAAUCUAAAGCGCCUAACAAUAUGGGAAGGAGGGAGUAACAUUUUGAACUAAAGUAAUUUUAUUAAUUGAACUGAACUAAAAAAAUAAUUUACUAAUCGAAAUGCUAGUUUUUUUCCUGUGUGCACUGAAGAACUACUGCAGGUCAUACAUCAAAUAUACUAGAGAAAACCGAACAUGUGUGGCAGUGCCAGUGCAGCACGGUGUCCUCGCUGAAGAAGCAUCAUGAAUUGCUAGAGAAAACUGUAUGUGAUUUUUUUCUGAACUGAAAAAGAGCUCUUGUUUGUUAGAGAAGUGAAGAAAUAAAUAUUGGGACCCGCUGUAAUGCAUAUAUCCACAAAUUCAGACACCAAAACUAAAGAAAAUAAUAGAAAAGAAAUUAGAUAAUGUUAAAUUUGAAACGUCUCAGUUUUUAGCAUCACUUCUAAACUUUUUUUUCACUCCUAUCUAAUCUUCAAGAAAUUCUCUAGUGGACCUAUAAUUAUUGUAAAAAAUAAUCAACAGGAAUGAUCUCCACCCGUCACCAAUUUACUCAAACUAUCUACACUCAUAUGAGCUUUCCAUUCAAGAUUUCCCGUCCUAUCUUCUUCUAAACAAAUUGAGAACUCUAACCACAUUUUUUUGGAAGCUAUACUGAAAUGCUAGCACAUGUACUACUUUACAGCAACUAUCUUUCGAAGAAAACAUAAUUAAAAGUUGCAAGCAUUUGAAUAGGAGGAAGUCCAACUCAGCUGCAAGCAUAAGGUCAACCAGAGCAUCAGAAUAAGUACACUCAGCUUCAAACAAAUUUGAGAGAUUGAGGGACUACAGGGGUUGUUAUCUCCAAAGAACAUUUGGUGAAUAGAGAAAUGGAUUUAUGAGAUUGACAUUGUCCUGUUUAGACUAUCUACCCAAACAGGGAUAGGAGUUUGACUACGCCGGACAUUAUUCUGCGCUACAUAGUGUGUAGACAUGCUGCCAAUGUCUCACACAUGGUUUGCUAGAACAAGUUGAAAUAAAUAUCUUUUUCAUUUUGAACUUUGAAAGAAGCUAUAACUUUGGCAAAUGUAUGCAGAACUUUAAAUUUCCGACCACAUGCCUUAUGUUCUUGUUUGUUGCCGGGCAUGCCGCUCCUACUCCUGUGGACUGACUGUGCCGACGAAGUCGAGCUGAAGGAGCGGGGAUCACGAGCGGCGGCUGGGUGCGCCGGGAUUUUGCCGAUGUAGGGGGAUCCCAUCUACUACCAAGUCAUUCCCAAGGAGCUUGUAGAGGCGGGGCAGUUGGUCGCAGGCCAGUCGGUGUAAGUUUGAACUAUCAGGUGUGCCGGGAUUUGGCCGCUGUAGAGAAACAAGAAGUCAGAACAAACAGGAGCUAUAUAAUGACGUGCUUCAUGGGCAGUCCAAAAGCAGCAGCCACACAAGUUCAGUAGCCGCUCAACACGCGCACCUAAUCGAUGGGAAUUUACACAGACUGUUUGGAAUUUAUACAAACUUUUAAAACAUGAACUCUGUGGUCCAAAACUUAGUGUUUGAACCAAAAUGCAUGUUUUAACUAAGUUGCACGAUAGCUCAAAUUUGAAAUCAAAUCAUUCAGAAAUUGCACCAAAUAUAUCACAUUUUUGCAAAGAUGAAAUGUAUCUAGUGUUGCUAGCAAGUUGAUUAAUAGAACGACUCUAUGUAUCUCUCUUAUUUCUGCCCAUGAUGGUAUGGUAAGUGAUAACAAUAUACAAUGGACAAUACACACAUGUACUACACAAGACUCUACGUCUGUACUGCCAAGAACAAUAAAUUAACCAAAAGAAAACUAAUUUAUGAAGGAAACAAUUCUUGAACUUUGGUUAGAGCUAUGUUCGUUGAGAUUUUUGAACUCUUGCAGUAGUUAUAUGAUAGAGGCGGGGGUGUCCCGAUCUUUCGAUGAGAUGAUAACUAUCGAUUUGGUGGAGACGACUUUGACGAUCCGACUACAAACGUGCACGACGUUGCGCCUUAGCAAUCGCUAAACCAACUCCGAGAGGUUAUUGACCAUGCCGGAGCACAAUCAACCUGACCACGAAGGUCUAUUCCUGCAAGCAAUCGAAGAACAAGCAAGAAUAUGAUAAAAGCAAUCUGAAUAUUGCGAGUAUAUAUGAAGUAUUGAUAAAGGUGGGGAUCCGUAAGCAGUCUUGGUCUGGUCGUUGGACACAAACGAAGUACACGAAGUUGCAAUGGCUAACUUUUAACUAAACAAAUCCCAAGGAAAAGCUACUAGAUGGAUCUACUUAUAUAGGAGCAAGGGGUGGCGGCCAAGGAGGUGGGAGGACGUCCCAAGGCAGCCUAAAACUAAAUCUAGGUCGUACAAGGCCAAUGGGCCCAAGUGGAGGUGAUGUAACACCUUUGGACUUGUAGUUUGACUCGGAUUCUGCUGCAGCAUCAGAUUGUUUCGUCCACAACUCAACGCUACGGACGAAUUUGAAGGUGAUUCCACUUGGGUUGGAAAGUGCACGAAAUCUAGUUUCCAACAAAAAAAGAAUCACCCAAUUCGGAGUCCGUCUGAAAAACUUGUGUGCAUUUUGAGUCAGGUAUGUCUGUGCAGUCCGAAUCUGAAUCCAGAACGUGAGAGACUUGGACUCUAUCUUCUCUUGGGCCAAAAGUGACGUGAGAGAACUUUUUGGACAGCAAAUAAACAUCUCUUUCUUCCUUAUCUUCAUAUGUGGAUUGUACAAAUGUCCCAUACACCUGCAAUUAGACAAAACACAAAAGUGUGUGAAGUAUUUUUGUUCUGGAUAACACAAAUAGAUUAUUGAAUAGUUUGCACUAGAAAUCACCUGACAAAUAUGCAUAUAUGCAAUAUUUUUGGUCAUAUCCAAGGUAGUCAUGUCCUCAUCAUCGAUGAUGAGGACAUCAAUACAAUUGUUACACCCACAGCCCCUGCUGCUAUACAUACUGGACCAAUUACUAGAGCUCGUGCACGCCAACUAAAUUACCAGGUACUUUCGUUUCUUGGUAAUGAUUCUAAUGUUCAUGAGAAUAUGAUGCUGCCUAAAUUGGAUACAUUUGUUUUGCUUACAAAUGAAGGACCUAGCUUGGAGAAGGAUGAACAUUGGAGCAAGAACAAGCAUGGAGAUGAUGGCAUGCGCAAGGGGAACAAGAACGGAGUUACAAGUGAUGAUUUCAGGACUUUGAAGCCACCAUAAUGGGUGCAUGAAGCCUUGGACGAAAUAUACAAGAUGCCACUUCAUAAAUUUCGUCCCGAGGCUAUUUUAGGUGCUGCGUCACCUUAUUAUUGGGCCAGGCCCAUGUAAUUUCGAAAUACAUAAGUAUAGGCUAUUUUUAGAGUCCGUAUGUGUGGGGAAACAAGAGAUAGGGUUGAUUUCGGACUCCUCCACCAAGGGCCACGAAAUUCCCCCCCUCUUCCUCCAUAUAUACAGCCCUUAGGGCAUCGUUUAGACUUUGGGAUUUGUUUAGUUAAAAGUUAGCCAUUGCAACUUCGUGUACUUCGUUUGUGUCCAACGACCAGACCAAGACCGCUUCCGGAUCCCCACCAUUAUCAAUACUUCAUAUAUAUUUGCAAUAUUCAGAUUGCUUUAUCAUAUUCUUGCUCGUUCUUCGAUUGCUUGCAGGAAUAGACCUUCGUGGUCAGGCUGACCGUGCUUCCAGCAUCGUCAGUAACCUCAGGAGAUCGGUUUAGCGAUUGCUAAGGUGCAACGUCGUGCACAUUUGUAGUCGGAUCGUGAAAGUCGUCUCCAUCAAAUCGAUAGUUAUCAUCUCAUCGAAAGAUCGGGACCCUCGUCUCUAUCAAGUAGUACUUGACGCAUAAUCUCCUUCGUCUCCUCUGGAUUGGUACGGUAUGGUGCACGGUUUGGCAGUGAAGCACCGGGAAUUAAGUCAAUUUGAUGCUCAAUCCCUCGAAUAGGCGGUAAUCCCGGUGGCACGUCUUGUGGAAAGACGUCAGCGAACUCCUGCAAAAUGUUAGUGACAGCAGGAGGCAAAGAGGAAGGCACGUCCUCGAAUGAAAAUAAUGCCUCUUUGCACACAAAAGCAUAGCAAACAGAUUUGCUGAAAUCUAGCUCAUCAAUAUCAGAUUUGGUGGCAAAUAAACAUGCACUUUUCAAUUUAAUUUCAGAAGCAACACUAGAUGGUUUAUUAUUAGGCUUCAUUUGUUGCUCAAAUUCUUUUGCCACAAUCUGAUUUUCACUCUUAUUCGUCUCCUUUUUUGCUUUAUUAGCUCUAUUAAUAUCAUCUUUCAAAAUGGAAUCAGGAGUCAUAGGAAGCAAAGUAAUAUUUUUAUCCUUAUGAACAAGAGUAUAGUGAUUGUUUCUACCAUGGUGUACAGAAUUUUUAUCAAAUUGCCAUGGUCUACCAAGUAAUAAGGAACAUGCUUGCAUAGGUACCACAUCACAAUCAACAUAAUCAGCAUAUGUAGAGAUACUAAAAUGCACACGAACAGUACGUGUUACCUUAACCUUGCCGCUGUUGUUGAACCAUUGGAUGUAGUAAGGAUGUGGAUGUGGUCUUGUGGUGAGAGAAAGCUUCUUGAUAGAGGCAAAGGUGUCCCGUCUUUCGAUGAGAUAGUGGAUUUCGCUUUGGUGGAAGUCGACUUUGACGAUCCGACUACGAACGUGCGAGGACGUCGCGCCUUAGCAAUCGCUAAACCAACUCCGAGAGGUUAUUGACCACGCCGGAGCACGAUCAACCUGACCACGAGGGUCUGUUUCCUGCGAGCAAACGAAGAACAAGCAAGAAACUGAGAUUGCAAUCUGGAUAUUGCGAAUAUAAGAUGAAAGCUUUAUUGAUCAAGGUGGGGUUCUGUGACGCCUUUGUCUGGUCGUUGAACACAAACGAAGUACGCGAAGUUGCAGCUAUGGGGAACUUUUAAUCUAAACAAAACCCAAAGUCUAAACGAUGCCCUAAGGGCUGUAUAUAUGGAGGAAGAGGGGGGAAUUUCGUGGCCCUUGGUGGAGGGGUCCGAAAUCAACCCUAUCUCUUGUUUCCCCACACAUACGGACUCUAAAAAUAGCCUAUACUUAUGUAUUUCGAAAUUACAUGGGCCUGGCCCAAUAAUAAGGUGACGCAGCACCUAAAAUAGCCUUGGGACGAAAUUUAUGAAGUGGCAUCUUGUAUAUUUCGUCCAAAGCUUCAUGCACCCAUUAUGGUGGCUUCAAAGUCCUGAAAUCAUCACUUGUAACUCCGUUAUUGUUCCCCUUGCGCAUGCCAUCAUCUCCAUGCUUGUUCUUGCUCCAAUGUUCAUCCUUCUCCAAGCUAGGCCCUUCAUUUGUAAGCAAAACAAAUGUAUCCAAUUUAGGCAGCAUCAUAUUCUCAUGAACAUUAGAAUCAUUACCAAGAAACGAAAGUACCUGGUAAUUUAGUUGGCGUGCACGAGCUCUAGUAAUUGGUCCAGUAUGUAUAGCAGCAGGGGCUGUGGGUGUAACAAUUGUAUUGAUGUCCUCAUCAAAAACAUUGAGCGUAUGAAUGCUAAAUAUAAACUUGCUGGAGAUAAGGGUAGAAAACAUGUUGUGUUUGCACCUGGAGAUCUUGUUUGGUUACAUUUGCGUAAGGAUAGAUUUCCUGAUUUGCGCAAAUCAAAGUUAAUGCCACGUGCUGAUGGUCCCUUUAAGGUGUUAGAGAAAAUAAAUGAUAAUGCAUAUAAACUUGAGCUGCCUGCAAAUUUUGGGGUUAGUCCCACUUUUAACAUUCCAGAUUUGAAGCCUUAUUUGGGUGAGGAAGAUGAACUUCCGUCGAGGACGACUUCAUUUCAAGAAGGGGAGGAUGAUGAGGACAUCAAUACAAUUGUUACACCCACAGCCCCUGCUGCUAUACAUACUGGACCAAUUACUAGAGCUCGUGCACGCCAACUAAAUUACCAGGUACUUUCGUUUCUUGGUAAUGAUUCUAAUGUUCAUGAGAAUAUGAUGCUGCCUAAAUUGGAUACAUUUGUUUUGCUUACAAAUGAAGGGCCUAGCUUGGAGAAGGAUGAACAUUGGAGCAAGAACAAGCAUGGAGAUGAUGGCAUGCGCAAGGGGAACAAUAACGGAGUUACAAGUGAUGAUUUCAGGACUUUGAAGCCACCAUAAUGGGUGCAUGAAGCCUUGGACGAAAUAUACAAGAUGCCACUUUAUAAAUUUCGUCCCGAGGCUAUUUUAGGUGCUGCGUCACCUUAUUAUUGGGCCAGGCCCAUGUAAUUUCGAAAUACAUAAGUAUAGGCUAUUUUUAGAGUCCGUAUGUGUGGGGAAACAAGAGAUAGGGUUGAUUUCGGACCCCUCCACCAAGGGCCACGAAAUUCCCCCCUCUUCCUCCAUAUAUACAGCCCUUAGGGCAUCGUUUAGACUUUGGGUUUUGUUUAGAUUAAAAGUUCCCCAUAGCUGCAACUUCGCGUACUUCGUUUGUGUUCAACGACCAGACAAAGGCGUCACAGAACCCCACCUUGAUCAAUAAAGCUUUCAUCUUAUAUUCGCAAUAUCCAGAUUGCAAUCUCAGUUUCUUGCUUGUUCUUCGUUUGCUCGCAGGAAACAGACCCUCGUGGUCAGGUUGAUCGUGCUCCGGCGUGGUCAAUAACCUCUCGGAGUUGGUUUAGCGAUUGCUAAGGCGCGACGUCCUCGCACGUUUGUAGUCGGAUCGUCAAAGUCGACUUCCACCAAAGCGAUAUCCAUCAUCUCAUCGAAAGACGGGACACCUUUGCCUCUAUCAAGUGGUAUCAGAUUUCCAGGUUGCUCGGUGAGAUUUUACAGUUUUUCGUAGUUUAGAUCGAGUCUGUUCUUCAUACCUACAGUCCACGAAAAAGCCACAAAAAAAAUUAGGGUUAGUUCAUCAUAUCCGAACCAAUCUGAGCCUUUGCAUAAUCUUUUUAGGGUUUUGCUUUAUUGAAUUUGCGGUUGCAUCGUCGUGUCUAGUUGCUGGUCUUAGAGUCUAGUCUUUUAGAGUUUCGAGUUCUGGUCAUAAGUUGUCACGCCGCUGCCGCACCAUCAUCAUCGCCCCUGCCAUCUACCACCACCGCUUAUCCGCCACCGCUCCGAAUCCGUAUCCAUAUACCACCACCGAUUCAUAUACCACCACCGAUUCAUAUCCAUAUCCAUAUACUACCACCGCUACCACCACCGCUGCCAUAUACCACCACCAUAUAUCCACCACCAAUCCGAGUUCCUUGCAUAUUCGGUUUGUUUUCGAGAUCCAUCUAGAUUCCGAUUCGUGUUUCCUUGCCGGAGUAGGUUUCGGAAAAAAAAAAGAAGAGUCGGGUAGCCACGCUCCGUUUAGGCCCAAAAUUUUUCGAAAACGCAUUUUUCGAAAAAUUUUCUGGCUAUCCUAUUUUUAGGUGUUUCUGAGUGUUUUGAGACAGGUGCCAUUAUAGGAAGUUUUUUUUGACCCGUUUCCAGUUUUUGGGUCCGGGCAGUCAAAAAAAAAUUGGUCGAAAAAAUUUCGUGCCCAUCCUGAUACCACUUGAUAGAGGCGGGGUGUCCCGAUCUUUCGAUGAGAUGAUAACUAUCGAUUUGGUGGAGACGACUUUGACGAUCCGACUACAAACGUGCACGACGUUGCGCCUUAGCAAUCGCUAAACCAACUCCGAGAGGUUAUUGACCAUGCCGGAGCACAAUCAACCUGACCACGAAGGUCUAUUCCUGCAAGCAAUCGAAGAACAAGCAAGAAUAUGAUAAAAGCAAUCUGAAUAUUGCGAGUAUAUAUGAAGUAUUGAUAAAGGUGGGGAUCCGUAAGCAGUCUUGGUCUGGUCGUUGGACACAAACGAAGUACACGAAGUUGCAAUGGCUAACUUUUAACUAAACAAAUCCCAAGGAAAAGCUACUAGAUGGAUCUACUUAUAUAGGAGCAAGGGGUGGCGGCCAAGGAGGUGGGAGGACGUCCCAAGGCAGCCUAAAACUAAAUCUAGGUCGUACAAGGCCAAUGGGCCCAAGUGGAGGUGAUGUAACACCUUUGGACUUGUAGUUUGACUCGGAUUCUGCUGCAGCAUCAGAUUGUUUCGUCCACAACUCAACGCUCCGGACGAAUUUGAAGGUGAUUCCACUUGGGUUGGAAAGUGCAUGAAAUCUAGUUUCCAACAAAAAAAGAAUCACCCAAUUCGGAGUCCGUCUGAAAAACUUGUGUGCGUUUUGAGUCAGGUAUGUCUGUGCAGUCCGAAUCUGAAUCUAGAACGUGAGAGACUUGGACUCUAUCUUCUCUUGGGCCAAAAGUGACGUGAGAGAACUUUUUGGACAGCAAAUAAACAUCUCUUUCUUCCUUAUCUUCAUAUGUGGAUUGUACAAAUGUCCCAUACACCUGCAAUUAGACAAAACACAAAAGUGUGUGAAGUAUUUUUGUUCUGGAUAACACAAAUAGAUUAUUGAAUAGUUUGCACUAGAAAUCACCUGACAAAUAUGCAUAUAUGCAAUAUUUUUGGUCAUAUCCAAGGUAGUCAUGUCCUCAUCAUCCUCCCCUUCUUGAAAAUAAAGCCGUCCUCGGCGUUGCUUAAUCUGAAAUGUGGCUAACAAAAGAGACAAGGUGUACAUGUUGUAUAUGUAUAUGUCAUCCAUUUUUACUUCCCUUGAUUUUUGCAUAUAUGACACAUGAAUAGAUGAGUAACUUGCAUAGUUCAUAAAAUCUAAAGCCCAAAAAUUAGCACAAGAAGUAGAAGGCAUGAAAAUAUUGCAACUCAGUUUGCACAUAUAAGUGAAGCUCUUAUUCAUUUCAAAAGAUUGACAAUGUUCAUCAUUAAACCAUCCCAACAUUGGUGAAUAAACCUUACUUGCAUCAAAUUUACAUGCUACAACAUGCUUAAAUAAGCAAACAUGCAAUAAGUCAUUCAACACAGAAUCAUCACCAAGAUUAGAGGUCAUAUCAAAAUGAUUAAACAUUGGUUCUUUUGCAUCAAUAGUUAAUUCAAUGAGUGCACUCAAAAUUGUUGGUAUUUCAGUUGUUUGAUCACAUGGCAAAGUCAAAUUAUCAACGUAGUCCUCUAAAAUAGGUGGUGUGAUCAAAGUAGUGGGUAGCUCAUCAGAUGGUGCAUUCAAAUUGACAAGGCAUUCAUCAUUCUCAUGUAGAGAUCUAAGAUCAGUACCUUUGUCAUUACCUCUUAUGAUCAACUCAGAUGAUGUAGCCACUCUCGGGGGCGAUGUGUCACAUGGUGGAGGUGAUGUAGUCCUGACAACAACGGAUGUGGUUGUCAUAGUAUGCCUAGUAGUUGAAGGAACAAUCAUAUCAACUCUUGGAAUGUGCACCGUGCGCUUGUUCUCCUCGUGGCCAACACGUCGUUUUAUUUCCUGUUCAGCUUUGCAAGCAAGAUGAAACAAAUGGUCCAUAGGAUAACACUCUUCAUGAAUUAGUAUCUCUUGAAUAUCAUGGUUUAAUCCUCCCCAAAAUCUAUCCAUAAAAUCAUCUUCACUUUCUUCUAAAGAGGAAUGCAACAAGGUAGUUUGUAAAUCAUCAUAAUAUUUUGUUACAGUUUCACUACCUUGUUUUAAGUGUUGCAACUUCUUAAUCAUGUCACGAGUAUAAUAAGCAGGGACGAAAGUAUGUCGCAUGACAAGUUUCAAAUCAUCCCAAGUAGUAGGUAUAUAAUCAGGGUGUAACCGACAAUAUUCACUCCACCAAACCAAAGCAUAACCAGUGAAAGAACCAACCGCAACCUUAACCUUUUUAUGUUCAUCGAAAUUAUGGGAAGCAAAUAUAUUUUUUAUGUCGAACUCCCAUUCAAUAUAUAAAGCAGGUUUAAAACGGCCAUUAAAUGGUGGUAUAGAUACAUUAACCUGAUCAUGUGCAUUUGGAUAUUUGUGCACCUCUCGUGACGGUUGUGGUAUUUGCAAAGGUGGUGGCACGUCUCCCGCGAUCGACGAAGCCCAUGAAUUGACUCUGGAUCCUGUCAUGAUUAGUAGAACAAGAAACAAAACCCAAAAAUAAUGUUCCUAUAACUACUAGGAUGUGGUGGUAAAACGCUCACAGUAAAGCAAAUAUCAAUGUCUUACACGUUGAUAGAGGCAAAGGUGUCCCGUCUUUCGAUGAGAUGAUGGAUUUCGCUUUGGUGGAAGUCGACUUUGACGAUCCGACUACGAACGUGCGAGGACGUCGCGCCUUAGCAAUCGCUAAACCAACUCCGAGAGGUUAUUGACCACGCUGGAGCACGAUCAACCUGACCACGAGGGUCUGUUUCCUGCGAGCAAACGAAGAACAAGCAAGAAACUAAGAUUGCAAUCUGGAUAUUGCGAAUAUAAGAUGAAAGCUUUAUUGAUCAAGGUGGGGUUCUGUGACGCCUUUGUCUGGUCGUUGAACACAAACGAAGUACGCGAAGUUGCAGCUAUGGCGAACUUUUAAUCUAAACAAAACCCAAAGUCUAAACGAUGCCCUAAGGGCUGUAUAUAUGGAGGAAGAGGGGGAGAAUUUCGUGGCCCUUGGUGGAGGGGUCCGAAAUCAACCCUAUCUCUUGUUUCCCCACACAUACGGACUCUAAAAAUAGCCUAUACUUAUGUAUUUCGAAAUUACAUGGGCCUGGCCCAAUAAUAAGGUGACGCAGCACCUAAAAUAGCCUCGGGACGAGAUUUAUGAAGUGGCGUCUUGUAUAUUUCGUCCAAGGCUUCAUGCACCCAUUAUGGUGGCUUCAAAGUCCUGAAAUCAUCACUUGUAACUCCGUUCUUGUUUCCCUUGCGCAUGCCAUCAUCUCCAUGCUUGUUCUUGCUCCAAUGUUCAUCCUUCUCCAAGCUAGGCCCUUCAUUUGUAAGCAAAACAAAUGUAUCCAAUUUAGGCAGCAUCAUAUUCUCAUGAACAUUAGAAUCAUUACCAAGAAACGAAAGUACCUGGUAAUUUAGUUGGCGUGCACGAGCUCUAGUAAUUGGUCCAGUAUGUAUAGCAGCAGGGGCUGUGGGUGUAACAAUUGUAUUGAUGUCCUCAUCACAAUGUUCAUCAUUAAACCAUCCCAACAUUGGUGAAUAAACCUUACUUGCAUCAAAUUUACAUGCUACAACAUGCUUAAAUAAGCAAACAUGCAAUAAGUCAUUCAACACAGAAUCAUCACCAAGAUUAGAGGUCAUAUCAAAAUGAUUAAACAUUGGUUCUUUUGCAUCAAUAGUUAAUUCAAUGGGUGCACUCAAAAUUGUUGGUAUUUCAGUUGUUUGAUCACAUGGCAAAGUCAAAUUAUCAACGUAGUCCUCUAAAAUAGGUGGUGUGAUCAAAGUAGUGGGUAGCUCAUCAGAUGGUGCAUUCAAAUUGACAAGGCAUUCAUCAUUCUCAUGUAGAGAUGGAAGAUCAGUACCUUUGUCAUUACCUCUUAUGAUCAACUCAGAUGAUGUAGCCACUCUCGGGGGCGAUGUGUCACAUGGUGGAGGUGAUGUAGUCCUGACAACAACGGAUGUGGUUGUCAUAGUAUGCCUAGUAGUUGAAGGAACAAUCAUAUCAACUGUUGGAAUGUGCACCGUGUGCUUGUUCUCCUCGUGGCCAACACGUCGUUUUAUUUCCUGUUCAGCUUUGCAAGCAAGAUGAAACAAAUGGUCCAUAGGAUAACACUCUUCAUGAAUUAGUAUCUCUUGAAUAUCACGGUUUAAUCCUCCCCAAAAUCUAUCCAUAAAAUCAUCUUCACUUUCUUCUAAAGAGGAAUGCAACAAGGUAGUUUGUAAAUCAUCAUAAUAUUUUGUUACAGUUUCACUACCUUGUUUUAAGUGUUGCAACUUCUUAAUCAUGUCACGAGUAUAAUAAGCAGGGACGAAAGUAUGUCGCAUGGCAAGUUUCAAAUCAUCCCAAGUAGUAGGUAUAUAAUCAGGGUGUAACCGACAAUAUUCACUCCACCAAACCAAAGCAUAACCAGUGAAAGAACCAACCGCAACCUUAACCUUUUUAUGUUCAUUGAAAUUAUGGGAAGCAAAUAUAUUUUUUAUGUUGAACUCCCAUUCAAUAUAUAAAGCAGGUUUAAAACGGCCAUUAAAUGGUGGUAUAGAUACAUUAACCUGAUCAUGUGCAUUUGGAUGUUUGUGCACCUCUCGUGACGGUUGUGGUAUUUGCAAAGGUGGUGGCACGUCUCCCGCGAUCGACGAAGGCCAUGAAUUGACUCUGGAUCCUGUCAUGAUUAGUAGAACAAGAAACAAAACCCAAAAAUAAUGUUCCUAUAACUACUAGGAUGUGGUGGUAAAACGCUCACAGUAAAGCAAAUAUCAAUGUCUUACACGUUCUUACCAUGCAGCAGGCGGUGAUCGGCAACCAGCGGUGUCAAGUAACUCCGAAUAUUGAGUAAAGCGAUUGCCAGGGGAGCGUACGUAUACACGGCGUAGAAAUAUGUGGAGCUGGGUUGGCUAUAUAUGGUAGCAAAAGAUUAGCAAUAAUCAAUUCAAAGAUGCAAUGUUGAAUAAACGCUCAACGACGGUACUGUGCUGGUCCUAGGCUAGACCGAACUAGAGACGCGAGCCUAGAACACUAAUGAGGUCACGUCGUAGCACAACCAGCAUCAAUGAAGGAUACAAAGUAGCUCUGGACAGCAAGAUAUAAGUGAAGAUCACAACGGCAGUAAAGAUAAUGAUGUGAAACAAUAGCCAAGCUGUUUUACUGAACAGUGCACAAAACAGAUUCCAAUCCGAAUUCAGGUACGAGAUUGAUUCUAGAUAGAUCCAAUUUUUUUUCUCUCUUUUUUUUCUCACGCUUUUUUUUCUUUUUCUUCUCCCUCUUUUUUCUUUUUUUUUCUUUCCUUUUUCUCUCUUUUUUUUUCUUUAUCUUCUUUUUCUCCCUCUUUUCAAGACAAACUAGAUAAGAUGCAGAUUCGAUCAGGCGAAGAUGUGAGUGACCUCAACUAUGAUUAUGACAAUAAACAGUGCGUAGCACGUGGUGGAAAUUGGUGGAUUGGAUGGUGGACAGCGGAUGGGAUAAUGAUGCAGCGGCUGCGUGACUAAUGUGAACAGAACUCGAAACUCUAAAGAAACUAGACACUAAGACCAGCAACUCGACACGACGAUGCAACCGAUAAUUCAACUAUGCAAGCAAUGAAAAGAAAAUUGCACAGGCUCAGACUGGCUUGGACCAAGGAUGAAUAGAUCUAACUCUUUUUUGUGGCUUUUUCUUGGACAAUAGGUAAGAAAAUAAAUCUAAUCUAGGAAAACUGGAAAUUCUCACCGAGCAACCUGAAAACUGAUACCACUUGAUAGAGGCGGGGGUGUCCCGAUCUUUCGAUGAGAUGAUAACUAUCGAUUUGGUGGAGACGACUUUGACGAUCCGACUACAAACGUGCACGACGUUGCGCCUUAGCAAUCGCUAAACCAACUCCGAGAGGUUAUUGACCAUGCCGGAGCACAAUCAACCUGACCACGAAGGUCUAUUCCUGCAAGCAAUCGAAGAACAAGCAAGAAUAUGAUAAAAGCAAUCUGAAUAUUGCGAGUAUAUAUGAAGUAUUGAUAAAGGUGGGGAUCCGUAAGCGGUCUUGGUCUGGUCGUUGGACACAAACGAAGUACACGAAGUUGCAAUGGCUAACUUUUAACUAAACAAAUCCCAAGGAAAAGCUACUAGAUGGAUCUACUUAUAUAGGAGCAAGGGGUGGCGGCCAAGGAGGUGGGAGGACGUCCCAAGGCAGCCUAAAACUAAAUCUAGGUCGUACAAGGCCAAUGGGCCCAAGUGGAGGUGAUGUAACACCUUUGGACUUGUAGUUUGACUCGGAUUCUGCUGCAGCAUCAGAUUGUUUCGUCCACAACUCAACGCUACGGACGAAUUUGAAGGUGAUUCCACUUGGGUUGGAAAGUGCAUGAAAUCUAGUUUCCAACAAAAAAAGAAUCACCCAAUUCGGAGUCCGUCUGAAAAACUUGUGUGCGUUUUGAGUCAGGUAUGUCUGUGUAGUCCGAAUCUGAAUCCAGAACAUGAGAGACUUGGACUCUAUCUUCUCUUGGGCCAAAAGUGACGUGAGAGAACUUUUUGGACAGCAAAUAAACAUCUCUUUCUUCCUUAUCUUCGUAUGUGGAUUGUACAAAUGUCCCAUACACCUGCAAUUAGACAAAACACAAAAGUGUGUGAAGUAUUUUUGUUCUGGAUAACACAAAUAGAUUAUUGAAUAGUUUGCACUAGAAAUCACCUGACAAAUAUGCAUAUAUGCAAUAUUUUUGGUCAUAUCCAAGGUAGUCAUGUCCUCAUCAUUAUACCUAAACUUGCGCUACACACUUCUUGUUCAGUUGAGGGCGUCUGAUAUUUUUGCAACACCAAUAACAUUCUAACCCUUUUAGCAAGUUGUAACAGAGUCAAAAGGCGUGUAUGAGAACUUGUUCCGACAAUCUGAAUCUAUAAAUAGUAAAGUGUAUACACUUCUUUUAACCAAGAAAGUAAUAACUAGUUUCUGCUAAUCUGGAGACAGUAAGGUUUGGUUUUUAAAGUAAGUUGCUACAGCCAGUAGGGACUCAGUACACUCAGUAACAAUUUUAUCUGGAACGCAAAAUGACACCAAGAUUCUGCAAAAAUAAAUCAUACAAAAUAACCCAAAUAAUCAAGAACUUCCUGUAUGCUAGUUUUUGAACUUCCUUGAACAAAACUGUUUGCUUUUUUCUGUUGCAUACGCUACUAAUAUACAAACAGAAAUAAAUUUGUAGACCAAAGGACUCAGCAAAUUGAACCAUUAAUUUUCCAACCAGAGAACUGCAGGAGUUAGCAAAGUGAACUAUUUCCUCACUUAUUUUCCAACCAAAAAUCACACAUUUUUAAACGAAACCAAACUUUUUCAAUGAACUUCUAUAGGUUUAUCUAUUCGAACUUACCAACUUUCCAAACAAGUACUUAGCUUGCUUAUCUUCUUUCCUUCAUGAUGGAAUUAGAAGUGCACAACAUAGAAGCAUUAACACACGGAUCAACUAGGGCAAACAACAUAACACAAAACUAAAUAGAAAUUAAACCAAACAAUAGGGCACAGUUUUACUCUCUAGUAUACUAACCACUUCAGAAUAUUCAGUACAGUGGUAAUAGUAAUUUGCUCAUCCAUUUGGUAAUUUCUUAAGGUUAUGAAAUUAGAUUUUUAGAGGUUUCAUGAGAAAUCAAAUAUGUUCAUUCCGUACAUGUGAAUGAAUUGUCCCUGCUUUGGUCUGCUUAUUGCUAACCAUCAGCAAACAUUCUAGAGGGACUACAAAAUGAUUAAAGAGUACUAUAUAAAUUUCUUUAUCUGGCAAAUUAUGAUAUAGAUCUUAAACCUUUUUAGAAGAUGCUAUUUGUGUGCAACUUUUCUGUGAGUCCAUUUGAUCCAGAUAAAAUCACAUCAGAUUGGGGGGAAAGUUAGAUCAUGCUGGCAUAUGCACAACUGAGCUAAGUUGAUAUAUGCAUCUAUAAUGUAAUUAUUUAGCUUGCCAUUUCAUCAAACAGGUGCUAGGCACCUUGACUUCUCACCUUUCAUGAUGUUUCGAGAUGAACAAGUGCAUUUUUUUAUGGAACCAAACUUCUGAACAUUUUCCAAGACACUCUUUGAACGUGUGGCGGCGUUCAUCAGUGCCGGCAAAGCUCGUACGUGAAGGAGCAUGGCAGGAGGAGCUCGGACGGAUAAGGGAGGAAUAGUUGGACUGAUGUGAGCCCCAUACCUGGAUGAGGACCGGAGGAAGUAGUCCGUGUGGUCGGCGGGGGCUGUCUGUAGAACUGAGCAUUUUUUCGUGCAGUUCAUCCAACCUCCCUCGUGCUGCAGCAUAGAGAGAAACAAAUUAGUGAGAGAAAAGAGAUGUAUGUACUGCUGCUGUUCUUUUUGUUGAACCGUAACUGAAUGUCGUAACGAAGAGAAACCGAGAUGCAGAGGACCGUGGGGGGGGGGGGCUAUCCCGUGGCGNNNNNNNNNNNNNNNNNNNNNNNNNNNNNNNNNNNNNNNNNNNNNNNNNNNNNNNNNNNNNNNNNNNNNNNNNNNNNNNNNNNNNNNNNNNNNNNNNNNNNNNNNNNNNNNNNNNNNNNNNNNNNNNNNNNNNNNNNNNNNNGCUAGCCCAGCGGCGGAGGUGUUUUGCCAUGGCCGUGGGAGGCGGCGACCUCCAUGACCUCGACGUCGUCCGUGGGGAUCCGCGGACAGGGUAGCAGUGGGGGUGCAUCAGGGGCCAUGGCUGCGCACGAGGUAAGGCGCACCGGCGGCGAUGGCGUGCCACGAUGACCGGGGGCGGUGGCGCGCUUGGCCGGAGGAGGGGGGCAGGGGCAGCAGCGCGCUUGGCCGGAGGAGGAAGGAGGACCGGGGGCGGCGGCGAGCUUGGCCGGAGGAGGAAGGAGGACCGGGGGCGGCGGCGAGCUUGGCCGGAGGAGGAAAGAGGCGGCGGCGCGCUGGUGGGAGCACGCUUGGGCGGCGGCAUGAUGCAGGGGUGGAUUGGGGUCCUGGUGAAAGACGAUGGGGGCGUGGGGCUUUUUUCCAUUUUGUUUUCUGGUCGGGAAUGAUUGCUUCGGUCAGUUUACAAGAUUCACGUCGAUCGAUCUAUAUAUGGCGCAAAGGUAACAGAAUAAUAUUUUGUUANNNNNNNNNNNNNNNNNNNNNNNNNNNNNNNNNNNNNNNNNNNNNNNNNNNNNNNNNNNNNNNNNNNNNNNNNNNNNNNNNNNNNNNNNNNNNNNNNNNNNNNNNNNNNNNNNNNNNNNNNNNNNNNNNNNNNNNNNNNNNNNNNNNNNNNNNNNNNNNNNNNNNNNNNNNNNNNNNNNNNNNNNNNNNNNNNNNNNNNNNNNNNNNNNNNNNNNNNNNNNNNNNNNNNNNNNNNNUGAUUAGAAUAGUUAUUUGGAUCACAACCGGUCUAUAUAGGGCGUGCGAGGAUGUUCCUGAACUUCCAACUCCACGUUCUCCGCCUCUCCCCACUCUCCCCGAUUCCCAGCCGCCGCCAUCCCCGCCCUCGCGCGCCUCCCCCCUUACCGGCGAGCCUCCCCAUGGCUGGGUCCAGACCGGCCCCCAUGUCUGCGUCCCCCACACCCCGCCGACGAGCCGGCACCGCGGACCACGCGAUGCGGCGCGGCACCUCCGCCUCCUCCCGGUGAGCCUCUCCCGCCACCACUCUGACUCCUUUCGACGGGGCUCCGCCGUCGCCAUGCCUGGAUCCGGCCUUCUGCCACCAGAAGGGCCACACCGUCACUUCCAGUAUCCCCUCUUCCUCCAUGUUGCUGCUGCCCUUCCGGGCCUGCACCAGUGACCUCAUCGGGCCGACGACAGGGGUCGCGAGGCUCCGUGCCGGCGACUCCUAGGGAGGGAUGAAGUCCAGGGUAGAGUCGCCGCCCCGUCCACGCUUGAGCCCCUCAUUGCCCCGCUGAACACCGCUGCACAACGCAUCCCGUGGCCCGCCGCCGAUGCGCUCGAGCGUCUCCAAUUCUGCUUACUUCAUCGGCAAGGGAGGGAGCUCGCGGUGCUGCUCCCUGUAGGCUGUCGGCCUCCUGGGUGGUCAACCUGCUCGCCGUCCCCAGCUCACCCCUUGCGCUGGCACAAGCAGAGCACCGCGUCACGCGAGCAUCAGCACUCCCGUCCUCCCUAGCAUUCUCGUCGUUGGACCUUGCGUUACCGCUCUCUCCGUCGUGGUGUUUCUUCUCUCUCCUCCUUGUACUUGCUCCAAACUGACGCAUCUUGCUGUUGCUAUCUCUGCUCUGCUUUCUCUCAUGUUAGCCACUGCCGCUGUUCUAUAUUAUUGUUGAUGCUGCUGUUGUGCUCCAUCUCACUUCGCUUGGGUGUUUGUUGCUCACAACAAGUUUGUGUAAAUGUUUGGAGCAGUACUGCUAUUGAAUUUUAUUUGAUUAUGUCGGAUACUAUACUGAACUAUGCAUAGUUAGUAAACAAAAUUAGCUCGUGAUCUCUCUCUUUGUCCACUGAACUCUCAUGCCGGAAGUAUUUGAACUUUACUACAAAAAUAGUUUUUGUAUUUAGUUUCUAAAAAAAUGUAGUUUGAUGCCACUUCUAUAUGUGACCGAUGCACUGGUUUCAGCAGUAUUAUACUUCUGACAAAUGUGUGAAAUGCAGGUCGGCCCUCAUAGUUCGGACCCGAGGCCAUUCCAGAUAAGCAGCAACCACAUGGAGAGGCAAGUAAUGCGGCCAGGGAAAUUUGGCGAAGCAACGGUCUGGAAGUUCAGAGACGAUAUAAUGAGAAAAGUUGUGGCCCGUCAUUGUUUAAUUACACCUAAACAGCUACCCUGUUCUAUUAGUGCAAAAUUCUUCUGUUUUGGAUAUACGAAUAUGGAAUAGAUCACUGUUUAGAUUUCUGUUUCCUGUAGUCUAUUGGUAGCAUGUCCGCGUGCUAGCACUUGGUCCAUAUAUAACUGGAUUGGUACGCGGAAAAACCUGAAAGGUACACAUGUUAAUGUUGGGGAAUGUAGCAAUAAUUCAAAAUUUUCCUACGUGUCACCAAGAUCAAUCUAUGGAGUCAUCUAGCAACGAGGGAGGAGUGGAUCUACAUACCCUUGUAGAUCGCGCGCGGAAGCGUUCAAGAGAACGGGGUUGAUGGAGUCGUACUCGUCGUGAUCCAAAUCACCGAUGAUCCUAGCGUCGAACGGACGGCACCUCCGCGUUCAACACACGUACGGAGCAGCGAUGUCUCCUCCUUCUUGAUCCAGCAAGGGGGAAGGAGAGGUUGAUGAACAUCCAGCAGCACGACGGCGUGGUGGAAGUAGCGGGAUUCCAAUAGGGCUUCGCCAAGCACUGCGGGAGGAGGGAGAUGUGUCAUGGGAGGGAGAGGGAGGCGCCAGGGCUUAGGUAUGGUUGCCCUCCCUUCCCCCCACUAUAUAUAGGGCCAAGGGAGAGGGGGAGGGCGCAGCCUUGCCCCUUCCUCCAAGGAAGGGUGCGGCUAGGGAGGAGUCCUUCCUCCCCAAGGCACCUCGGAGGUGCCUUCCCCCUUUAGGACUCUUCCUUUCCCCUCUUCUCUUGGCGCAUGGGCCUCUUGGGGCUGGUGCCCUUGGCCCAUAUAGGCCAAGGCGCAUCCCCUACAGCCCAUGUGGCCCUCGGGGCAGGUGGCCCCACCCGGUGGACCCCCGGGACCCUUCCGGUGGUCCCGGUACAAUACCGGUGACCCCGAAACUUGUCCCGAUGGCCGAAAUAGCACUUCCUAUAUAUAAUUCUUUACCUCCGGACCAUUCCGGAACUCCUCGUGACGUCCAGGAUCUCAUCCGGGACUCCGAACAACUUUCGGGUUACCGCAUACUAAUAUAUCUAUAACCUAGAGUCACCGAACCUUAAGUGUGUAGACCCUACGGGUUCGGGAGACAUGCAGACAUGACCGAGAUGACUCUCCGGUCAAUAACCAACAGCGGGAUCUGGAUACCCAUGUUGGCUCCCACAUGUUCCACGAUGAUCUCAUCGGAUGAACCACGAUGUCAAGGACUUAAUCAAUCCCGUAUACAAUUCCCUUUGUCUAGCGGUACGAUACUUGCCCGAGAUUCGAUCGUCGGUAUCCCGAUACCUUGUUCAAUCUCGUUACCGGCAAGUCUCUUUACUCAUUCCGUAACACAUCAUCCCGUGAUCAACUCCUUGAUCACAUUGUGCACAUUAUGAUGAUGUCCUACCGAGUGGGCCCAGAGAUACCUCUCCGUCACACGGAGUGACAAAUCCCAGUCUCGAUUCGUGCCAACCCAACAGACACUUUCGGAGAUACCUGUAGUGUACCUUUAUAGCCACCCAGUUACGUUGUGACGUUUGGCACACCCAAAGCACUCCUACGGUAUCCGGGAGUUGCACAAUCUCAUGGUCUAAGGAAAUGAUACUUGACAUUAGAAAAGCUUUAGCAUACGAACUACACGAUCUUUGUGCUAGGCUUAGGAUUGGGUCUUGUCCAUCACAUCAUUCUCCUAAUGAUGUGAUCCCGUUAUCAAUGACAUCCAAUGUCCAUGGUCAGGAAACCGUAACCAUCUAUUGAUCAACGAGCUAGUCAACUAGAGGCUUACUAGGGACAUGGUGUUGUCUAUGUAUCCACACAUGUAUCUGAGUUUCCUAUCAAUACAAUUAUAGCAUGGAUAAUAAACGAUUAUCAUGAACAAGGAAAUAUAAUAAUAACUAAUUUAUUAUUGCUUCUAGGGCAUAUUUCCAACAGUCUCCCACUUGCACUAGAGUCAAUAAUCCAGUUCACAUCGAUAUGUGAUUAACACUCAAGGUCACAUCCCCAUGUGACUAACACCCAAAGAGUUCUGGGUUUGAUCAUGUUAUGUUUGUGAGAGAGGUUAUAGUCAACGGGUCUGAACCUUUCAGAUCCGUGUGUACUUUACAAAUCUCUAUGUCAUCUCCUAGAUGCAGCUACCACGCUCUAUUUGGAGCCAUUUCAAAUAACUGUUCUACUUGGAGUUAUUCUAAAUUGUUGCUCCAUUAUACGUAUCCGGUAUCUCUACUCAGAGCUAUCCGGAUAGGUGUUAAGCUUGCAUCGUCGUAACUCUUUACGUCGAACUCUUUAUCACCUCCAUAACCGAGAAAAUUCCUUAGUCCACUAGUUACUAAGGAUAACUUUGACCGCUGUACUGUGAUCCAUUCUUGGAUCACUCUUGUACCUCUUGACUGACUCAUGGCAAGGCACACUUCGGAUGCGGUACACAGCAUAGCAUACUGUAGAGCCUAUGUCUUAAGCAUAGGGGACGACCUUCGUCCUUUCUCUCUAUUCUGCCGUGGUCGAGCUUUAAGUCUUAACUUCAUACCUUAUAACUCAGGCAAGAACUCCUUCUUUGACUGAUCCAUCUUGAACACCUUCAAGAUCAUGUCAAGGUAUGUGCUCAUUUGAAAGUACCAUUAAGCGUUUUGAUCUAUCCUUAUAGAUCUUGAUGCUCAAUGUUCAAGUAGCUUAAUCCAGGCUUUCCAUUGAAAAACACUUUCCAAAUAACCCUAUAUGCUUUCCAGAAAUUCUACGUCAUUUCUGAUCAACAAUAUGUCUACAACAUACACUCAUCAGAAAUUCUAUAGAGCUCCCACUCACUUCUUUGGAAAUACAAGUUUCUCAUAAACUUUGUAUAAACCCAAAAUCUUUGAUCAUCUCAUCAAAGCAUACAUUCCAACUCCGAGAUGCUUACUCCAGUCCUUAGCUGGAGCUUUGCAUACUUAUUAGCAUCUUUCAGGAUUGACAAAACCUUCCGGUUGUAUCACAUACAACCUUUCCUUAAGAAAAUCGUCGAGGAAACAAUGUUUUGACAUCCUAUCUGCAAGAUUUCAUAAACAAUGCAGCAAUCGCUAAUAUAAUUCCAACAGACUCUUAGCAUCGCUACGAAUGAGAAAGUCUCAUCGUAGUCAACUCCUUGAACUUGUCGGAAAACAUCUUAACGACAAGUCGAGCUUUCUUAAUGGUGAUACCUACCAUCAUUGUCCGUCUUCCUUUUAAAAUCCAUAAGUACCUAACAGCCUUACGACCAUCAAGUAGUUCUCCCAAAGUCUACACUUUGUUUUCAUAUAUGGAUCCUCUCUCGGAUUAUAUGGCGUCGAGCCAUUUUGGAAUCCAGGCCCACCAUCGCUUCUCCAUAGCUCGUAGGUUCAUUGUUGUCUAGCAACAUGACUUCCAAGACAGGAUUACGUACCACUCUGAAGUAGUACGCAUCCUUGUCAUCCCACAAGGUUUGGUAGUGACUUGAUCUGAAGUUUCAUGAUCACUAUCAUAAGCUUCCACUUCAAUUGGUGUAGGUGCCACAGGAACAACUCCUUGUGCCCUACCACACACUAGUUGAAGAGACGGUUCAAUAACCUCAUCAAGUCUCCACCAUCCUCCCACUCAAUUCUUUUGAGAGAAACUUUUCCUCGAGAAAGGACCCGAUUCAAGAAACAAUCCCAUAUUGCUUUCGGAUCUGAGAUAGGAGGUAUGCCCAACUGUUUUGGGUGUCCUAUGAAGAUGCAUUUAUCCGCUUUGGGUUCGAGCUUAUCAGCCUGAAACUUUUUCACAUAAGCGUCGCAGCCCCAAACUUUUAAGAAAUGACAGCUUAGGUUUCCCUAAACCAUAGUUCAUAUGGUGUCAUCUCAUCGGAAUUACGUGGUGCCCUAUUUAAAGUGAAUAUGGUUGUCUCUAAUGCCUAACCCAUAAAACUAUUGUGGUAAUUCAAUGAGAGACAUCAUGGUAUGCAUCAUAUCCAAUAGGGUGCAGUUAUGAUGUUCGGACACACCAUCACACUCGGUGUUCCAGGCUGUAUUAGUUGUGAAACAAUUUCCACAAUGUCUUAAUUCUGUGCCAAACUCGUAAUUCAGAUAUUCAUCUCUAUGAUCAUAUCAUAGAUCUUUUAUCUUCUUGUCAUGACGAUCUUUCAACUUCACCCUGAAAUUACUUGAACCUUUCAAUAAUUCAGACUCGUGAUUCAUCAAGUAAAUAUACUCAACAUCUAGUCAAAUCAUCUGUGAAGUAAGAACAUAACGAUAUCCACUACACGCCUCAGCACUCAUUGGACUGCACACAUCAAAAUGUAUUACUUCCAGCAAGUUGCUUUCUGGUUCCAUUUUACUGAAACCGAGGCUUUCAGUCAUCUUGCCCAUGUGGUAUGAUUUGCAUGUCUCAAGUGAUUCAAAAUCAAGUGAGUUCAAACGGUCCAUCUGCAUGGAGUUUCUUCAUGCAUAUACACCAAUAGACAUGGUUCGCAUGUCUCAAACUUUUCAAAAACGAGUGAGCCCAAAGAUCCAUCAACAUGGAGCUUCUUCAUGCGUUUUAUACCGAUAUGACUUACGUGGCAAUGCCACAAGUAGGUGGUACUAUCAUUACUAUCUUUUGGCAUGAACAUGUGUAUCACUACGAUCGAGAUUCAAUAAACCAUUCAUUUUAGGUGUAAGACCAUUGAAGGUAUUAUUCAAAUAAACAGAGUAACCGUUAUUCUCCUUAAAUGAAUAACCGUAUUGCGAUAGACAUAAUCCAAUCAUGUCUAUGCUCAACGCAAACACCAAUCUCGAUGGUAGAGGGAGCGUGCGAUGCUUCAUCAUAUCAACAUUGGAAACACUUCCAACACAUAUCGUCAGCUCACCUUUAGCUAGUCUCCGUUCAUUCCGUAGCUUUUAUUUCGAGUUACUAACACUUAGCAACCGAACCGGUAUCUAAUACCCUGGUGCUACUAGGAGUACUAGUAAAGUACACAUCAACACAAUGUAUAUCCAAUAUACUUCUAUCGACCUUGCCAGCCUUCUCAUCUACCAAGUAUCUAGGGUAAUUCUGCUCCAGUGGCUGUUCCCCUCAUUACAGAAGCACUUAGUCUUGGGUUUGGGUUCAACCUUGGGUUUCUUCACUAGAGCAGCAGCUGAAUUGCCGUUUCAUGAAGUAUCCCUUCGUGCCCUUGCCCUUCUUGAAACUAGUGGUUUCACUAACCAUCAACAAUUGAUGCUCCUUCUUGAUUUCUACUUUCGCGGUGUCAAACAUCGCGAAUAUCUCAAGGAUCAUCACAUCUAUCCCUGAUAUGUUAUAGUUCAUUACGAAGCUCUAGCAGCUUGGUGGCAAUGACUUUGGAGAAACAUCACUAUCUCAUUUGGAAGAUCAACUCCCACUCGAUUCAAAUGAUUGUUGUACUCAGACAAUCUGAGCACAAGCUCAACAAUUGAGCUUUUCUCCCUUAGUUUGCAGGCUAAGAAAUUCGUCGGAGGUCUUAUACCUCUUGACGUGGGCACGAGCCUGAAAUCCCAAUUUCAGCCCUCGAAACAUCUCAUAUGUUUCGCGACGUUUCAAAACGUCUUCGGUGCCUCAACUCUAAACCGUUUAACUGAACUAUCACAUAGUUAUCAAAACGUGUAUGUCAGAUGUUCGCAACAUCCACAGACAACGUUCGAGGUUUAGCACACUGAGUGGUGCAUUAAGGACAUAAGCUUUCUAUGAAGCAAUGAGGACAAUCCUCAAUUUACGAACCUAGUCCGCAUAAUUACUACUAUCAACUUUCAACUAAAUUUUCUCUAGGAACAUAUCUAAACAGUAGAACUAAAGCGCGAGCUACGACAUAAUUUGUGAAGACCUUUUGACUAUGUUCAGGAUAAUUAAGUUCAUCUUAUGAACUCCCACUCAGAUAGACAUCCCUCCAAUCAUCUAAGUGAUUACAUGAUCCGAGUCAACUAGGCCGUGUCUGAUCAUCACGUGAGACGGACUAGUCAACAUCGGUGAACAUCUUCAUGUUGAUCGUAUCUACCAUACGACUCAUGCUCGACCUUUAGGUCUCUUGUGUUCCGAGGCCAUGUCUAUACAUGCUAGGCUCGUCAAGUUAACCCUAAGUGUUUUGCAUGUGUAAAACUAUCUUACACCCGUUGUAUGUGAACGUAAGGAUCUAUCACACCCGAUCAUCACGUGGUGCUUCGAAACGACGAACUUUAGCAACGGUGCACAGUUAGGGGAGAACACAUUCUUGAAAUUGUAAUGAGGGAUCAUCUUAUUUACUACCGUCGUUCUAAGCAAAUAAGAUGUAUAAACAUGACAAACAUCACAUGCAAUCAAAUAAUAGUGACAUGAUAUGGCCAAUAUCAUAUAGCUCCUUUGAUCUCCAUCUUGGGGCUCCAUGAUCAUCUUGUCACCGGCAUGACACCAUGAUCUCAUCAUCAUGAUCUCCAUCAUUGUGUCUUCUUGAAGUUGUCUCGUCAUCUAUUACUUCUACUACUAUGGCUAACGCUUUAGCAAUAAAGUAAAGUAAUUACAUGACGUUUAAGUUGACACGCAGGUCAUAAAUAAAUAAAGACAACUCCUAUGGCUCCUGCCGGUUGUCAUACUCAUCGACAUGCAAGUCGUGAUACCUAUUACAAGAACAUGAUCAAUCUCAUACAUCACAUAUAUCAUUCAUCACAUCCUUUUGGCCAUAUCACAUCACAUAGCAUACCCUGCAAAAACAAGUUAGACGUCCUCUAAUUGUUGUUUGCAUGUUUUACGUGGCUGCUAUGGGUUUCUAGCAAGAACGUUUCUUACCUAUGCAAAACCACAACGUGAUAUGCCAAUUGCUAUUUACCCUUCAUAAGGACCCUUUUCAUCGAAUCCGACCAGACUAAAGCGGGAGAGACAGACACCCGCCAGCCACCUUAUGCAACUAGUGCAUGUUUGUCGGUGGAACCGGUCUCACGUAAGCAUACGUGUAAGGUUGGUCCGGGCCGCUUCAUCCCACAAUACCGUCGAAUCAAUAUAAGACUAGUAGCGGCAAGCAUAUUGAAGAAAGUCAACGCCCACAACUUCUUUGUGUUCUACUCGUGCAUAGAAUCUACGCAUAGACCUAGCUCAUGAUGCCACUGUUGGGGAACGUAGCAAUAAUUCAAAAUUUUCCUACGUGUCACCAAGAUCAAUCUAUGGAGUCAUCUAGCAACGAGGGAGGAGUGGAUCUACAUACCCUUGUAGAUCGCGCACGGAAGCGUUCAAGAGAACGGGGUUGAUGGAGUCGUACUCGUCGUGAUCCAAAUCACCGAUGAUCCUAGCGCCGAACGGACGGCACCUCCGCGUUCAACACACGUACGGAGCAGCAAUGUCUCCUCCUUCUUGAUCCAGCAAGGGGGAAGGAGAGGUUGAUGGAGAUCCAGCAGCACGAUGGCGUGGUGGAAGUAGCGGGAUUCCAAUAGGGCUUCGCCAAGCACUGCGGGAGGAGGGAGAUGUGUCAUGGGAGGGAGAGGGAGGCGCCAGGGCUUAGGUAUGGUUGCCCUCCCUUCCCCCCACUAUAUAUAGGGCCAAGGGAGAGGGGGAGGGCGCAGCCUUGCCCCUUCCUCCAAGGAAGGGUGCGGCUAGGGAGGAGUCCUUCCUCCCCAAGGCACCUCGGAGGUGCCUUCCCCCUUUAGGACACUUCCUUUCCCCUCUUCUCUUGGCGCAUGGGCCUCUUGGGGCUGAUGCCCUUGGCCCAUAUAGGCCAAGGUGCACCCCCUACAGCCCAUGUGGCCCUCGGGGCAGGUGGCCCCACCCGGUGGACCCCCGGGACCCUUCCGGUGGUCCCGGUACAAUACCGGUGACCCCGAAACUUGUCCCGAUGGCCGAAAUAGCACUUCAUAUAUAUAAUUCUUUACCUCCGGACCAUUCCGGAACUCCUCGUGACGUCCGGGAUCUCAUCCGGGACUCCGAAAAACUUUCGGGUUACCACAUACUAAUAUCUCUAUAACCCUAGCGUCACCGAACCUUAAGUGUGUAGACCCUACGGGUUCGGGAGACAUGCAGACAUGACCGAGAUGACUCUCCGGUCAAUAACCAACAGCGGGAUCUGGAUACCCAUGUUGGCUCCCACAUGUUCCACGAUGAUCUCAUCGGAUGAACCACGAUGUCAAGGACUUAAUCAAUCCCGUAUACAAUUCCCUUUGUCUAGCGGUACGAUACUUGCCCGAGAUUCGAUCGUCGGUAUCCCGAUACCUUGUUCAAUCUCGUUACCGGCAAGUCUCUUUACUCGUUCCGUAACACAUCAUCCCGUGAUCACCUCCUUGAUCACAUUGUGCACAUUAUGAUGAUGUCCUACCGAGUGGGCCCAGAGAUACCUCUCUGUCACAUGGAGUGACAAAUCCCAGUCUCGAUUCGUGCCAACCCAACAGACACUUUCGGAGAUACCUGUAGUGUACCUUUAUAGCCACCCAGUUACGUUGUGACGUUUGGCACACCCAAAGCACUCCUACGGUAUCCGGGAGUUGCACAAUCUCAUGGUCUAAGGAAAUGAUACUUGACAUUAGAAAAGCUUUAGCAUACGAACUACACGAUCUUUGUGCUAGGCUUAGGAUUGGGUCUUGUCCAUCACAUCAUUCUCCUAAUGAUGUGAUCCCGUUAUCAAUGACAUCCAAUGUCCAUGGUCAGGAAACCGUAACCAUCUAUUGAUCAACGAGCUAGUCAACUAGAGGCUUACUAGGGACAUGGUGUUGUCUAUGUAUCCACAUAUGUAUCUGAGUUUCCUAUCAAUAAAAUUAUAGCAUGAAUAAUAAACGAUUAUCAUGAACAAGGAAAUAUAAUAAUAACUAAUUUAUUAUUGCUUCUAGGGCAUAUUUCCAACAGUUACAUGUAGAGGUAUGGGAAGUACGAAAAGUUCAGUUCAUAGUUAUGUCAUAAUUUAUCUCUCCAGACAGGUCCGAUACAAAAAAAAUUGGCAUGUCAGAUACAGAAACAUCUGAAGUUUGAAAAGAUAGCAGACUGGAAUAGAAAACAGGAGAACUCUGUAACAAAAUAGUAGUUGAAAUACAGUUGUGUGAUAUAUGCAGAAUUAUAUCAAGAAGAAAAGAAGAUAACACUGAAUGUCUUUGUGUGAUGCUGGCAGAGUACUAGUUGUACACGUGGUGAGCAUGUAUCGGAGGAGUGUUUGGUUUUUCCUUUAUUUCCUUUUGUGUGAGUACUACUAGUCCACUUCUAUACUAUUCUUUCUUUCUGUAAAAGGUUCAGUUUGACCACGGUAUGUUAAAAGGAGUCUACUCACUUGUGAGUGCAGCAUAUGCUCGACUCGAGUAACAAUAACUAUCAGAUAAAAAAGAUUACUUUGAAAAGUUACAGGACACAAAAAAUCAGAAAGGUUAACAUGGCAAAACCUAAGAAGUUUGGAACUUCAAAACCCAUUAAGUUGGGAUAAAACUAAAAAAGCUUUGUUUAUAAAAUCACAUUUUUCCGGUUUCUAAAAAAACCAAGAGUUCAAAUUAUAAUAAUGCAUAAUUUCAAUGUUUAUUUAAAAAAUGUAUCCCCCCUCCCAAGUGAAGUUAAAAAAAGUUGUGUGAUUGAUAGUCUUUGUUCAUAUGUCUACUAGAAUUGGAUUUUUAAAGAAGUUCAAAUUAAAAAAUAUAAGAAGUUCUAUAUAUUAAAUAAAAGAUGAAAUAUGUUCAGAAAAGAAACCAUAGAAUUUUAACUAGGGAGUUCAAAUAUGUCAUAAAAUAAAAUUCACUUACCAAAAUUAUAUUUUGGUAAAAAAAUACAAUCAAGAAGUUCAAAUUAAAAAAAUAGAUAGUUUGGGAUUCAUAAAAAGCUCGGACUUUUCUUGUUACUAAAUAAUAAACCAAGAAGUUCAAUUUCAAAAAAUAGAGCAGUUCAAUAUUUAUUAAAAAAAUCAAUAUUUUCCUGAUAGUAACGAAUAAACCAAGAAGUUAUGUUAGAAAUAACCAAGAAGUUGUACGAUGUUUAUUAUAAAAGUAGGAUUUUUUCCAUUACAAAUGAAUAACACCAAGAAGUCCAAAUUGAACAAAACCAAGUAGUUAAAUUUAAAAAAUAUAAUAGUUCAAUGUAUAUGAAAAACUCAAGAUAUUCCUCGUUCCUAAAUAAUAAACCAAUAAAUUCAAUUUCAAAAAACGGAGCAACAGUUCAAUAUUUAUUCCAAAAACUGUAAUUUUUCACGUAACUAACGAAUAAACCAAAAAAUUUAGUUCGAAAUAACUAAGAAUGUUUAUAAUGUUUAUUACAAAACUAGAACCUUUUCCAUUACAAAUUAAUAAUACCAAGGAGUCCAAAUUGAGAAAACCAAGAAGUUCAAUUUUUAAAAAUAUAAUAGUUCAAUGUAGGAAAAAUAAAAGUAUGAAGUUCAAUUUGUAAAAGAACGUUUGAUGCUUACUCGAAAACAUAUUUUUUUUCUAAGAAUAAAACUGAGAAGUUCAAAUUAAAAUAAUAGAGAAGUUCGAAGUUUAUCAAAAACUCAAAUUUUUCUCGUUACUAAAGAAUAAAAAUGAAGAAGUUCAAAUUAAAAUAAAUGGCACACCUAAAAAAAUUCAAACGAAAUUUCCCUGCUUUGAAAAACUAGAAGUUCAAACUAAAAUAAUGAAGUGGAUUGAUGUUUAUAAAACCCAAGGUUUUCAAAUUAAAAUAAAUGGUACACCUAAAAAGAGUUUAUUUUAGUAAAAAAAUGGUUGUUAGAAGUUCAAGUGCUUGGCGAGGAAAAUUUUAAAAAUUCUUGUGAGAGAGGUUCGCCGUGUAUUUAAAUGUCCAAAAUACGUAAAAAAGGAUGUUGUUUUUUGUAUUUUAAAAUAAUUCUCUCAAACCAGAGAGAAGUUCAAAGUGAUAGAAAUAAAGUGAAAUACAAUAUAGUGAAACAGAGUGAAGUUCAAACAGACAUGCCCCGGAAGUUCAACUACUUCACGAGUGCAAAAAACAGCACGUCAAAAAACAACACGUCAAAAAUAGAGUGAAAUUCAAACAGACAUGCCUGAGAAGUUCAACUACUUCGCGUGAUGCAUUUUGAUUCGCGGUGAACGCAGAAUUCAUGAUGUCAUCAUUUCUCUAAUUUACUUCAAAACGGCAGGAAUAUCAUUUGUGUAAGUUCAAGUCCUUCGUCGUAGUUAAAAAAAUUAUUGUGAGAGAGGUCUGUAUAAAAAGUAAUAUCAUUUUUGUAACACUGACGAUGGAUAAGAAAAUUACAAACAAAAAUACGUCACAAAAGUUCAACUGAAAACAAUAGGAAGUUCAACUACUACAGUGGAUGAAUUUCAUAUGGAAAACUUUUAAAAUCGUCGCGAGUAUGAAAAAACUAUUAACACGGGAAAGUUGCAUGUUACAGUAGCUUUCCACCGGUAUAUCACUUGCUCAAUUCCGGUGAGUGUUCCGGUGAGUGGACAGAGAUCUACGGGCAAUAAAAGCACGUGAAAAACAGAGUGAAGUUCAGGUAGGCAUGCCGAGAAGUUCAAGUUCUUCACGCGGUGCAUUUUCGAAAAAUCUAUUUCGCGAUAAAGGCAGAAUGAAUGAUCCCUCCGUUUUCAAAAUUACUUGAAAACGACUAGGAAUCAGAGAAAACCAUCAACAUGAAAAAGUUUCGUAUUUUCCGUAGCUUUUCAAUGGUAUAUUAUUUGCCCUAUUCCGGUAAAGUUUGUAGAAAUUACGGUGAAAAUACGUUUUUAGCCAUUUUCAAAAUUGACUUAAAACAGUAAGAAAUUGGGAGAAACAAUAUAUACCAAAAAGUUUCGCAUUACUAAAGCUUUCCAAUGCCAUAUCAUUUAUUGCAUUCGGUGGUACGUUUAAAAAAUUAGCUCGAAAAUAUAAACUCGGUGGAACUUGUAUUGUUUUCUAAAUUACUUUUAAACCGUUCAAAAUUAGAAAAACUUUAAACAUGAAAAGUAGCACAUUUUCAUAAGCUUUCCAACGCCAUAUCAUUUGCCUCAAUUGGAUUAGCCGUUUAAAAAUGACGUUGAAAAUACGAACUCGGCUGUUCAGUUUGUAAAAGUUUACGAUUUUGCAAAUUCCUCUUUAACCAUAGGGAAUUAGAGAAAACUUUCAACAUGUGGAAGAAGCGGUUUUGCGGUAGCUUUACAACGCCAUAUUAUUUGCCUCAUUCUGAUAAAUGGUUUAGAAAUACGAUCGAAAAUACGAUUCACGUUUUUUGUAUGAAGAAAAAACGGUUUUCAAAACUGCUCUUAAACCGCUUACAUUUUGCCAAAAAUUUAACUUGGAUCAUGAUACUGGUGUCCAUAGCUUUCCAAUGGUAUAUCGCAACCCCCAUUUGGGUAAUGUUGGCUGAAGUUCAACCUAGCACUGGGAGAAGUUCAGGUCGAACAACUCAGGCAGUAAAAUUGCAACGGAAGCUUGUUUCAUCACGACCCAAGAGCAAAUCCGCCAAUGAGCGAGAUUCCUAUUUAAAACGGGCAUUUAGUUGCUAAAAACCGUUUGUAGAUUACACUUACAUCACAUAGAACAUGACUGGCCAAAAAAUUCGCGCGGGGAGACACGGUUGAGAAGAUAGCCCGAAGGUCGGGUUCCUGCAUAGUAAAGUUCAGGCGUGUAACUCAGGAAGUUCAUGUUAUGAUCAUAAUAGUGUUUAUAUAUAUAUAUAUAUAUAUAUACAUAUGAAGAUGGGUUUAUAGGAGUAUGUACUCCUAGAACACCUGGCAUUGUUUGGCUCUCACCUACGCUCACGCUAAAUUUUAAGUGAUUUUUUUAAAACUAGGAUGUUACUGAUCCUAUUUUAUGGGGAUUUGUUCGGCACGUUCGGGACCAGCUCAUUCGCUUGUGCACAUCCAUUCCUGCCUCUUGCUGCAUCGGCGACCGACGGCGACAGCCACGACGGCGUGCAUGGCACCGUCCCUGCAUAGGCGAGAACUUUGUUGGCAUGAGCCUUUUGGUGUAGCGAUUCCUACAGCACCAACGUUGACGGAAGUAUGCGUACACAGUGGAUAGUCAAAGGUAUGCGAGAUUCAAUUAUUAUUUUAUGAUCUCCUACGGAUGUCCUGGCUCAUCCAAUAUUUCACAUGGCGACUAGUUGUUUUGUGCAAUGACUUAUUUUCCCGUGUGUUUUUCUAGCAAUUUGAAGCCUACGGCGGAAGAGUAGCACAAAUUGGAAUUUUUUAGGGGUAGAUUGGUUUUGAUUAUGUGAAAAACUCCUGUCAUCUCCUCCAUGGUAGCAACUCCUCCCCUAAUUAAUUAGCAGCAAAUCGAUCUAUAUAUAGGCAUAUUCUUCCUGAUGGUCAACCACACCUCGCAGAUUCUCUCGCUCUGGCAAGAUAUCUUUACUGGAGCUUAGUACUUUUCUGUAGAUCUUCACAACAUGUAAGUAACUUUGGUUUGUCAGCAUCAGUACAACAUUCGGUCAUGCACGAGUUUUUCCUUGCUAUUUUAUUGAUCCACGGUAUGUAUGCAUAGAUCAGGUUCUUGUUCUACUCAUGCUUUUGAAUAAAAUAUUUCACGCAACUGACGUAUGAAAUGCUCCCUAAUUUUCACGCAACUGUGGUCAACAGGAGGACGAUGGCAACCAUAGAUGGCGGCGCGGCCAUGGUGAUCCCCAGUCCAGCUGCCCCGCGUCCGGUUUGGCACAAGCCACAGAUGCAAACAUGUUGUCGGGUUGAAGCACACAUGCAUGAACAUAUACUUGGCAACGGACGAUGCAUAUAUCUAUGCAUUAUCAUGUACUGUUUGUAUGAAAAUUACUAUAGCAGCUUUCUUUGCAAGUAUGCAUUUUUGUAGUACUUAUGCACGUGCUUUUUUUUAUUUUUAUACUCUAAAAAUAUUGUAUAUUGUUCUUCAUGAAUAAUGUGGUAUAUACUCUCGUACAAAAACAUAUGUCAUCACAAUUAAGUUCUAUGUACUCUCUUGUGGUAUAUUGCUUACGAGUGAUGUAGUAUAUACUUAAACAAUCUAGUACAUACUACAUACUACAAAAAUGAAGUAUAUCAUAAAAGUUGAAGUAUAUACUUCCUGAAAAUUGAUGUGGUACAUACCCUCUCGUAAGAGAUGAAAUACACAUGCUUCCUCACAGAAGAUGUAUAUACUCCCUAAAAAAUAGUACUCGUACAUGCACCGUAAAAUAACAACAUAUAUUUACAAUAAAAUUAUGUACUCUACCAUAUACUCGCAGAGCUAAAAAGUGGUAUAUACUAUAAAAUGUAGUAUAUACUGUAUACUCCUUAGGUAAAAAAGUAGUAUAUACUCCUCACAAAAGAAUUUACUGUAUCUGCAUGAAACGCUAUAUACCACAAGCGUGUACAUCUAUUACUUUGAAUUUCAAUAAGAUAUCACUUUCCUAGUUUUAAGGAGCUACGCAUGCAAACGGAUCGGCAAGGAGCACUCACCGUGUUAUUAGGAGUUGAAGCCCCGGUUGGUUGGUGGUUUUGGUCAAUGGAUAAGGUGGGAGUAUGUACAUCCGGGAGUACAAAAUAGGUGUCAUAUAUAUAUAUAUAUAUAUAUAUAUAUAUAUAUAUAUAUAUANNNNNNNNNNNNNNNNNNNNNNNNNNNNNNNNNNNNNNNNNNNNNNNNNNNNNNNNNNNNNNNNNNNNNNNNNNNNNNNNNNNNNNNNNNNNNNNNNNNNNNNNNNNNNNNNNNNNNNNNNNNNNNNNNNNNNNNNNNNNNNNNNNNNNNNNNNNNNNNNNNNNNNNNNNNNNNNNNNNNNNNNNNNNNNNNNNNNNNNNNNNNNNNNNNNNNNNNNNNNNNNNNNNNNNNNNNNNNNNNNNNNNNNNNNNNNNNNNNNNNNNNNNNNNNNNNNNNNNNNNNNNNNNNNNNNNNNNNNNNNNNAGUCUUAUUCUGAUAACACCUAGCUUAUUCUGCUAACACUCCAACAGCGACCCGACGCGACGCCCAACUGAUCUGGAAAACAAAAACGACACCACCCCACUGGCACCCGCCACUCCUCCCUCUCCCUCACUCCUCCCUCGACCCCAGAGCGACAACGAGGAGGGCCCUGGGCGCCGCCCCUUCCGUUGCUUCCAACCGCUCCUCCGGCUGGAUCCCAUCCUCCUCUCCGGCUAGAUCCGGUCAUCCUCAGCCCUCCCCCAGCUUCCAUUCCUCCUCUCCGGCCGGAUCCCGUCGUCUCCCACCGCCACCGCCCAUGUACAACGCCGCUAUGCGCCGGAUUAGGCGCGGCCCAUCGUUCCCCGCCUUCACCGCCCAUAUCCAGGGCCGCUCGACGCCCGGAUCCGCCAUGCCCCGCCUCCCCCACCCAGAUCUCACCCUCGCCACCGCCACUGCUGUUGUGCACUGUGGGCGGAUCCGGGGCACCACUGCUGGUGCCGUGCCCUUGCCUUCCCCACCGAACGCCCCUCUAACUUCCUUGUCCUCCCACCAGAUAGAGCACCGGAGACAAUCGAGGCAUGGUCCGCCUGGCCGCCGUGCGCCGCCCAUGUGAGUACCUUUCCCCCAUCGGCCUGGAUCCAACUCCUCUGCUACAUCAAUGGUGAGUUCCACGCCGCGCCAUGGAGCCAGUAUACCAGUUGCAGUUCAUUUGAUUUUUCCUUUGGAUUUUGGAUGUGCAGAAUUGUUGUGGUUCAUUUGAAAUUCUUUUUGAACCUCACUGACUUCUAUGUUUUAUUUCACCCAUCCUCCGCUGUGCAGGCACCCAUCCUCCGUUGUCGCAUCCUCUGCUAGCCGUCGGCGUGUGGGACGACACUGGAUGGGGGCGAUGGCGCAUCCGUGCGGUUCGCUGACACGGCACGUUCGUACACUCGUUCUGGUGAUGUAGUUCCCUGGCGUACUCCCUUAUCCAGCAGCGAGUAGCUCGCUAUCCUCAUCAUCAAGCGCAUCCACAGCAACUCGCUGACUCGCUAAUUGCAGUAGUUUUUUUUCCUGUUUUUUGGAUUUUGGAUGUGCAGUGCACCCAGAUCACGCGAGCAGUGCACGCGGAUCACACGAGCAGUUAAUUGCAGCGUGAUUAUAGUUUUGGUGGCGCGGGUAGCAUUUUUUCUUUUAUUUUUAUAGAAAAAAGUUUCAUCUAGUUAGCCUUUUUUUAUUUUGAAUAUGUAGUUCAGUGGCAUGGUGUAGUUUGCAGGUGCAGUACGCCGCUUGGGUGUGAUCUAACACAUCACGGCUAGUCCUCAAUUGCUGUUCGGCUGGUGACAUUGUGGAUUUUGUGUGUAUGGUUGUGUGUGGCUGUUUAAAAAUAAUGAAAAUAUAUAGAGUAAAUGUUUUGAAAAUCACUUUGUUCUCCCGCGUGGUUCACUAUAAUAAAACUCCUCCAUUGUUCACUAUAUCAAAUGCAACGCGGCAGUGUGUUUGGCCCUCUGAUGUGGUUCACUUUUGAGAGUGAUGGUGUUCACUUGUGCCCAACAUGAAAAAAUGCGAAAAAAUUAAUGAAACAACAAUAGUAAUGCGGUUCACUUCGAUAUAUGAUGUGGUUCGCUUGCCCUAGUCUUCGCGGUCCACUCUCUUUAAUAAUUUUUUUGAAAAAAAGACAACAAAAAUUCGUCUGAGAAAAAAUUUACAUCCGGCAAAAGAAAUCAUGAAGUGCGCUUGCUCGUCCGAUGCAGUGCGGUUUUUCGUCUGAAGCAGUGCACUCCAUCUCGUUUGGGAAAACUUACGUCCCACAAAAAAGAAAUCAUGUAGUUCACUUGUCUGUCCGAUGAAGUGCGCUUUUUAGUCUGAAGUAGUGCACUCCACCUCGUUUGGAAAAAUUUACGUCCCACAAAAAAGAAAUCAUGUGGUGCACUUGUCUGUCCAAUGAAGUGUGGUUUUUAGUCUAAAUAAGUGUGGUUUUCUGUCUGAUGCAGUACGACCCGUUUAUGGUAGUCUCGAGGUUCAAUUUUCAUAGUAUUACGGUUCACCAAACACUGGACAUGAAAGUGCACUCCACCUCGUUUAGGAAAAUUUACGUCCCACAAAAAAGAAAUCAUGCAGUGCACUUAUUUGUCCGAUGAAGUAUAGUUUUUAGUCUAAAAGAAGUGUGGUUUUCUGUCUGAUGCAGUACAUACGACGAUUUUGGUGUUCCGAAAAAACAGAGUGUUCGCAUUUCGUUAAAAUCAAAAUUGCUUCUAAACCGUACGGAAUCGGGGAGAGUGUUCUAUAUAAAAAAGUUGCGCCUCAUCGAUAUCUUUCCAACGACGUAUAAUUUGAAUCAUUUCGACCAGCAGUUUGUAAAAAUUUCACGAAAAACGGCCGCUACCUCUCAUCGUCAGCCGCACAAUUUUUAAAAUUAACUAAAAAUUGUAAGGAAUCUGAAAAACAUUUUAACAUACAAAAGUUGCGCCUCGUCUGUAGCUUUCUAACGACGUAUCAUACGCCCCAUUUCGACAAACGAUUAGAAAACUAGAGUAAAAACAGUACCGAAAAUUUAAAUUUUCUUGAAAAACAAAAUUCCGCGAUUUAGUAAAUUUGAAACUACUCUUAAACCGUAACGAAAUAGAGAAAAUAAUACAUAUGAAAAAGAUGCGCCUCGAUGAUAUCUUUCCAAUGGUGUAUCAUUUGCUUUGUCCUGACGAGCGGUUUAGAAGAAAUCGCGAAAAAACGCUCGCUGACACUCGUCAUGGGCCGCACCAUUUUUAAAACUGCUCUUAAACCGUGUUGAUUCUCGAAAAGUGUUCAACAUGUCGAAGUUGCGCCUAAUCCAUAGCUUUUCAACUAUAUAUUAGACGCCUCGUUCCGAUAAACGGUUAAAAAAACUAGAGUGAAAACAGUACCAAAAACAACGCGUGCAGUGCGGAAGUGUUAUCAGAAUAGUUAUUCUGCUAAUAUUAGCAGAAUAGUUAGUAUAUAUAUAUCGAAAAAUGGUUGUGUAUUCCUGGGAGUACGUACUCCCGCUCCUUAUACCACAUAGAUAAAUCUUUUAUACCUCUUUAUUAUUUUUAAAAUAUUUCACUAGUAAUUAUUAGAUAUCCCAAAAUGAGUUUUAUGAAAAAAUUCAUGUGAGUCUACAUAUUUUUAAAUAUUUACGUAUAUACUAAUGUGUUUGUACGUGAAAAAGGUAUAUUACAAAAAGUACGUCAUAGAUGAUAUUUUUUUAGCAAAACUCAUAUUGGGGUAUCUUAGAAUAUUAAAUGAAGUAUAUUGAAAACAAUAAAAAGGUAUAAUUAAUGUGUAUAUGAGAUGUAUUGAGGGUGGGAGUACAUACUUCCAGGAUUACAGAAAAGGAGUCAUAUAUAUAUAUAUAUAUAUAUAUAUAUAUAUAUAUAUAUAUAUAUAUUAGCAGGCACCUAAGUGCCCAGGCACCUUGCCUAGAUGCCGUUAGAUCGAAUCGUAGCAUCUUUUUUAUUAUGUAUAGAUGAGUUAUUGGGUCUGACCCGUUAACAAAUAGGUUAAUAUUUUGAAUUAUAUCUCAUCGUUUAAGAAAUAAGUUUCCAUUUGUGUGUUUGUCAUCCAUACCCCGUUCGAACAUUCCAAAAGUAAUUGAUAUCUGCCAAUUGAAUAUCUUACAAAGAAUUUUGCAUGGCGUGGACAUUAUGGAAAGGGUAUAUGAUGGCAAUGAAAUACAUUCCAAUGAUGUGGAUGUCAUCAACAGGACAUUGUUUGAACAAAUCAAGCCGAUGAAAAUAAUUUUCCAUCAUACCUUCCAAAUAAUUUUGCAUGGCGUGUCAAUUAUGGAAAGGUAUAACUAGUUAAUUAAAUACCAUGCAAAGAUGCGCGUGUAAUUAAUGGUCCAUUGUUUGAACAUUUCGAAUUGAAAUGAUUUUCCAUACUUACUGACAUGUAUGAUAGGCACAAGUUAAAAUAUAAAGGUAUUUCAUAAUUACGAAUUUCUGUAAAACAAUCAUCAUUUGUUGAAUGUUAUUUAUUUUAUUAGUAUUGGUCAUGUAGGUAUAUACCUAUAAUAAAAAAAUAUCUCCCCACAAAAUAAAUUUUAAAAAAUAUCUCUACAUUUGUUAGUCUGGUCGUGUGGGUAUGUACCUAUGAUUGGUGCAAAUUAAAAUGUAAAGUUAUUUUAUCAUUAUGAUUUUUGUAAAAAAUAAUUAAUCAUUGAAUGUCAUUUAUUCUAUAGAUGUGGGUAUAUCAUAAAGAUGAUCUUUAAUUGCACUAGUGGCUAAAUCUUUAGGGUAUAUUAAAAAAAUUAUUCCUUAUGGUAGUUUUGAGUUUGGAGUAGAGAAAAUGAUUAGGAAAUGUGAAAUAUAAAUUUUACUGGAUGGAAUAAGACAAGCACUACCGAGAUCACAGAUACUCGGCAAGGAAAAAGGAUGAUACUCGGUGAAAUGCAAGUUCACCAAGUUCCUGCUGGCUGGGUAUUAAACUCAAAACACUUGGCAAAAGGAUGACACUCGACUAACAUGAUCUUUGCAUAGUGUUACACAAAAAGGAAAUGCAUGUGAAAUCCUAAAGAUCUUUGUGGCGCUGUUAUUAUUAAGUAGCAACAGUGUGUCUUCUUAGGUAUACACUGCCUAGUGUUUUAGUACGUACCAUUUUAUAUGUUUUCUUUUGAUUGUGCAUGACUAAUUGCUCCGCAAUAAAUUGAUUCCUACCACAUCAAUUAGAUAUUUUCUAGGAAAUCAAUGUGUGAUUAAAUGUUAUAUAAUUCUUGUGUUGAUGUUAGUUUAUAUUGACGUGGCCAAUACCAUAUAAGAUCUAAUUUUUUCUGCAAGGAAUAUAAUAUAUUCUUUAGUUAGAUUAGUGGUUAUAUCUCUAGGGUAUAUGCAAAAAUAGUUGUGAUAUACAUAUGGCGAAUCUAGUACGACGCCCAUUUGACACACUACCAGCACCAUCCAACUCAUUUAGCAAAAAACUUUGUGUCCAUUCGAUCCAUGUAUCAUAUACAUGUAAAUACAAAUCUUAUUGGACGCAGAGCCAUUCCGAUGGAAAAGAAAAAUAGAGUAGGGAAUCAUAAAGAUCAUUAUCGUAAUUCUAAUAAAAUGGAACCAUAUAUCUGCUCGUGUACAUUAUUGUCAAUUUUGGAUGAAAGCAAGCUUUACAAAAUUACGUUGGGUGAAUAACUAAAGAUCACCACAGGUGGAAGUAUUAUACACCCAUAGGUUGUGCUAUGUGGGUAGGCAUUGUUUAAUAAUUUGCAUGGUGUUGUGUAGGUAUCUCUCGACGAUAAUCAUUUAAAAUUGGAGGUAUCUAAUAUCUAUUACUAUGAAACAACCAUGCAGGUAUGCAUCUUGUGUACUACAUACUCACAAAAUUUGGUGGAUUAUAAGUUGAAUAUAUGAACUUAGGGAUGUCAUAGUAAGAUUGUUGGUAUAUGCCUUUUAAAUUUUUACAAAAAAUUCUACAUAUGUCAAUUAUGGUCGGGUGCACAUAAGGAAAAACUAAAUACCCCGCAAAAAAAAGAAAAAGUAAAUAAUGCAGUGUAGUGUGAUGAUGGCGUAUAAUAAUAUAUGGCGCACCAAUUUGUUCUCACUAUAUAGCUUGGUCGUGGGUACCAGAUAUACCCAAAUGAAAGUAAAAGUAAAAUCCAUAAUUAGAUGGUAUUUUCUCUACUACAUUUCAUUGUUGUGUAUGAGAUACCCAUGAAAAAUAAGCCGUACGAAAAUGCGGUACAUCCAUACUGUUUUAGGAAAUUGAAAAGACUUUGUACCAGUGUGUCAGUGUACAAGAUACCUAUAGAAUACCCAACAAGUAACUUUUUAUCAUUAUUAGGAGACUUUGAGUAUGGUCGUUGGGCAUAUGACACUGUGGGUAUCACACAUUAGCUAUAUGACACCAUGUGUAUCUAAUACAGGCAACUGAUACCUAUUGUAUUAAAAUUUGAAUAGGUUAGGGAGUGUACAACUAUACUUUUAGGCCUUAUGCCACAUCGGUGGGUAUCCAAUUUCUUGGAAAAAUGGUUGUAAUAAAAUGUGAUUUGCCAUUUCUGUUACAAAAUUUAGAAAGUAGAAUACGGUGUGAUGGUUAGGUAUUAGGUUGUGCAACUAUAUCUGUCUGACACGGGUACCAUCAUGCUCUAUAUAUAUCCUGGAAAUAGUACCCAAAAUCAGUAUGGUAAUUUUCUUAAUAUAUGGUCCCUUUUAUAUAUCCUGAACAAAAGUAUGACAAUAUGACUCAUUUUAAUAUUCAAAAUUUUAAAAAUACCUGGGAGUGUUGCCCAAAAUGUGUGUCAUUACAACCCAAAUUACAUGUUCCAGCACACAAUUAGAGAUAAAAGAUAAAAGGAGAUCACUUAUCAUUUGAUACACAUGUAUAUCUUAAAUCCUAUUCGCAACCAUAUUACAUCCCGAUUUUGAUGACUAAUAUUUGCUAUCACACUCGAAAUUGCAACUACAGAUGCAGGAUCAAAAACGAAGAAGUAUACAAUUAAGUCGCAUGUAUCAUCAUUCGCUUCUCUCGCAUACUGAUUGUGUCCGACAUUGUCACGCAAAGCCUUCAUUGUCAACCAUCCAGCACAUCUCAACAUUAGCUCGGCGGCUCUGUGUCAUAUAGAUCAUUUUUUUUGUAGAUGUAUCACAAGAGAGCCAUGAUAAAGUUAACUGAAAAAGAAAUAAAAAAUGCAACGAUAUCCAAUUAGAUGAACAAAAAAAGCUUUGAACACAAAGGAAAAUGAGAGAAUAAAUUACCAGAUAUAUUGAAGUAUCCUCACCAUUAUACAUUUAUGAGAAAAACAACACAUACCUUGCUAUAGGAGCUAUUCGUAUAAGUCAAAAACUACAAGCACAUGGCUGGGAUUUGUAGAUGAGACAAGGUUUGCGAAUUACAACAUACACUUCAAGUCUCAUGUUUCAUAGAACUAUUCUGCACAAAGUACAUGAAUCCUACAUACCUCGCAUGACCAUAACUUUGACUAACAUCGAGAGAGAAAAAGGUCACAUCAGGUAUGUUCCUCGAGGUGGUAGCUCAGUUGUCCGGGCGGUCAUAGUCUCCAUGGUGUAUUCCUCGAUUAUGGUCGUGUGCAUGGAAAGGUAAAAGAGUGUGACGAAGAGGUGGAGAUACAUGCAGUUGAAAAAGAAAUAGGUAAAUUGCUACAGAUGUAAUAGAGAGAUAAACAGCCUGGGAGCCCCAUUAGCGACCGUGACGGUGACAAUGGCAACCAUGGCCAUGCGGGGUAUGCUCGUGUAGAAGAAGGACGAGGCAGAGAUGAAUCAUGUAGGUAUGCAAAUGUGUGCAUGGUUUUGGUCCAGUUUUAAUGGCUAGCCAAAUGAUGGCAAGUACGUGGGCUCCUAUUUCUGGUAAACAAUCAAAUUAGACGACAUCUUUCAUAUUUGGAAAGAAUCGAAUUAAAGGGCAACAACAUAAUGCGAAAAAUUAUGGAAAGGAACAAAUCAUGCUCAUGCAAUAAUAUUUGGAAGGUGAGAAUGGACCAGAAUUGGGACGCAUGCAAUAUUUAAGAAUGAGUAAAGAAUGUUGUUAACGGGUGUAGCAAUCGAAACCCGAUACACAUAGGCAGGAUCAUCCAUUGAUCCAACGGCUGAUGCUCUAGGUGCCCAGGCACCUAGGUGCCCCAGUUAUUUUACCUAUAUAUAUAUAUAUAUAUAUAUAUAUAUAUAUAUAUAGUAACACUAAACUAAGUGUGAGUGUAGAAUAGCUUAUCCUACACCCCAGUAACGGUACAUACAAAAUAUAGUAACACACUAUGUAAAAUAUAUUAAUUUUUGUAAAAAUGUAGUAAAUUACAAACAUAGAUGAUUAAAAAAAAUAUUUUCCGAAUUACUACAUUUUGUACACCGUUUUACUAGAUUUUGUACAUAGCGUUACUAGGGAGUGUAGAAUAAGCUAUUCUACACUCACGCUUAGAAUAAACACUAUCUUCGUAACCAUGGCUUCCCCCACGAAUUAUUCUGGUUAGUCUUGUUCUAUAUCAUAUUAGUGUAAUCUAGGAACAUUUUUAGCAACUAAAUACCGGUUUUAAAUAGGUAUCUCGCUCGUUAGCAGAUUUUGCUCUCGGGUCGUGAUGAAAUUGCGUUUUUUGGCAAUUUUACUGCCUGAGUUGUUCGACCUGAACUUCCCCUAGUGCUAGGUUGAACUUCCACCAACAUUGCCCAAAUGGGGCUUGCGAUAUACCGUUGGAAAGCUAUGGACACCAGUAUCAUGACCAAAGUUAAAUUUUUGGCAAAAUGUAAGCGGUUUAAGAACAGUUUUGAAAACUGUUUUUUCUUCACACAAAAAGCGUGAAUCAUAUUUUCGAUCGCAUUUCUAAACCGUUUAUCGGAAUGAGGCAAAUGAUAUGGCAUUGGAAAGAUGCUGCAAAACCGCUCCUUCCACAUGUUGAAAGUUUUGGCUAAUUCCCUAUGUUAAAGAGUAAUUUGGAAAAUCGUAAAAUUUCACAAACCGAACAGCCGAGUUCGUAUUUUCAAUGUCAUUUUUAAAUGGCUAAUACAUUUGAGGAAAAUGAUAUGGCGUUGGAAACUUAUGAAAAUACGCUACUUUUUCAUGUUGAAAGUUUUUUCUAAUUUUGAACGGUUUAAAAGUAAUUUAGAAAACGGUACAAGUUGCACCGAGUUCGUAUUUUUGAGCUAAUUUUUUAAUCGUACGUCCGAAUCUAGCAAAUGAUAUGGCGUUGGAAAGCUUGAGAAAAUGCGAAACGUUUUUCUAUAUAUUAUUUCUCCCAAUUCAUUACAGUUUUAUGUCAAUUUUGAAAAUGGCUAAAAACGUAUUUUCGCCGUAAUUUCUACAAACUUUAUCGGAAUUGGACAAAUAAUAUACCGUUGAAAAGCUAAGGAAAAUGCGAAACUUUUUCAUGUUGUUGGUUUUCUCUGAUUCCUAGUCAUUUUCAAGUAAUUUCGAAAAUGACGAGAUCAUUUGUUCUGCCGUUAUCGCGAAACAGAUUCUUCGAAAAUGCACUGCAUGAAGAACCUGACCUUCUCGGCAUGUCUACUUGAAAUUCACUCUGUUUUUCACGUCCUUUUUUUGCCCGUAGCUCUCCAUACACUCACUGCAACACUCACCGGAAUUGAGCAAAUAAUAUACCGGUGAAAAGCUGAUGUAAACACGCAUCUUUCCCGUGUUGAUUGUUUUUUCAUAAUCACGACGGUUUUAAAAGUUAUUCAUCUGAAAUUCAUUCAGUGCAGUAGUUGAACUUCCUGUUGUUUUCACAUUGAAAUUCUGUGACGUAUUUUCGUUUGUAAUUUUCUCAUCCAUUCGUCUGUGUUACACAAAUGAUAUUCCUUCUGUACAAACCUCUCUCACAAUAAUUUAUUUUAACUUCCUCCUAUGGAGAACUUGAACUUGUAACAACAAAAAACUUUUGAACUUUGCUUUUUAAUUCUUUUUAAUACAAAAUGCACACCGUGUAGUACAUGACCUUCUGGCAGUUAUCAAUCUGAACUUCUCUCGGUUACGUGAAAAUAUCUGAGUUUUUUAUAAAUAUUAAUCUGAAUUUCUUAAUCCUUUUUUAUGAAUUUUGAAGCACUCUAUUUUUAAAAGUUGAACUUCUUGUUAUUUUAUUUUUGAACUUCUUGUUCCCAUUCUUUAAUAAUGACGUAAACCUGAGUUUUCUAUAAUCAUCGAACUUCUCCAUCUUUUUAAUCUGGACUUCCUAGUUUUUUUCUUAAUCUUUUUUAUGAAAUUUUGAAGCGCUCUAUUUUUAAAAGUUGAAAUUCUUGUUAUUUAAUUUUUGAAAUUCUUAUUUCCAUUCUUUUAAUAACGAGGAAAAUACGAGUUUUCUAUAAUCAUCGAACUUCUCCAUCUUUUUAAAUUGGGCUUCCCGGUAUUAUUUCUUAAUGUUUUCUAUGAAAUUUUGAAGCUCUCUAUUUUUAAAAGAUGAACUUCUUGUCAUUUUAUUUUUGAACUUCCUAUUUCCAUUCUUUAAUAACGAGGAAAAUCUGAGUUUUCUAUAAUCAUCGAACUUCUCCAUCUUUUUAAUAUGGAUGCCCUAGUUUUAUUUCGGAAUCAUUUUUUUCAAUUUGAACUUCAUGGUUGAUUCUUCAAUACUAAGGGGUAUUUGAGUAUUUUGAGAACGGUAAAAUUUUAGUUUCUAAAUAAACAUCGAACCAUUUCGUUAAUUUCAUUGAACUUCCAGUUUUUUAGAGAUGGGGAAAAUCUAUUUUUAAACUUUUUUUAGUUGUUUCUUUUUUUAAUUUGAACUUCUUCAUUUUAUACUGUAGUAACGCUAAAAAUCUAAGUUUUUCAUAAUCUUUGGAUUUCUCUUUUAUUUUAAUUUGAACUUCUUAGUCUUAUUCUUAGAAAAAAAUACGUUUUUAGUUAAGCAUCAAACAUUUUUUAACGGAGAAAAUGUUUUAACCAUCCUAUGAUCACAUAUGUUUUUACUUCUAGAGUUUUUUUAACGGAGAAAAUCCUUUUUUAUACAUUUGUGUUGAGAUGCUUUGUUUUUUUAGUUUGAUCAUCUUGGGUUUGUAAUAAACAUUGGACUUCUUCUUUUAAAUUUAAACCUCUAGAUUUUUUUAGAAACAGGGAAAACCAUUAUUUUUAUAACUUUUGAAAUGAUCAAUUUUUUAAUUUGAACUUCUAGGUCUUUUUAGAAAUGGAUAAAUUCCUUUUUUUAUAAAAAAGUUGAACUGCUCUUACUUUGAUCUUCCUUGGAUUUUCUAGAUAGGUCAACAUAUUUUUUUGUUACAAACAUCGAAACAGAUUUUUGUUUUACUUUUGUUUGGUUUUUUAUUAAAAAGGGAAACUCCAUGAAUUUUUAUUGUACAAACAUAUGUGUGUAUAUUUCUUGAACUACCAAAGUUAGCAUUUUUUGCAACGCGUGUUUUCCUUCUUGGUAUAUAAACAUCGAAUUGCUCUGUUUAUUUUAAUUUGAAAUUCUUUGUUUUAUUCUUGUCGUAACAGGAACAAUAUUUUUUUUGUAAAAGUUGAAUAGUCCCAACUUCUUGUUUUCAUGUAAAAAAUCAUGUUUUAUUACAUUUUGAACUUUCGCUUAUAUUAUAUAUGAACUUCUUCAUUUUUUGAAUUGUUUUGGUGACAAAAAUCUAACAGUUGUUCUGCCAAACUUAUUUUUGGCAUCUAUUUCGAACCUACAUGGGAAAAAGGGUUGUUACAGUGGAUGUGUUAAACAUACACAAAAAGAGAAUAGGAAAGGAGUUACAACGAACAAUUUUUGUCUCGUAGUAUCAAUCUUUUCCACCGGAUACACAUCCAAAGAGAAAAAAUGUACCAAUACCUCCAUAAUGCUACAAAAAUCAUCAGAUCACGAGGAAUAGGAAAAGAGAGCAGUCCAAGAUGCUCACCCCACGUCCCCAAGUGAACAUCAAGGUUUCUUGAAAAUUUUACAACCGAAAUUUGUCAUCUGUCGAGUUUGAACUUCUUUAGGCAGGGGGAACUGUCAGCCAAACCAAGAGAACAAAACACAUCACAAUAGCACAAGAGAAGAGAUUCUAAACUGUCAAGUAAGCUUUUUUCCUUUUAUUCAUGCUCUUGGGCAGCUCGCGAGUUUCCAAACUGCUUGGUGAACAGAUGGCGGCAGCAACAACAUCAAUGAGUUUUUGGCUGACGAGAGGAGGAAAGAUGCCAGCCUCGUCGGAGCAUCGUGGCAGUGUGAUCCGAGCACUGCAGCGGCGAACGUCCUGGGGCUGCAUCAUUGAACGGCCCGAGGCAGUGAGGUUGAACGGCUUGUGUGCUACCACGGCCACCGGAAGGAGCGUGGGAAGGGGCGGGACGAACGAGAGGAUCCAAAGGAGCUGCCGAGAGGUGGAGAAGGAGAAGAGGAACACAGAGGGCGAGAGGAGGCUCACCCGAGGGGAGGAUUGAGGGUUGGCUAGAGGGGAAGGACGCGGUGUUGACCAGAUCCGUGUCGGAUCAACUAGGGCCUCCUAGGUUGAUAGUGCUCGUGGUUCACCGUCGGCGACGACACAGAGCGGCGCAUGGAGGUCGAGGAGCAGGGGCGCGGUGCAAAGGAGGCCGGAGGUGGUGGCUGUGGUGAGAUUUGGGGAAGGAAACGGUGGUGGCGGGGCUAUCUUGUGAGGGCAGCGGCGGUGACGGGGAGAUCUGGGGAGGGUGGCGGCGGCCCGAUCUACUGAGGGUGGUGCCGGUGGCGGGGCAAUCUGGUGAGGGCCAAUGGCGGCACGGGCCAGGGAGGGAGGCGACGGUGGGAUCGGGAGAAGGUAGGGGAGGGGAGGCAGGCGACGGUGGGACCGGGGGUGGGGGUCGUGGGCAGUGGGUGUUUUUCUUUUUCUAGUAACGAUCGGGGCCAUGUGUGUUUGCGAUCUCACGAGCAUACCGUCGGCCCCUAUAUAGGCUGACAUGAUCCAAAUAACUAUUCUAAUCCCAGGAUGAGAAUAGUGUUGUCCUAUAUAUACAUAAACACUAUGCUGAUCACGGGAUCAGAAUAAUAUUCUGAUCACAACCUGAACUGCCUGAGUAACGCGCCUGAACUUCCCUCUGUACGAACCCGACCUUCGGGCUAUCUUCCCAACCGUGGCUUCCUCCGCGAAUUAUUCUGGUUAGUCGGGUUCUAUAUCAUGUUAGUGUAAUCGAGAAACAUUUUUAGCAACUACAUACCGGUUUGAAAUAGGUAUCUCGCUCAUUGGCGGAUUUUGCUCUCGGGUCAUGAUGAAAUUGCGUUUUUUGCAAUUUUACUCCCUGAGUUGUUCGACCUGAACUUCCCCUAGUGCUAGGUUGAACUUCUGCCAAUAUUGCCCAAAUAGGCUUGCGAUAUACCGUUGGAAAGCUAUGGACAACAGUAUCAUGACCCAAGCUAAAUUUUUAGCAAAAUGUGGGCGGUCUAAGAGAAGUUUUGAAAACCAUUUUUUCUUCACACAAAAAAUGUGAAUCGUAUUUUUGAUCGCAUUUCUAAACCGUCUAUCGGAAUGAGGCAAAUAAUAUGGCGUUGGAAAGAUGUUGCAAAAUUGCUCCUUUCACAUGUUGAAAGUUUUCGUUAAUUCCCUAUGGUUAAAGAGUAAUUUGGAAAAUCAUAAAAUUUCGCAAAGCGAACAGCCGGGUUCGUAUUUUCGAUGUUAUUUCUAAACGGCUAAUCUAAUUGAGGCAAAUGAUAUGGCGUUGGAAAGCUUAUGAAAAUGUGCUACUUUUUCAUGUUGAAAGUUUUUCUAAUUUUGAACAGUUUAAAAGUAAUUUAGAAAAUGGUACAAGUUGCACUGUGUUCGUAUUUUUAAGUUAAUUUUUUAACCGUACGUCUGAAUGUAGCAAAUGAUAUGGCGUUGGAAAGAUUGAGAAAAUGCGAAACUUUUUCUAUAUAUUAUUUCUACCAAUUCAUUACGGUUUUAUGUCAAUUUUGAAAAUGGCUAAAAAUGUAUUUUCACCGUAAUUUCUACAAACAUUAUUGGAAUUGGACAAAUAAUAUAUCGUUGAAAAGCUAAGGAAAAUGCGAAACUUAAUCAUGUUGAUGGUUUUCUCUGAUUCUUAGUCGUUUUCAAGUAAUUUCGAAAAUGAUGAGAUCAUACGUUCUGCCUUUAUCGCGAAGCAGAUUCUUUGAAAAUGCACCACGUGAAGAACUUGAACUUCUCGGCAUGUCUACUUGAACUUCACUCUGUUUUUCACGUGCUUUCUUUGCCUGUAGCUCUUCAUCCACUCACCGGAACACUCACCGAAAUUGAGCAAGUAAUAUACCGGUGGAAAGCUGAUGUAAACACACAACUUUCCCGUGUUGAUCAUUUUUUCAUAAUCGCGAUGGUUUUAAAAGUUAUUCAUCUGAAAUUCAUUCAGUGCAGUAGUUGAACUUCCUGUUGUUUUCAUGUCGAACUUCUGUGACGUAUUCUCAAUUGUAAUUUUCUCAUUCAUUCGUCCGUGUUACACAAAUGAUAUUCCUUCUGUACAAACCUCUCUCACAAUAUUUUUUUAACUUUCUCCGAUGCAGAACUUGAACUUAUAACAACAAAACUUUUAGAUUUUGCUUUUUUAAUCUUUUUAAUACAAAAUGCACACCGUGUAGUACGUGACCUUCUGGCAGUUAUCAAUCUGAACUUCUCUCGGUUACGUGAAAAUAUCUGAGUUUUUUUAUAAAUAUUAACCUGAAUUUCUUAACCUUUUAUAUGAAUUUUUAAGCGCUCUAUUUUUAAAAUUUGAACUUCUUGUUAUUUUAUUUUUGGACUUCUUGUUUCCAUUCUUUAAUAACGAGGGAAAUCUGAGUUUUCUAUAAUCAUCGAACUUCUCCAUCUUUUUAAUAUGGACUUACUAGUUUUUUUCUUAAUCUUUUUUAUGAAAUUUUGAUGUGCUCUAUUUUUAAAAGUUGAACUUCUUGUUAUUUAAUUUUUGAACUUCUUAUUUCCAUUCUUUUAAUAACGAGGAAUAUAUGAGUUUUCUAUAAUCAUCGAACUUCUCCAUCUUUUUAAAUUGGGCUUCCUGGUAUUAUUUCUUAAUCUUUUUGAUGAAAUUUUGAAGUGCUCUAUUUUUAAAAGUUGAACUUCUUGUCAUUUUAUUUUUGAACUUCUUGUUUCCAUUCUUUAAUAACGAGGAAAAUCCGAGUGUUCUAUAAUCAUUGAACUUCUCCAUCUUUUUAAUAUGGAUGUCCUAGUUUUAUUUUUGAAUCAUUUUCUUUCAAUUUGAACUUCAUGGUUGAUUCUUCAAUACUAAGGGGUAUGUGAGUAUUUUGAUAACGGUAAAAUUUUAGUUUCUAAAUAAACAUUGAACCACUUCGUUAUUUUCGUUUGAACUUCUAGUUUUUUUUAGAGAUGGGGAAAAUCUAUUUUUAAACUUUUUUAGUUCUUCCUUUUUGAAUUUGAACUUCUUCGUUUUAUACUUUAGUAACGCGAAAAAUCUGAGUUUUUCAUAAUCUUUGGACUUCUCUUUUAUUUUAACCCCAGCAUUAGAAUAGUGUUGUCCUAUAUAUAUAUAUAUAUAUAUAUAUAUAUAUAUAUAUAUAUAUGCUGGGUCUAUUAUGAUAACACCCUUAGAGUCUUAUUCUGCUAACACCUAGCCUUAUUCUGCUAACACCCCCGCCUACCGCUAUAGCUACAAACAAACCACCAAACUGCGGCAAUAAAAAAAACCACCCAUNNNNNNNNNNNNNNNNNNNNNNNNNNNNNNNNNNNNNNNNNNNNNNNNNNNNNNNNNNNNNNNNNNNNNNNNNNNNNNNNNNNNNNNNNNNNNNNNNNNNNNNNNNNNNNNNNNNNNNNNNNNNNNNNNNNNNNNNNNNNNNNNNNNNNNNNNNNNNNNNNNNNNNNNNNNNNNNNNNNNNNNNNNNNNNNNNNNNNNNNNNNNNNNNNNNNNNNNNNNNNNNNNNNNNNNNNNNNNNNNNNNNNNNNNNNNNNNNNNNNNNNNNNNNNNNNNNNNNNNNNNNNNNNNNNNNNNNNNNNNNNNNNNNNNNNNNNNNNNNNNNNNNNNNNNNNNNNNNNNNNNNNNNNNNNNNNNNNNNNNNNNNNNNNNNNNNNNNNNNNNNNNNNNNNNNNNNNNNNNNNNNNNNNNNNNNNNNNNNNNNNNNNNNNNNNNNNNNNNNNNNNNNNNNNNNNNNNNNNNNNNNNNNNNNNNNNNNNNNNNNNNNNNNNNNNNNNNNNNNNNNNNNNNNNNNNNNNNNNNNNNNNNNNNNNNNNNNNNNACCCCACAGCACCGCCCCACGACUCCCCCACCCAAGCACAACUCUCUCAUGGCUCACGCUGCCUCCCUGGAUAGCCGGAUCCCGAUCGCCCCGAUUGAAACCCCACACAUGUGAUGGCCGCCACCUGGGAGCCGCGAUGGCCCGGAUCCGACUCGCUCCUCCAUGGCCUCUGAUGUCGCCAUGUGGUGCGCCACCGGCCACCCACGCCCCGCGCAGCUCGUUGCUGCCCGAUAUUCAGUUCAGCGACCGUGGCAGUGCAGUUCGGAGGCGCGGGUGAUGUGGUUCAGUGCUGGUCGUCAUGGAUGGUCCUCGGGGUAGAUCCCGUAGGUGCUCUUCCAACUCUCUUCACUUUCGUGGCGCUCGAGCGUAGAUGGGACGGUGUCCAACAUCGGCGUGCAGUACGACAUACGACGACGUGCAAUACAGGAUACAACGGCCUGCAGUUCGGUGACCCUCCCACGCGCCAGAACAACCAUGAGCAACAGCACGGCUGGGAGCUCCUCCACCAUUCGCGCCCCAACCACCACUGCAACCCUCUUUCCCCUUGGCUACCUCCUUCCCCUGUAACACCCACGAUGCGGCUAUAUCUCCCACGUGUCGGAGCACGACUUAGAGGCAUAACCGCAUGGUAGGCAUGUCGCAAGAGGGGUAAUCUUUACACAUCCCAUGUACUGAAUAAGAAAGGGAUAAAGAGUUGGCUUACAAUCGCCACUUCACACAAUACAUAAAUAUAUCAUACAUCAUCCAGAAUACAAUCAAGGUCCGACUACAGAACCAAAAUAAAGAAAGACAACCCCAAAUGCUAGAUCCCCGAUCUCCCCAACUGGGCUCCUCUACUGAUCAUCCAGAAAAGACACGUAGUAACAGCCAGAAUCCUCGUCGAACUCCCACUUGAGUUCGGUAGCAUCCCCUGCACUAGCAUCAUCGGCACCUGCAUCUGUUUGGAAGUAUCUGUGAGUCACGGGGACUCAGCAAUCUCACACCCUCGCGAUCAAUACUAUUUAAGCUUAAAGGUAGGAAACGGGUAGUGAGGUGGAGCUGCAGCAAGCACUAGCAUAUAUGGAAGCUAAAUUACGCAAAUGAGAGCGAGAAGAGAAGCAAAGCACGGGCGAGAAGCUAAUAAUGAUCAAGAAGUGAUACUAAGGGUACUUAUGUUCAAGCAUAACACGAGACCGUGUUCUCUUCCUAGACUCCGCCGAAAAGAGACCAUCACGGCUACACACGCGGUUGCUUCAUUUUAAUUAGAUUAAGUGUCAAGUUUUCUACAACCGGAUAUUAACUAAUUCCCAUCUGCCCAUAACCACGGGCACGACUUUCGAAAGUUCAAAACCCUGCAGGGGUGUCCCAACUUAGCCCAUCACAAGCUCUCAUGGUCAACGAAGGAUAUUCCUUCUCCCAGGAAGACCCGAUCAGACUCGGAAUCCCGGUUACAAGACAUUUCGACAAUGCUAAAACAAGACCAGCAAGACCACCCGCUGUGCCGACAAAUACUGAUAGGAGCUGCACAUAUCUCGUUCUCAGGGCACACCGGAUAAGAUAAGCGUACAUGAACCAACAUAACCCAUGUUGCCAAGGGACGGUCCCACACGGGGCUCUAGUUUGGACCAACACUCAAAGGAGCACUGGCCCGGGGGUUUAAAAUAAAGAUGACCCUUGAGUCCGCGGAACCCAAGGGAAAAAGGCUUAGGUGGCCAAUGGUAAAACCAAGGUUGGGCCUUGCUCAAGGAGUUUUAUUCAAGGCGAACUGUCAAGGGGUUCCCAUAACACCCAACCGCGUAAGGAACGCAAAAUGGCGGAAACUAAGGCGGCAAGAGUGGAACAAAACACCAGGCAUAGGGCCGAGCCUUCCACCCUUUACCAAAUAUAUAGAUGCAUUAAAGUAAACAAGAUAUAAUAAUGAUAUCACAAAAAUCUCCAUGUUCCAACAUGGAACAAACUCCAACUUCACCUGCAACUAGCAACGGUAUAAGAGGGGCUGAGCAAAGCGGUAACAUAGCCAAACAAUGGUUGGCUGGGAAAGGUGGGUUAGAGGCUUGACAUGGCAAUAUGGGAGGCAUGAUAUAGCAAGUGGUAGGUAUCGCGACAUAGCAAUAGAGCGAACAACUAGCAAGCAAAGAUAGAAGUGAUUUCGAGGGUAUGGUCAUCUUGCCUGCAAAAUUCUCAGAGUUGACGAAAGCUUAAUCCUCGUUAGCGUACUCAACGGGUUCCUCGAUCACGUACUUGUCUCCCGGCUCUAUUAAAAGCAAGAACACAAGCAAAGGAAACAAAAAUCAACCACGGUGCAAUGCGCAAGCAACAUGAUGCAAAACAUGGCAUGAUAUGCGAGAUGUGAUAUGCAAAGCAUAUGCGUGCUCCGGAAGGAAAAGGAUGAACAAGGCAUCAACUUGGCAAACCAAGUGCUCUGCUGGAAAGAUGAGUUGAUUUUGGUCGAAAUCGAUAUAAAGAUCACCGGAAUCAGAUGCAUGGUUUGCAAAUGGCAAGCAAAACAAUAAUGGCACAAUACCGCGAUUAACAGCACGAUGCCACCUAGAAUGCAACAAGAAACUAAGGUACUACACUCCAACGUAUCAACAAAGCACAUGGUAGUGAUCUACUCAAGAUGCUUGACAAAAGAUGAACACUGAUCUACAGCUAAAUCACAUAAGAGCAGGUUCAAACAAGCAUGGCAAAAGUGCAAAAGAUAUCAGCUUCACAGACUUAGUGAAAAUACUAACAUGCUAGGAAUUAACAUCAGGAAGCAAUGUUUAGAGCAAGCUAACAACAUGCUACAUGAGCGGAUCAUAGCAAACAAAGGCAUGUCAUGAAUCUACUCAAAGCCUAGAACACAAGUCCCUUACUGACCAUGAGCCAAAAAGGCACAGAAGAUAUGAUGGCACCCAUGUAAACAUAGCAAGUUUUAUAAACAGAUUCAGACUUGGCAGAAAACUGAGCAUGCAAAAACAGAGUUAUGAAGGCAUCUUUGCAAGCUCGAUUCACUCAACACAAGGCAUCGCAUGACAAGAUAAUCAUAGAAUCAACAAGAUGGCAUGUUUAUGAAGCUAACCAAGGCAAGCUAAAGUUCAUAGCAUGCAUGGAUCAACUACAACAUCCAUGGAAAAAUUGAUUAACAUGUAAAUAAUCUGCUGGGAACAUUUUAUAGCAAAAGUAGAGCAAGAUUAAGACAUGCUAGUGGACUCCAUAAUUGCAAACAGGGGCAUGGAUGGAUAGAGCAUAACCAUAUGUCAAAAUCAUCCUUACUGAAGAUACUCAAAACAAGCAUGGAUCACUCUGUGGCAUCAUGGAUACAUGGCAUAAAAAUAACAGUAGCCAAAGACUUAGCCAAAAUCCUGAGAUCCUGAAAUCAACAAUAUCACGAAGGCUACUUUGCAUGCUUGUGCUAGUCAUGACAAAGAUCACAAAAAUACAUGGCAUACACCCCUGUAAAGAUGGCAUGGCAUAUAUCAAUAUACAUGUAGGGCUCAUGCCCAUAUGCAGCACACAACAAAUGUAGCAAAAAUGACAACUCCUCAUACUCUGAUAAGAGUCAGCACCUAACAAUUUAUAGCACUCUUGCAUCAGUUAUUAGGGCAUCAAGAUGGACUCAAACAAGCAUGUCACAAUGUAACAAAAUGAAGAGCACAUCAUGAUGAACAUUUUGAUAUAUUGCACGCACAAAACGGAGCUACAUGCAAGAAGUUAUGAUGCAUUGAACAGAGGCUUAAAACAUAACAUAAAAAGGACUUAGAGGGGAUUUGGACCUCCAGAUUUGAGAUCUAGGGUUCGGUGGCGCGGAUGAUGAGGACGGCCAGAGCGGAUCUCGCCGGAAUCUGCAGGGGCGGUGACCGGAGCUCGAAGGAGAGGAGGCCGGCGAGGGGGUCCGGCGAACGACGACCGUGGGAGGUGGCGGAGACAGGUGCUGGCGGCGGAGGACGAGCUAGGCGCGGUCGCCGGCGCGGAGGAGCGACGCGGCUGCCAGCCGGCAUGGAGGAGCGCCGGUGAUGGCGGGCGCGGUCGGUGGAGCACGCCGGCAAGGCGGUGGCGGGCUCGGUGGGAGGCGGCGGGCGAGCGCGGGUGUCGGUGUCAAAACAGGCCGAUCUUGGGUAGGGGGUCCCAAACUGUGCGUCUAAGGCGGAUGGUAACAAGAGGCAGGUGACACGAUGUUUUACCCAGGUUCGGGCCCUCUUGAUGGAGGUAAAACCCUACGUCCUGCUUGAUUUAUUCUUGAUGAUAUGAAUAUUACAAGAGUUGAUCUACCACGAGAUCAGAGAGGCUAAACCCUAGAAGCUAGCCUAUAGUAUGAUUGUCUGUUGUCCUACGGACUAAAACCCUCCGGUUUAUAUAGACACCGAAGGGGGCUAGGGUUACACAAGGUCAGUUACAAAGGAGGAGAUAUCCAUAUCCGUACUGCCUAGCUUGCCUUCCACGCCAAGUAGAGUCCUAUCCGGACACGGGACGAAGUCUUCAAUCUUGUAUCUUCAUAGUCCAACAGUCCAGCCAAAGGAUAUAGUCUGGCUGUCCGGAGACCCCCUAAUCCAGGACUCCCUCAGUAGCCCCUGAACCAGGCUUCAACUUCGAUGAGUCCGGCGCACGGUGUUGUCUUCGGCAUUGCAAGGCGGGUUCCUCCUCCGGACACACCACAGAAGAGUUUGAAUAAAAGGAUAGUGUCCGACCCUGCAAAAUACAUUCCACAUACCAUCGUAGAGAGAAUAAUAUUUGCACAAAUCUAAUCUGUUGACACAUUUUGGCAACAUGACAUCAUGCCAUGGCUCGGUGAUUAUUCGAACCGUUUUUCUUUAACUAGCCCCGCACAUAACGCGAGGCAGUUUCUUGACACGUCUUGUCAAAGCAGAGAUCGUGUCCCCCUUAUUACGGGAUUCUCGUCAAUACGGGCAUGGGUAACCCAACCGUGCCAUCAAUUACGGCGCUUGAGGGAUAAGCGAGUUUUACCAGGCUAGUGGGGGCGCAUAGUUUUGGCCGCCCUUAUAAAGGGAUAAGGUUUAACCUUUUUCUACCCACGCCUUCUUCCUCCUUGCUCAUUCGUUCUUGCGCACUUGAGCUCCAACGCCCAAGUCCACAUCCUUCUCCUCAACCUUCUCCAAACAUGUACGGAGCGGGAGGCAAGUGGAUGGCUUCCUCCGUCACGGAGGGACACAUCAAAAAGCUGCGAGGAGCCGGAUACUUAGCCGCGAAUAUCGUGCAUCGGCUACCCGCUGCAGGGCAGAUCACCCCUACCCCGGAACCUCACGAGAGGGUAGUCUUCCUCCACCACUUCCUCCGCGGACAGGGGUUUCCCCUCCAUCCAUUCGUCCGCGGUCUUAUGUUCUACUAUGGGCUAGACUUUCAUGAUCUGGCCCCGAACUUCAUCCUCAACAUUUCGGCAUUCAUCGUCGUGUGUGAGGCUUUCCUCCGCAUCCGGCCCCACUUCGGCCUGUGGCUGAAGACCUUCAAUAUCAAGCCGAAGGUGGUGGGAGGCCGACAAACGGAAUGCGGUGGAGCCAUGGUGGGCAAGAUGCCCAAUGUUAUAUGGCUUGACGGCUCCUUCGUGGAGACCAUAAAGGGAUGGCAAUCGGCGUGGUUCUACAUCACCGAGCCGCGCGACACCAACUGGGUGGUGGCCCCCGAGUUUCGAUCUAGGAUCCCCACGCGGCUCACCUCCUAGAAAGAGAAGGGCCUAUCCUGGGGUUCAUCGGUGGAGCUGGACGGACUCUAGAAAUGUAUCCGGAAUAUGGCAAGCAAGAAGCUCAAGCUUGUCAACAUAGUCCAGGUCAUGCUCUUCCGUCGGAUCCUCCCGUGUCGACAACGGGAUUUCAACUUGUGGGAGUUCGACCCGGCCUAGCACCAGACUCUGAGCGAGCUCUUCGACAUGACGCACAAGGACGUCUGGAGGGUGCUGUUCAAGGGUGUCGAGGUCCCUCCCUCUCUCAUCGAGGACCGCGGGCUAAGCGCGAAGCGCCCUGCGAAUCCGGUAAGUUUUGUACAUCUGGUAGGAUUUUUACUUCCCAUAGCUUAACCACGUGCGGGGUCUGAGCUCCCAUGCCUUUGACAGGACUGGGUGGGGGCAUCGGAGAAGAUCAACUGUCCGGCCCCUCUGCCCGAAGACACUGCGGACGCUCUCCUAAUGGAGAUGCUCACUCCGGCUCCUUACAAGGUGCCGAAGAAGGCCAAGAAGAAGGCCAAGGGAACCCGGAAGAGUUCCCGACGCCAGGUGGUAUCGGACUCAUGGUCCGAUGACUCUGCAACGCACUCCUCCCACGAAGACGAGGAGGAAGAUGAAGAUGUUCCCCCUCCAGCCGAGGGAGACAAGAAAAGGAAGGCCGCCCCAACCCGGGGGGAGGAGGGCGAAGGGUCCAAGAAGGGAAGGACUCUCCUUCCGGACUGCUCCACAACAGCCGCCGAAGACGAAGACGAGUGGCUGCUCAGGGCCAAGCCCCUGGCGAAGUCGUAAGUAUUCGGAUACCGGAGUAACUCAUAGCAUACAUUUGUCGCACUGCUUCUCCUAACGCCGAAUAUGAUUAUGCAGACCGCCCCAAGCCCGUAUCGACGUAUCUUCGUCGGGCGGCUCCUUGGACUCGUCGGAUAUGGAUAGCGAUCCACUUCUGACCGCCACCUCCCCUUUCCCUACAGAUAAUGCCAAGGUGCUGUCUCAAGAGGCACCGGGUCGAGGGGAGACAGUCCCGAAGGCGCCUCAAGGCGACCUUCCGGACUCCGGGAGCAGAGGGGGUAAGGCUCCCGAGGGCUCCGAGUUCGGCCUUCAGCUGAACAUUGCACCGAAACCUCCAGUGGUUCCAGACUCGGGCAGGCGGCCUCCUUCCAAAAGGGGCAAGACGUCUGUGCCGGUAACCUUUGUCCAUCUAGAGGCACCGGAUAAUCUGCUGGGAGCGCUUCGCAGCGCUUCCAUCGACGAAGAGCACCGCACUAUUAUGAGUGCGGUGAUCCAGAAGGUUCAGUCCGCCAAGAGCGGACUGACUGAAGCCUGUGCCAGCCUUCUAACAGGCUAUGAGGUAAGUGUUUGAAAUAUAGGAAAAAUAUUACCGCAUAGACAGUAGCCCCUGAUGCUCUGUUUGGUGUUUAAAAAGAAAAGCCGAAUAGAGGAUCAACUAAUAUCUACAGGAGUCUAAUAUAAGUAUGUCUAUAUGCAUAUGCAGGCUUCGCUGCUGACCUCUGCCGCACUGACUGUGGAGGUUGCCGUACUGAAGCAGGACCUCGAAGGGUCCAAGAAAGAGCUCGGCCUUGCCAAGAGGCAGCUCGAGGAGAACUAAGGUAAGUAAUACCUAGUCUGUAGAUAUGUAUAUAUAUAAAAGGGAUGCAAUUGCAAAAUGACAGGAUCAUCUUUAAUUUGCCAGGGGCCACGACCGAAGUGGCAACCCUGAAGCAAGCGCUAUUCGAGGCCGAAAACAAAGCAGCCCAGGAGCGCACCGAGUGGGAAAAACAAGAGGCACGGGUGGGCGAGGUGCAGCAAGAGCUCCACGCUCUCGUGACGAAGCACGAGGCGUUGGAGCUUGACUUGAAGACGCGAGAUUCCGAGCUUGUCGCGACCCUUGAGAGUGCAAAGAGUGCCAAGGCCGAAGCCCAAAAGGCCCUCCAGGAGAUUGAUGCGAUGAAGAAGAUAGCGGCGGGUAAGGCAUUCUAUAUGCAAAGCAAGCAUGUGAAAGUAAAUUACUUGUUACUUAACCGAAUCUAGAGCUCUCCAGGAGCAUUCACAGAUUUGCCCCGUAACAUGUCGGAUGCUGCACAAUUUUACCAGGCCGAGGAGGGAAGCUCAACAGAGAAGCUGUUCUGGUCUCAGUAUACUGGGACUGAACACCCGAUGCCUCUGAUCGACCAGCUGAGGCAACUGGUCGAGCUGCACAAGGCGACCGAACAGGCCAUGAAGGGAUUUAUAGUCCGGAUGUGGACUGGCGACGCCCUUCCCAACAGCUACUUCAGCCUGGUGAGGCGGCUUGUGGAUGCCUGCCCAUGGCUGGAAGUCAUCAAGCGGUCCGUCUGCAUCGAAGGUGCACACCGGGCUAUCGCCCGUGCGAAGGUGCACUGGGCCAAGAUGGACGCCGUGAAGCUGGUGAAGGAAGGGCCGUCGCAGGGCAAGGAGCAUCGCCACCCCGAGAUGUACUAUGAGGGUGUCCUGAAGGGUGCCCGUCUUGUAACGGACGAGUGUGCGAAAGAUGUAAUAUUUGAAUAAACUUGCUCGUGUAAUCCUGUAUUAUGAAAACUUGUUCAUAUGCGCUAUGCAAUGCUUGUUUGAAUUUAAAAUAUUGCCUUCUGUUCGGCUGUUUAUCAAAUCUGAGAGAUGGCUAGUCGUCGGCUCCUGCCCCCACGCCACGAGUGCUGGGUUGUUCGGUAUAAACCUGAGCACUCUUGUUCCCAUUUUUGGGUCCUUCGAGGGAGGUGCUUAGCACAACGAACAAGGCAAUCGGACUAUAAUGCGUUAUCACUCUCACUUAGCCAUAGAAUUCUAUAAUUUUAAAUUUCGGCGAAGCCCCUAGUAUUCGGAAGGCUGAUUUCGGGGCGCUAUACACGCCUUAAGUCGGACAGGGCCGACUCCUCGCUCUAAGCGGCAUAAGUCUUUAGGGACUUGAAACCUCUCGAACAGCGUCCAGUCUCUCGCCUUAUCAUGAUAGUCAGUUUUAGCUUUCUCUACUGAGGUGCUUAGCCCAGCAGAACCGGGGCACAAUCGCAGUAGUUCUCCCAGUGCUACCUUAGCCGAUAUAGCGGAACGUAAGGUACCAAAACAUGGGAGCCGGGCAAACCCAACUAUUGACCCAAGACAUGAUUCGGAGCUGAUGCAUAUAAUGCUAUAAGUUCGGGGUGCCGCACUGUCGAAAGUGUUCGGACUUCUCAUGCCGUAUUAUGGGGUAUGCCUAAGCCCCUAGCAUAUUGGCCGUACCAGAAUGUACGGGUGCUAGAUGUCAUGAAUGAACAUAUAUAUACAUAUAUAUAUAUAUAAAGGAAGAAUGCAAUAAUAGUCUUAAUGCUAUGCCUUGUUUAUUCAAAAAGGUGCGUUAAAGCAGAAUAAUACAAGUAGUGCGAUAAGCAAAAAGUAGGACUGUUUGACAUGUCCCUUCCAAGGGCAAGUUGAGGAAUAGUAUUAAAGAAAAUAUUUCACUCGUUAUCGUAAUCCACCUGGGAGUUCCGUGGUGUGACGUAGCUUGCUGCCUCCUUGGUUGCUGCAUCAUGUGUUCGGCAAUCAUGCUGCUGGAGAGGGUUUCCAGAGAUUAAAGUCCUGAAAGAGAAAAAUAACAAAGCGGGAAGCCCCUAGUGCGGUUUAAGCCGCGUCUUGGAGCGUGCCGUAGUCGUGCCCCGCUCCCCACCUAUGCCCAUGGUAUUUUUAAUGCAUAAUUAUGUACGCGUGGCACGGAUUUUGCCGUUUGGCUGGGACCGGGUGGGGGCCACAUUGCUAUGCAAGCUCGGAACGUGCCAGGCGGUCCAGUUGCCGAUUACUCCGGGCGCGCUUGAAGGUGUCUGGGUCCUUAAUCGCCGAACUAGUGGAUUGCCUUAAGAGGCUACUUUGCGCUUCUGCUGCGAGGGCCGCAGUGUGCUCCUCCGUGCGGAGAGAGCGCUUUGUGUUUCCAUUGACUGUGAUGACCCCCCAAGGUCCUGGCAUCUUGAGCUUGAGAUAUGCAUAAUGCGGUACCGCAUUGAAUCUCGCAAAUGCAGUUCACCCGAGCAGUGCAUGGUAGCCACUGCGGAACGGGACUAUGUCAAAGAUUAACUCUUCGCUCCGGAAGUUAUCCGGGGAUCCGAAGAGCACUUCCAGUGUGACUGAGCCUGUGCAAUGGGCCUCUACACCUGGUAUGACGCCUUUAAAGGUCGUUUUUGUGGGUUUGAUCCUUGAGGGGUCUAUACCCAUUUUGCGCACUAUGUCCUGAUAAAGCAGGUUCAGGCUGCUGCCACCAUCGAUAAGGACUCGUGUGAGGUGAAAUCCGUCAAUGAUUGGGUCUAGGACCAGUGCGGCGAAUCCGCCUGACGGAUACUAGUGGGGUGGUCCCUGCGAUCGAAGGUGAUCGGACAGGAGGACCAUGGGUUGAACUUUGGGGCGACUGGCUCCAACGCAUAUACGUCCCUGAGCGCACGCUUCCGCUCCCUCUUGGGGAUGUGGGUUGCGUAUAUCAUGUUCACCGUCCGCACUUGUGGGGGGAACCUCUUUUGUCCUCCGGUGUUCCGCUGCCGGGGCUCCUCCUCGUCAUCGCUAUGUGACGCCUUAUCUUUGUUUUCAGCAUUUAACUUGUCGGCCUGCUCGAACACCCAACGAUCCCUGUUGGUGUGGUUGGCUGGCUUGUCGGGGGUGCCGUGUAUUUGACACGAGCGAUCGAGUAUACGGUCCAAACUGGACGGGCCCGGAGUGCUUCUUUUGAAUGGCUUUUUCCGCUGACCGGGUUUAGAGCCUUUGAAUCCGGCGUUGACUGGCGUAUCCUCGCUAUUGUCACUGUUAAUGCAGCGAUUAUGCUUGUUGCGACGUGACCUGCCGUUGCCGUCCUUGGUAUCCGAAGUACCAUGGUUCUUUGAUAUGUUAUUGCUGUGAGCCAACCAGCUGUCCUCUCCCGCACAGAAGCGGGUCAUGAGUGUCGUGAGGGCUGCCAUAGAUUUCGGCUUUUCCUGGCCAAGGUGCCAGGCGAGCCAUUCGUCGCGGAUGUUGUGCUUGAAAGCUUCUAGGGCCUCUACAUCUGGACAGUCGACGAUUUGAUUUUUCUUUGUUAGGAAUCGUGUCCAGAAUUGCCUGGCCGAUUCCUCUGGCUGCUGAAUUAUGUGGCUCAAGUCAUCGGCAUCUGGUGGUCGCACAUAAGUGCCUUGAAAGUUGUCGAGGAAUGCGGCUUCCAGAUCUUCCCAACAGCCAAUGGACUCUACUGGCAAGUUGUUGAGCCAAUGCCGAGCUGGUCCUUUGAGUUUGAGUGGGAGGUAUUUGAUGGCGUGUAGGUCAUCGCCGCGGGCCAUGUGGAUGUGCAGGAGGAAAUCCUCGAUCCAUACCGCAGGAUCUGUUGUGCCGUCAUAUGAUUCUAUAUUUACGGGUUUGAAACCCUCUGGGAUUUGAUGAACCAUUACUUCGUCUGUGAAGCAUAAGGGGUGUGCAGCACCUCUGUACUGGGCUAUAUCGCGACACAACUCAAAUGAGUCUUGCCCGCUUUGUUCGGCCCGACCGGACUUACUUUUACUAUAUCCGGCGUCACGAUUAUCGUCUCGCAUAGUGGCGCGCCCUCAUGAUCCGUAGAUCAAUCUUGCGGUUUUGCUUUGUCCUCCAUUACGUCUCACAGGUCUGGCGUAUUUCCUCAUGCCUUUUUAUUUGAAUGGCGUCGGGGUGUGGGCUGAGCUUUUGGCUGGAAUGCCUCUCUGUCGCGGCAACGAGGUGGCCGAUCAGCCGCGUCAUACGCCGGGGAUGUAGGUUUCGGUGCUUCCUCCUCCAGUCGGGGUAGCAACCUGCACUUUGGGUAACUCUUGGAGGGGCGUUCGAGUUUAUAUUCCUCGGCCGCCAGGACUUCAGUCCAUCUGUCAGCUAGCAAAUCUUGAUCAGCUUGAAGCUGUUGUUGCUUUUUCUUAAGGCUAUUUGCCGUGGCUAUAAGCCGGCGCUUGAAGCGCUCUUGUUCGACGGGAUCCUCUGGCAUGACGAAUUCGUCAUCAUCGAGGCUUGCCUCGUCUUCGGAGGGAGGCAUGUAAUUAUCAUCCUCCUCCUCUCCAUCUGUCGCUCUCUCAGAAGGGCUGGCUUCUCCAUCCUCCUGCUAUAAAUCUUGCUGGAGGGGAUUGUUGUUGCCUUCGGCACUUUUCGGAGUGCUAUUAUCUCCGGUGCCGGUAUCACCGCUUUUGCCUUGGCGGGACUUAGAGCGGCGCCGCUGACGCUGGCGCUUGGGUUGCUUCUUGGAGGGGUCAUCCUUCGCUGUCCCAUCGCCAUUGCCUUCUUUGGGUGUGUCCAUCAUGUAUAUGUCAUAUGAUGAGGUGGCUGUCCAGUGCCCUGUGGGCAGUGGUUCCUCUUCGCCUCCCGCAUCGUCGUCCAUACCGUCGAUGUCUUCGGAGUCGAAGUCGAGCAUGUCGGUUAAGUCAUCGACAGUGGCUACUAAGUGGGUGGUGGGUGGGCGGCGAAUUUCUUCGUCAUCUGCGUCCCAAUCCUGACGGACGUAGUUCAGCCAGGACUCUCCUGACAAGGAGAGAGACCUUAAUGAGUUUAGUAUGUCGACAAAGGGCGAGUGCUAAAAAAUAUCCGCGGAGGUAAACUCCAUGAUCGGCGCCCAAUCGGAUUCGAUAGGAACGGGUGCAGGCGGUUAGGAGUCCGUGGCCGGAGAAGGAUCCGACAGUUUGGCAACACGGCUCUCGUGAAGGGUAAGGUCGAUAUUCGGCUCGAUCGCCGCAGAGGAUACGACCUCCAUGGCAGGGUCUAUCCACCCGUCCAUGGAUGGCGCAACUGGCUCCAAAUUGAGGGUCGGAGCGGCUGCCGGUGCGAUUUCUUGAACACUGUCUGAUGGUAGAGCUAAAUCGUACUCAUCGUGACCGCGUGGCGCACAAGGCAGGGGCUCGAAUCCGUCGAAGAUCAAGUCUCCGCGGAUAUCGGCCGUGUAGUUUAAGCUUCCAAACCUGACCUGGUGGCCAGGGGCGUAACUUUCGAUCUGCUCCAGAUGGCCAAGUGAGUUGGCCCGCAGUGCGAAGCCGCCGAACACAAAGAUCUGUCCGAGGAGAAAAGUCUCACCCUGGAUUGCAUCGCUAUCGAUGAUCGUAGGAGCCAUCAAGCCUAACGGCGAUGACACAGAGGAACUCUCAAUGAAAGCACCAAUGUCGGUGUCAAAACCGGCGGAUCAUGGGUAGGGGGUCCCGAACUGUGCGUCUAAGGCGAAUGGUAACAGGAGGCAGGGGACACGAUGUUUUACCCAGGUUUGGGCCCUCUUGAUGGAGGUAAAACCCUACGUCUUGCUUGAUUUAUUCUUGAUGAUAUGAAUAUUGCAAGAGUUGAUCUACCAUGAGAUCAGAGAGGCUAAACCCUAGAAGCUAGCCUAUAGUAUGAUUGUCUGUUGUCCUACGGACUAAAACCCUCCGGUUUAUAUAGACACCGGAGGGGGCUAGGGUUACACAAGGUCGGUUACAAAGGAGGAGAUAUCCAUAUCCGUACUGCCUAGCUUGCCUUCCACUCCAAGUAGAGUCCUAUCCGAACAUGGGAAAAAGUAUUCAAUCUUGUAUCUUCAUAGUCCAACAGUCCGGCCAAAGGAUAUAGUCCGGCUGUCCGGAGACCCCCUAAUCCAGGACUCCCUCAGCGGGCGCGGGGCUGCGGCGGUUGGGCUCGGGUGGGCCCUCCUUGGGCUCGUCAGGCCACGGCAGCGGGGAAGGGUCUGGGGACACGUGGCGUGCCCUGAGUGGCUGAGGGAGGCGGCGGAUGCGUCCGGCCGGCGGCUGAUGUGUCCGGCGGUGCGGAGGGAUUGGAUCUAGGGUUUUGGACCCGGAUUUUGGACGAGGAGGACAUAUUUAUAGGUAGGAGGAGUUUGGAGUGCCCAAAUGGAGUGCAGUUUUCGCCCACGCGAUUGUGAUCCAACGACGGAGGACAUGGGAGUUGUUUGGAUGGGUUAAAGGGCCGUUUUGGAGGGGUGUUGGGCUGCAACACACAUGAGGCCUUUAUGGUUCGCUGGUUAACCGUUGGAGCAUCAAACGGACUCCAAAUGGCAUGAAAUUUGACAGGCGGUCUACCGGUGGUGUACCAAGGCCGCUUGGCAAAUCUCGGUCCAUUACGAGAAUGUUUAACACCCGCUCAUGAAAAGAGACAAAAGGGGACACCGGAGGACGUUGGAGUGUCAGAUUGCGAAACAGACAACGGGGAAAAUGCUCGGAUGCAUGAGACGAACGCAUAUGCAAAUGAGAUGCACAUGAUGACAUGAUAUGGAAUGUGUCAUGGAAUUGUCACGGCAGAUGUCCUAGUGGAAGGACUUAGUGGUAGGGCCAUCGCAACUAGGAAGCUUAAAGGGGUUAAUCGGGACAAAGGACACAAGAGGUUUUAUACUAGUUCGGCCCCUUACGAUGAAGGUAAAAGCCUACGUCUAGUUGUGUUUGGUAUUGCUGGGGUUUCGAUCACCAAGAGGCUAACUCGCUGGCUUGGUUAUCGAUCUCUUGUUUCUUGCCCUAAGCCGCCAUCGGGUCGUCCCCUUAUAUACACGGGUUUACGCCUGGUGGCCUACAGAGUCCCAGCCGGCUCAUAGUCGUAUCCGGCUCGGUGACUUCCUUUACAUGCCUUUCUUUACAAGUGUUCCCUUACAUACGAUAGUUUGUAAUAUUGGGCCUUAAGCCGCCUCUAGGCCUUUGGGCCUUCUAUACGAUUUAAUAACCUAUCAUCUUAAUGUUUACUGGGCUUCUUGUGUAACCCACCAUUGGGGCUGACCCGGCCCCUCUUGGGCGGGUCAUAACUGAUAGUUGUAUCCCCAACAUUAGGCCCCAGGUUGACUUUGUAUUUUGUUCUUUGUCAAUCUUCAACACUUAGACAAAGUCCAUAUUCUUAUCCUUGCAGAAGUUUUUGUAACCCGCCAUGACGUCAUCUCUUGGAAACGCAAAAAACUUUUAUGACGUCAUCUCCCAAUGGAUCUUCACCUUUAAUGUCUUCCGAGAAUCGAGGCGUCUGUGUAGUUGGAUAACAUUUAUUCGGCCCUUCCUCGAUUUUUGCACCCAUCUGUUCACAUUUUUCCUUAUAAAUAGGCACGCCUCGGCCUUCCUCAUUCUUCUCUCACUCUCCGUCUUCUUCCUCUCGCAACCCUCCUGCUGCUCGAGCCUCACCGCCGUCACGGUUCUCCCCCGUCUCCGUUGACCUUGGCCGCUGCAUCAACCUGAAUCAGUCCAGAGACGGCGGUGACCCCCGCAAAAGAUCUGUGGUUGUAAGUGUUCUCCUUUUCACUUCUCACAUCCGCAUUAGGGUUUCCAGAUUUCUUCGUGUUCUUCAUAGUUCAUCACAGUUCUUCGUAGUUCUUCCACCGCGGGCCUCUUCUUGAUCCAAAAAGAUAUAUAUGCUUGUGCAGUAGUGUUUUUGUGCCUACUCUUGAUGCCCACAGAUCCCUUUCUCUGGUUCAAAGAUCUCAUUGGAACUCACAGACUCAUCUGCGCUAAACUUUUUAGGUCUAGAAUUUUUUCAUUUUGAAUAGCCAUUUGAUCUGGAAUAAUACCAAGCAGUUAGGAAACUUGUUUGUCUCAACACUUAAUUGAAAUUGCUUUUCUCAAAUAUCUGUAGUCAUGGCGGCUUACUGUGCCGGCUUACUUUUGCUUAUAUGACAUUAGCCCUCAACUAAGCCGUCAUUACUUCCAUGUAUUAUCAUUAUUUAACUGUUAAUUUCACCAUGGAAUAGAACCGGCAUGUUGCCUUUCUUUCAGUUCAUUUUUGAACAUCAUGCCGUCCAAAGCGCCAACCAUCUACAACUGGGUUCCCUCAACUGAAACCAAGGAACAUUUGAAGGACUUCUUUUCCAUAGGGUUUUUGCCAGGGAAAACCGUCAUCUCUUACCGUGCCCCUGACCCGGAGGAAGAACGGCCCAAUCCAAGAGACGGGGAAGUGAUUGUUUUACUGACCAUAUGAACUGUGGCUUUUCACCGCCCAACUCAAAGUUCUUCAGAGAGGUCCUCCACCUUUUCAAACUCCACCCUCAAGAUAUCGGGCCCAACUCCAUAUCUAAUAUCUGCAAUUUCCAAGUGCUAUGUGAGGCGUACCUUCAGGAAGAGCCGACCGUGGAGCUGUUUAGAGAAUAUUUUUAUCUGAACCAGCAGAAUGAGUGCACCAACGGCCUUAGCUUGGAGCUUGGAGGCAUCUCAAUUUAGCGUCGGCAGGGCACUAUCUUCCCCCUCAUAGUCUUACCGAGUCAUCCCAAAGACUGGAACCAGACUUGGUUCUACUGUCAAGAUAUUUCACCAGCAAAUGAGAAGCCACUGUCGAGUUAUCGCGCCGAGCGUCUUGACUCCAAAUUCGCGCUCCCUAACAAGCUUACGGCUGCCGAACGUAGGAAGUUGAUCCCAUCCAUAAAAAGGAUUAAUGUAACACCCACGAUGCGGCUAUAUCUCCCACGUGUCGGAGCAUGACUUAGAGGCAUAGCCGCAUAGUAGGCAUGUCACAAGAGGGGUAAUCUUUACACAUCCCACGUAAUGAAUAAGAAAGGGAUAAAGAGUUGGCUUACAAUCGCCACUUCACACAAUACAUAAAUAUAGCAUUACAUCAACCAGAAUACAAUCAAGGUCCGACUACGGAACCAAAUAAAGAAACACAACCCCUAAUGCAAAAGAUCCCCGAUCUCCCCGACUGGGCUCCACUACUGAUCAACUGGAAAAAAAACACAACGAGCACGAUCUUCAUCAAGCUCCUCCUUGAGCUCGGUUGCGUCACCUGCAUGGUAUCAUCGGCACCUGCAACUGUUAGAAGUAAUCUGUGAGUCACGGGGACUCAGCAAUCUCACACCCGUGAGAUCAAGACUAUUUAAACUUAUGGGUGGGAAAAGGUAGUGAGGUGGAGCUGCAGCAAGCACUAGCAUAUAUGGUGGCUAACUUACGCAAAUGAGAGCGAGAAGAGAAGCAAAGCACGGUCUUGAACUAGAAGUGAUCAAGAAGUGAUCCUGAAACUACUUACGUUCAAGCAUAACUCCAAAACCGUGUUCACUUCCCGGACUCCACCAGAAAAAGACCAUCAUGGCUACACACGCGGUUGAUGCAUUUUAAUCGAGUUAAGUGUCAAGUUCUCUACAACCGGAUAUUAACAAAUUCCCAUCUGCCCAUAACCACGGGCAUGACUUUCGAAAGUUCAAAACCCUGCAAGGGUGUCCCAACUUAACCCAUCACAAGCUCUCACGAUCAACGAAGGAUAUUCCUUCUCCCAGGAAGACCCGAUCAGACUUGGAAUCCCGGUUACAAGACAUUUCGACAAUGGUAAAACAAGACCAGCAAAGCCGCCCGAUGCGCCGACAUCCUGAUAGGAGCUGCACAUAUCUCGUUCUUAGGGCAACACCGGAUGAGACAUGCUACGAGUAAAACCAACCCUCAAGUUUCCUCGAGGUGGUCCCCCAAUCUACUCAGUUCGGACCAACACUUAGAGAAGCACUGGCCCGGGGGGGGGGGGUUAAAAUAAAGAUGACCCUUGAGUCUACAGAACCCAAGGGAAGUGUAGGAUCUAGAAGUAGAUGUGUCUAGAGGGGGGUGAUUAGACACUUAGUGCUAAAGUUGCAAUUUUUAAGCUUUUUCGGUUUGAGUGGAGUUUUAGACACAAUUUCAACACACACAAUACAUAUCAAGCAAGCAUGCAAAGAGUAUAUGAGCAGCGAAAUGUAAAGCAUGCAACUUGCAAGAAUGUAAGGGGAAGGGUUUGGAGAAUUCAAACGCAAUUGGAGACACGGAUGUUUUUCCCGUGGUUCGGAUAGGUGGUGCUAUCCUACAUCCACGUUGAUGGACACUUCAACCCACAAAGGGUAACGGUUGCGAGAGUCCACGGAGGGCUCCACCCACAAAGGGCAACAGUUGUGCGAGUCCACAUAGGGCUCCACCCACGAAGGGUCCACGAAGAAGCAACCACCCACAUAGGGUCCACGAAGAAGCAACCUUGUCUAUCCCACCAUGGCCAUCGCCCACACAGGACUUGCCUCACUAGCGGUAGAUCUUCACGAAGUAGGCGAUCUCCUUGCCCUUACAAACUCCUUGGUUCAACUCCACAAUCUUGUCGGAGGCUCCCAAGUGACACCUAGCCAAUCUAGGAGACACCACUCUCCAAGAAGUAACAAAUGGUGUGUAGGUAAUGAACUCCUUGCUCUUGUGCUUCAAAUGAUAGUCUCCCCAACACUCAACUCUCUCUCAUAGGAUUUGGAUUUGGUGGAAAGAAGAUUUGAGUGGAAAGCAACUUGGGAAGGCUAGAGAUCAAGAUUCAUAUGGUAGGAAUGGAAUGUCUUGAUCUCAACACAUGAGUAGGUGGUUCUCUCUCAGAACAUAUGAGUUGGAAUUGUGUAUGUGUUCUGAUGGCUCUCUCCUCGAAUGAAGAGGUGGUGGAGGGGUAUAUAUAGCCUCCACACAAAAUCCAACCGUUACACACAGUUUUCCAAUCUCGGUGGGACCGAAUCAACAAACUCGGUCGGACCGAAAUGUAAACCUAGUGACCGUUAGAGAUUUUCGGUGGGACCGACUGGAUCAACUCGGUGGGACCGAUGUGCUAGGGUUAGGGUAAAUCCAAAACUCGGUUUGACCGAUUACUCAAACUCGGUGGGACCGAUUUGGGUAAUAAGUGAAACUGAGAUUUGGUCAAGCAAACUCGGUGGGACCGAUUGCAUAUCUCGGAGGGACCGAGAAUAUUGCAAUGGGUAACAGAGAGUUUGCAAGCCCAUCUCGGUGAGACCGAGAUCCCAUCGGUGAGACCGAACUGAUUAGGGUUUGGCAGUGGCUUAUGACAAGUGAAACUCGGUGGCGCCGGAUAGGAAGAAUAGGUAGGACCGAGUUUGGCUUAGGGUUUAGGUCAUAUGUGGAAGUGGGAAAGUAGCCGAGGAUUUUGGAGCAUAUCAUUAAGCACAUGAAGCAAGAGGCUCAUUAAGCAACACCUCAUCCCUCCUUGAUAGUAUUGGCUUUUCUUAUGGACUCAAUGUGAUCUUGGAUCACUAAAAUGUAAAAUGAGGAGUCUUGAGCUUGAAGCUUUAGCCAAUCCUUUGUCCUUAGCAUCUUGAAGGAGUUCCCACAACCUUUAGUCCCUGCCACUCUGAAACAUGCUAGAUAGAAAUGUUAGUCCAACAAGAGAUAUGUUGUCAUCAAUUAUCAAAACCACCUAGGGAGCACUUGUGCUUUCAAUCUCCCCCUUUUUGGUAAUUGAUGGCAACAUACAUCAAAGCUUUAGAUAAAGAUAUAAAGAACAGCAAGUAAAGCUUUGGAAGGACAUGUAACAAGCAUAGACUCCCCCUACAUGUAUGCACUCAUGUAAAUAUGAAAUAUAGAGGCAUGUGAGAGCAUAACCAUGACAGAGUAGGCAAUGUGUUACAUGUAUCUUGGCCAUAUGCAUCAGAGCAAAAGAUUAUCAAGGAAAAAUACCUUCAUGCUCAUGAGUCCUUCUUGCAAACAGUAUGUACAUAAGCAAGAACUCCUCAUACUCAUGAUUUUGAUGCAUAUACUUACCUUGUGGUCUUGAGUUGGCUUUGGAUGGAAUGAACCUGCACAAACAAAGUUAGAUAACACAGGUACAUUCACUAGCCAGAGCAAACAAAAGAAACCACAAGAAUACCAAGACUGGGAUGACAUGUAGAGAGUGAGUAUAAGGUACCACAUUGGAUUCAACAUGUCCCCAAGAAUAAAGAUAUGCAAUGAAUUUGACUGAUUUCUUUCCCUUAGGUGUCUUGCUCCCCCUGAAUCUUACAUGGGAUAUUGGGAGAAGAUAAGGAACAGCAAAUCAGAGCUGGAAGAUACAAAUGAACAUGUCUUUCCCCCUAAAAAGACAUGUGACAUCUCUCCUCUUGAACAUCAAGCAUCAAGCAUCUGGGAUCCUUGAGUAUUCUCUCCCCCUGGAAGUCUCUCUCUCCCCCUUAACUUGUAGGUUUGGUCCUUGAGACUUUUUCUCUCCCUUGAUGUGAUCUCUCUCUCCUACAAGCUUUGAUGUGAUCUCUCUCUCCCCCUUUGACAUCAAUUUACAAGAAGGGCUUUCUGGAAUCCGUAGUAUAGGUUUGGUCCUUGAGACUCAGCACAAAGCAAAGGAUAAAAUUGUGAUGCUUGUAGAGGACAAGAUUCAUUGAGUGGAGCUGGAUCAGAAGAAAUGUAGAACAAGUGGCAAACUGUUUUUCUGAUUGCAAAGUCGGUGGCACCGAGUGGCAUAUUUCGGUGGUACCGAAAAGAUUCGGUUGGACCGAAAAUUGCAAGUCGGUGAAACCGAGUUUACACAGAGAAAAACACUUGUCACCUCAGCUCACUAGACAUGUAGGAUCUCACAAAGAUUUGCAAUGAAUUACCUGAAGGAUUUGCAAGGAAUUAAAUGCAGAAAAUGCAGAACAAAAACAAAGAGAAAAGAGAAGAAACUGAAAGAUCUAGAUGAAGUUUUUUUUUGAAAAGGGAGAGAGAAAAUAAACAUGCAUGAGACAAAUGCAAUAACACAAAGAAAGAACACAAGAGAGCUUCAUCUAGAGUUGGGCGGUGACAUAGUCACCUAUGUUAGAGUAUAUUGACUUAGGAGUCAAGUGAGAACACUUGAUCAUAGGUCAUACUCAUCGUUUAAGCUCAAAAUGGGGUUACCAUUUUUCGUAUAAACAUCUUGAUGUAUUCACAUCUUGUUGAGUUUCUUUGACUCAUGUCUUGGAGUAAAGCUUCCCUAAGAUGGAAUAACAUACCUUGGGUGGUGGUGUGGUUCUUGCUCAUGUAGUUGAACUUGUGUGGGUGCUCAAGGUUGAUGUAGCUCAUCAAGAGUUGGGAGCACCACUUGGAGUUUGAGUUCAUCUACCUACAUGGGUUAGUUCUUGCAAGGAAGAGCACUUGUGUAUCCAAAAAUGACAAUCAUGAAGCUUAACAUAGAAUUUGUCAAAGGAUAUGUUUGAAUGGUUUUGUGCUUCCUUGUCUUCAACCACCAUUGUGUAGAGUCUUGGUGAUGUAGAGAUUGCUCAAGAUGUGAGUGAUUCGCAAUCUCAUGGAAUUAGAUUCAACCAAGCACCUACAUGGGUUAGACAACAUGCAAGGUACAAAUAUAUCCAAGACAUAAGAUAGUUAUCAUAAGAGAUAUAUCAUGGAUUAGUCAUAAGCUCAUGUCUUGCAUGUAUCCAAUGGAGUUUCUACUCCAAGUUCAAAGCAUCAAUGAUGUUUAAUUCUCCUCUCAACCUGCAAAACACUUUCUCAUCAAGAGGUUUAGUAAAUAUAUCCGCUAAUUGCUUAUCGGUGCAAACAUGCUUAAGAUUAAUGUCACCCUUAGCAACAUGAUCUCGAAUGAAAUGAUGACGAACUUCAAUAUGAUUAGUUCGAGAAUGUUGUACAGGAUUAUGACCAAUUUUGAUAGCACUUUCAUUGUCACAAAGCAGUGGAACAUGUUUCACAUAAAUCCCAUAAUCUUUAAGAGUUUGGGUCAUCCAAAGUAAUUGAGCACAACAUGAACCAGCGGCAAUGUAUUCCGCUUCGGCGGUGGAUAAGGAUACCGAGUUUUGUUUCUUGGAAGACCAAGACACAAGGGAUCUACCAAGAAAUUGACAAGUACCCGAAGUGGACUUUCUAUCAACCUUGUCUCUGGCAUAAUCCGAGUCGGAAUAGCCAACAAGAUCAAAAGAAGACCUCUUAGGAUACCAAAUGCCAAAAUUUGGUGUAUGGAUUAAAUAUCUCACUAUCCUUUUUACAGCCUUAAGAUGACAAUCUUUAGGAGCAGCUUGAUAUCGUGCACACAUACACACACUUAGCAUAAUAUCGGGACGUGAAGCACAUAGGUAUAACAAUGAACCAAUCAUAGAGCGAUAAACCUUUUGAUCAACUGGUUCACCAUCUUUGGUCAAAUCAUUAUGUCCACUAGUAGGCAUGGGUGUAGACAUACCUUUGCAUUCUUGCAUAUUGAACUUCUUGAAUAAGUCCUUGGUGUACUUUGUUUGAGAGACAAAUGUACCUUCCUUAGUUUGCUUGAUUUGCAAACCGAGAAAGAAUUUGAGUUCACUCAUCAUAGACAUCUCAAACUUCUCUGACAUUAGCUUUCCAAACUUUUCACUAAAGAGAGGGUUAGUUGAACCAAAUAUGAUAUCAUCGACAUAAAUUUGGCAUACAAAUAGUUCUCCAUUAACCCUUUUAGUAAAAAGAGUAAAAUCAAUUUUACCAAUUUCAAAACCACUUGUAGUAAGGAACUUGGUCAAGCAUUUAUACCAUGCUCUAGGAGCUUGUUUAAGACCAUAAAGAGCCUUGUGAAGUUUGUAAACAUGAUUUGGUUUCUUAGGAUUGAUAAAGCCUGGAGGUUGUUUGACAUAAACUUCCUCCUCUAUUUCACCAUUUAGAAAAGCACUUUUAAUGUCCAUUUGGUACAAGGUGAUAUUAUGGUGAUUAGCAUAGGCAAGUAAGAUGCGAAUGGACUCAAGUCUAGCAACGGGAGCAUAUGUCUCACCAUAGUCCAUACCUUCGACUUGUGUGUACCCUUGGGCGACGAGACAUGCUUUGUUGCGAACCACUUGUCCAUCUUCAUCUUGCUUGUUGCGAAACACCCAUUUGGUACCAAUGAUGUUGUGGUUGUUGUCGGGCUUCUCAACCAAUGUCCAAACUUGGUUUCUCUCAAAAUUAUGUAGCUCUUCAUGCAUAGCGUUUAUCCAAUCCGGAUCUUCCAAUGCUUCUUCAACCUUCAUAGGUUCAAUGCUAGAGAUGAAUGAAUAGUUUUCACAAAAGUUAGCUAAACGAGUUUUUGAGCGAGUGAUUCUCCCGGUUUGUAUAUCAUUGAGGAUUUGCUCAACGGGAUGAUCUUUGGCAAUUCUUGCUCGAACUCGUGAGAGCUUUUGCUUGGGUCUUCGUUGAGCAUCUUCUUCAUCUUGUUCUUCUUCUUGGCCUUCUUCAUUGUUGACGUCGUCGUUCUCUUGUCGUGGUGGAGAAGGAGGUUGUUGAUGUUCGUCUUGAUGUAUUUCCUCGUUUUCUUCAUCUUGGUGUGUCCCACUUGUGGAUGCUUCCGUGUCGAUUCUUGGUUCACCUUGUCGUGAAGUAGAAGCUUCCACUUGGACGGAUGAAGUAUUCUCCUUCACCUCCGUUGGACAAAUUUUGCCAAUGGACAAGUCUUGAAUUGCUUCUGAGGGGUCUUUGUCUCCUACAUCAAUUGGCAAUUUAUCUACUUGCGAGCCAUUAGAUUCAUCAAACUUCACAUCUACCGUCUCUUCAACCUUUUGGGUGAAAUUGUUGUAGACACGGUAAGUGUGAGAGUUUGAGCCAUAACCAAGUAGAAAACCUUCAUGAGAUUUAGGAGCAAACUUUGAACGACGAUGCUUAUCAAGAAUGUAGCACUUUGAGCCGAAUACUCGAAAGUAUCCAACUUGGGGUUUGUUACCGGUGAGAAGCUCGUAUGCCGUCUUGCCGAGUAGCUUGUGAAGAUACAAGCGAUUUGUUGCGUGACAAGCUGUCUCAACCGCUUCUGCCCAAAAGUGCUUUGGCGUCUUGUAUUCAUCAAGCAUCGUUCUUGCCAUUUCGAUGAGCGUCCGGUUCUUCCUCUCAACAACUCGAUUUUGUUGAGGUGUGUACGUGGCCGAGAACUCGUGUGAAAUCCCUUCUUCGUCAAGAAAGGUGUCCACAUUUGCGUUCUUGAACUCCGUUCCGUUGUCACUCCGAACCUUCUUGAUCUUCAUGUCAAACUGAUUUUGGGCCUUCCUAGCGAAGUUUCUGAAGAUCUUCUGGACCUGCGACUUGUCAUUAAGAAAGAACACCCACGUAAAUCUUGAAAAAUCAUCAACUAUAACUAGACCAAAAGAAUUUCCACCGAGACUCUUGUAGGCGUUGGGACCAAAAAGAUCCAUGUGAAGUAGCUCGAGUGGCCUCCGUGUGGUCAUGAUGUUCUUCACGGGAUGUCUUCCUCCAACCUGUUUACCUGCUUGACAAGCACUGCAAAGUCUAUCCUUAUCAAAUAUGACAUCGUUAACUCCAAGGAUAUGAUUUCCUUUAAUAAGCUUGUCAAGGUUUCUCAUGCCAACGUGACCUAGUCGUCUAUGCCACAACCAACCUUUUGAGGAUUUAGCAACAAAGCAAGUUUUAGGUUGUGCCUUUUUAGAGAAAUCGACGAUGUAAAGAUCACCUCUACGCAUACCGUUCAAAACCAUUUUAUGAUUGUCUCGACGAAAUACUUGGCAAUCUACCUCAGUAAAUAGGACAUUCAAACCGAAAUCAGCAAGUCUAGAUACUGAAAGUAAGUUGUAGCCAAGAGAUUCAACGAGCAUGACAUUUUGAAUGGAACUAUCAUGUGAGAUGGCCACCUUACCAAGGCCAACCACUUUACCCUUUGAAUUAUCACCAAAGGUGACAUAUUUUCGAGGGCCGUCAUUUUCAGCAAGCUCACGAAACAUCUCUUCAUCUCCGGUCAUACGAUCAGUACAUCCACUAUCAAGAACCCAUUCCUUUCCUCCUGAUUCAUAUCCCCGAAGAUUUGCCAUAAGACCAAAAUGUCUCAUUGCAUCAUCAAGAUCGAAGUCACUAUCAUCAUCAUCAUAGUAUCCAUGUUCAUCAUGAUCUUGUGACUCAUCAUUUCCUAGAGAGGGUAAUUCAUUAGAUAAAUGAUCAUCAAAGUGGUCACUUCUAUGAAUUCUUAUAGCUUUGAAUAUGAUAUCAUUAAUGAUUCCAACAUCUCCUUUAGCAAGCUUAAGAUUGGUAAGUUCAAAUAGACAAUUACCAAAACUAGGAUCACUAGAGUUCAUCUUACUCAAGGCAAUAGAUUUAUGGAGAAUUUCAUCCAAAGUUUUCAAGGAAUGAUCGGGAAAUCAUUCCUCAAGAAAUUUCCAUAUAGUAUAGGCACAAUUAAGAGUAGGCAAACUAGCAAUCAAAUUUUUGGGCAAUCCUCUAAUGAUGAGCUCAAUAGUUCUAAGAUUGCGAAUCAUGUCAAUAUCUUCAUCUAGGGUAGGAUGCAAAGGAUCAAUAUGAGGUGCACAAGGGCUAGCAAUAUACUUGUUCAAAUGAUAUUGAUUGAAGAUUACAAGCAUCUCAUUUUUCCACUCACGAAAAUACUCUCCAUCAAGAAUAGGCACUCUAUGUCUAAGACUCCCUAAUGUAGACACAUCCAUCUUCCUCCAAUGGUGAUUAAACCAAGGCAAUGGAGACCAAAGCUCUGAUACCACUUGUAGGAUCUAGAAGUAGAUGUGUCUAGAGGGGGGUGAUUAGACACUUAGUGCUAAAGUUGCAAUUUUUAAGCUUUUUCGGUUUGAGUGGAGUUUUAGACACAAUUUCAACACACACAAUACAUAUCAAGCAAGCAUGCAAAGAGUAUAUGAGCAGCGGAAUGUAAAGCAUGCAACUUGCAAGAAUGUAAGGGGAAGGGUUUGGAGAAUUCAAACGCAAUUGGAGACACGGAUGUUUUUCCCGUGGUUCGGAUAGGUGGUGCUAUUCUACAUCCACGUUGAUGGAGACUUCAACCCACAAAGGGUAACAGUUGCGAGAGUCCACGGAGGGCUCCACCCACAAAGGGCAACGGUUGCGUGAGUCCACACAGGGCUCCACCCACGAAGGGUCCACGAAGAAGCAACCACCCACAAAGGGUCCACGAAGAAGCAACCUUGUCUAUCCCACCAUGGCCAUCGCCCACACACGACUUGCCUCACUAGCGGUAGAUCUUCACGAAGUAGGCGAUCUCCUUGCCCUUACAAACUCCUUGGUUCAACUCCACAAUCUUGUCGGAGGCUCCCAAGUGACACCUAGCCAAUCUAGGAGACACCACUCUCCAAGAAGUAACAAAUGGUGUGUAGGUAAUGAACUCCUUGCUCUUGUGCUUCAAAUGAUAGUCUCCCCAACACUCAACUCUCUCUCAUAGGAUUUGGAUUUGGUGGAAAGAAGAUUUGACUGGAAAGCAACUUGGGAAGGCUAGAGAUCAAGAUUCAUAUGGUAGGAAUGGAAUGUCUUGAUCUCAACACAUUAGUAGGUGGUUCUCUCUCAGAACAUAUGAGUUGGAAUUGUGUAUGUGUUCUGAUGGCUCUCUCCCCGAAUGAAGAGGUGGUGGAGGGGUAUAUAUAGCCUCCACACAAAAUCCAACCGUUACACACAGUUUUCCAAUCUCGGUGGGACCGAAUCAACAAACUCGGUCGGACCGAAAUGUAAACCUAGUGACCGUUAGAGAUUUUCGGUGGGACCGACUGGAUCAACUCGGUGGGACCGAUGUGCUAGGGUUAGGGUAAAUCCAAAACUCGGUUUGACCGAUUACUCAAACUCGGUGGGACCGAUUUGGGUAAUAAGUGAAACUGAGAUUUGGUCAAGCAAACUCGGUGGGACCGAUUGCAUAUCUCGGUGGGACCGAGAAUAUUGCAAUGGGUAACAGAGAGUUUGCAAGCCCAUCUUGGUGAGACCGAUAUCCCAUCGGUGAGACCGAACUGAUUAGGGUUUGGCAAUGGCUUAUAACAAGUGAAACUCGGUGGCGCCGGAUAGGAAGAAUCGGUAGGACCGAGUUUGGGUUAGGGUUUAGGUCAUAUGUGGAAGUGGGAAAGUAGCUGAGGAUUUUGGAGCAUAUCAUUAAGCACAUGAAGCAAGAGGCUCAUUAAGCAACACCUCAUCCCUCCUUGAUAGUAUUGGCUUUUCUUAUGGACUCAAUGUGAUCUUGGAUCAGUAAAAUGUAAAAUGAGGAGUCUUGAGCUUGAAGCUUUAGCCAAUCCUUUGUCCUUAGCAUCUUGAAGGAGUUCCCACAACCUUUAGUCCAUGCCACUCCAUUGUUGAACUUAUCUGAAACAUGCUAGAUAGAAAUGUUAGUCCAACAAGAGAUAUGUUGUCAUCAAUUAUCAAAACCACCUAGGGAGCACUUGUGCUUUCAGGAAGGUGAUAGGUUGUUAGUGCAAAAGUAAAACCAAGGUUGGGCCUUGCUGGAGGAGUUUUAUUCAAAGCGAACUGUCAAGGGGUUCCCAUUAUAACCCAACCGCGUAAGGAACGCAAAAUAAAGGAACAUAACACCGGUAUGACGGAAACUAGGGCGGCAAGAGUGGAACAAAACACCAGGCAUAAGGCCGAGCCUUCCACCCUUUACCAAGUAUGUAGAUGCAUUAAGUAAAUAAGAUAUAUUGUGAUAUCCCAAACAAAUCCAUGUUCCAACAUGGAACAAACUCCAAUCUUCACCUGCAACUAACAACGCUAUAAGAGGGGCUGAGCAAAGCAGUAACAUAGCCAAACAAUGGUUUGCUAGGAAAGGCGGGUUAGAGGCUUCACAUGGCAAUAUGGGAGGCAUGAUAUAUUAAGUGGUAGGUAUCGCGGCAUAGCAAAAGAGCGAGCAACUAGCAAGCAAAGAUAGAUGUGAUUUCGAGGGUAUGGUCAUCUUGCCUAAAAUCCCGCAAGGAAGAAGAACGAGUCCAUGAAGAAGACAAGCGGACGUAGUCGAAUGAAUCCUCACAACUCCGGAACGGAACCAAAGCUAACGAGAGAAGUGACCCGGAAAGAAGCAAGCAACAUAGUAAACAACCAUCACAUAAUCAUGACAUGAUGCACAACCAAGUAGGAUGCAUGUCCGGUUAAUGAGGCAUGUCAUGGCAAGGUGCACAAAUAACACUACAAAUUAAGUGGAGCUCAAUAUGCAACGGAGUUGCAUAUUGAAGAAAACACCACAUGACUUAUUUAGUUCUCUCUCGUUUAGGUACUCAACAAUAUUAAAUGUUGGUUAGCAUAGCAAGAGGUGAGGCAUAACAAAACUAUACUGUCUAGACAAAUUAAAUGGGGCCGGAUAUAACAAACAACAAAUUCGGUAAAUCCCCAUAUGCAUUAGCAAUUUAAAGCAACAACAAUUUUAAACAUUUUAAAUGUUAUUAUCAUGAUGCGGAUGACAUGCAAGUUUUAUGCAAUAUUUAUUAAAAAUUGACAUGAGCAUGAUGAGAGCAUUUGUCAUCGUGGCGGAAACAAAAGGGGUGCCACGGCGACGAUAAUGAAACGGUGCCAUGGCAACGUUCUGGUUCCGACAACUCAUUGAGACGCCGGUGCAACAGAAAGUGUGGCGGGAGAAUGCAAAAGAUGGUGGGGUGAUCCCGGUUACCGGGUGUCCCAUGAGUCGAUGGCAAGGAAGCGAGAGACACUACGGACACGGUGCAGACAAAGGGUACAUGCCAUACAACACAACAAUCAUUCUUGGAAGGUCAUCUCGGCGGUUAUACCUUUGUAGCGUGCAUUAUCGGAGCGGUUCGCGUUCGAUGCGGUGUAGGGGAAGUAGAUGUUCUCGGGAUGUCCAUAGUGGAAUUAGUGGUACUAUUGGCCAUCGAUGAUCAAUGGGACGGUAGUGGAAGUAGAGGUACACGACGUCUUGUCCAAAAUCAUGGCGGUAGUAGUUGUACCCCUGUUGUCAUCGAACUUGAUGGAACCAAUGUCCUCGAGGGUAGUCGUGGGAAGUAGUCGUACUCGCGAACUUAUCGGAUCCACGGGGACGGUAGUUGUUCCCGGCGCUUGUGACUCGCGGUACUUCGGGCAACAGUAGUCGUACACGUCCAUAGAUGUUCGGGGUCGCGACAUGGAACUUGACGUCCACGGGGUCUUCGAGGGUCAACGGUAGUGGUACUCGGGUCGUCGGUGACGGUAGUUGUUCUAUGCAUCGGGCAUCAAUGUACUUGUUGUUCUUAGCGAUUCCGAAGACGGCGGUAGUGGUACACUUUCGAAAAGGGACUUGACGCAUCAAAGGUCUUCGGUGCCACGGUACUUGUAGGUCCGGGUCUUGACGUAUCCAAAAUGGUCAUCGGUGGUGGAACUUGGCGCUGUUGUGGUGGACGUUCGGGCACCGUGCGUCGUGGUACUUGGCGUUCUCAUCCUUGUCAAUCCAAAACAACACUAACCCCAAAAGGCCUCUGGUGGGCAGUAGGAAGGACUAGCGGUGCGUGAGCAGCGGCAGGAAGCGGGCACGCUCAAGGGAGAGCAGCAGAGGCCAGUAGCAACAGACGAUGGUGGAUUUGGGCAACAGGCGCGACGACGCUGGGAACCGGGCGGACGCAAGCAGGUCCGGGCGGCGCCAGCAGCAGAGUUCGUCGGAGAGAGCAGCUCGGGCAGGAGUUCGUCAGCACGGGGAGGAGGCUGGCCGAGGCCAUGGACGCAGCAGCAGGGCGACGCCGGACAUUGAACGGCGAGGGUGAGGGGGGUCCAGCGGAGCUCGGGCUCCCGGCUAGAAGGACGAACGGGGAGGAGGAGAUCCGGCGCGGGCACGGGGUUCUUGAAGGUCGAGGUCGCCGAGUAGCCGCGGAGGUGGACUUGGCGCUUGCUCCAGCGAAAAGACGGACGACGAGGCGUCUGAGGCAGGGAAGGAGCACGGGCGACGCGCUUGGGGGCCGGCACGGUGGUCUCCAUGGUCGUGCGGUCCACGAGAAGGUACAUGGCAGCGCCCCUCGCCGGAGGCAGGGAGGCAGCAGUGAUCCGGCGAGGCGGUGCAGUAGAGGUAGGCAAGGGGACGCAAGCUCCUAGCACUAGCUACGGGGAGCUGUGCGGGUGUGUGUGUGUGCGCGGCGGCGGUGAGGGAACGAGAGGAGAAGCGGGGAUCGAGGCUAGGGAGCGGCGGUAGCGGGAGGACGCGAGGGAGCGAUGGGAGAGGGAGAGAGCGAUGCGAGAGAGGCCGAGGCCUAGGGUUAGGGCAUGCGGGCUGGGCCUGCUGGAGCACAGCUGGGCCUAGCAGGCCGGCCCAGUGGGGAGGGUGCCGGCUGAAGGGCUUGCGGGGUUGGGCUCUGUCUCUCUCUCUCUUAACCCCUCUUCUAUUGCCCAAAAAAAGAAAAAAAACAACAAAGGAAAGAAAAAGAAAAGAAGGGCGGAGACAGGAUUUGGGCACGGGGAUAAUUUUCCCGAACUCAUAAAAAUAUGCUUGUUCCGAGAAAAUAGAAAAGGUGAAGAUUGAAAGAUGUAACAUUCAAACUCGUUUGAAUUUAAUUCCAACGGGUUUGAACUAGGACCAGAUUUAAGAGUGGCCAAAAUAUUGAGAUUUUUGAUGGAGCUCCGAAAAUUGAAGAAAGAGUUUAUGGGCAAAGUUUGAGGACCAAACUUGAAGCGGAAAAAGGCAUGUGAUUAUUUGCAAGUGUGUUAAAGGUAAUUCCAAAAAAAUGGAAUAAUUUUAUUAUAGCUCCCUAAUAGUAUUGAGAGGCUUUAAUAUGUUAUAAAGAGAAAUCACAAGUGAAUUCCCUCGAUUUAAAUGGAUCGAAGACCCAUACAGUUUAUUUAGUUGAGUUAAGAAAAAGAAAUGGCAUGAUGGCAUGAUGACAUGAUGCAAUGCACACGAUGCAAAGAUAAAUGCAAUGAACCAAACAAAUCACACGACGGAACCCGUAAUCCCUGGAAGGCAUCUGAAGCUCCGGUCUUGGGGCGUCACAACACUCCACCACUACGAGAGGAUCCCGUCCCGAGAUCUAGGAUGGCACCGGAGAGAAAAGGAGGGGAAGAUAAGAGGUAAAACUAAGUUGCUUCUUUGACAAACGAGUGAAACCACGAACCUUGGGAGGUUGAGCAAAUUGAAAGAAAGAAUACAACGAAGAUGAACAAAGUUGAAAACAAUCCGUUAGAAAAGAGGAACAAGGAACAUUACGGGAACCUUGUAGGUUGGCAGACAUAAGAAAAGGGUUUCAAUGGACAAGAAGUACAUGCAAACACUCCCGUUGAAACAAGAUGUACAAGGAACGAUAAAGAUCAAUUAUGACAACACUCCGGUUGGAAAUGGAAGGUAAAGACUAUGAACUUGGCAAAAAUGAAAGCACUUAGAUGAGACUUUGGUUAGAAGAGGAAUGAUAGCCACAACACUCCAGUUAAAACAAAAUAGAGAAGGAAUAAGGAUGAUAUAAUUUGGACAUCACUCCGACUGUAAAUGGAAGGAAUUGAAGACGAGCUUGAAAAGAUGAGAAGAUACUUGACGAAAUCCACAACACACUGCCUCCGGAACUAUUUAAAGAAAGGCACAAUGGGUAAGAAAGAUUUCAGACAGCACUCCGUUUGAGAAGGAAGGCAAAACUUGAUAAGAUGAGAGAACUUGGAAAGAUGGCACGCCACUCCGGUUAAAUGGAUAAGCAUGAAAAGAACAUGGUCCUAACAAUCCGAGAUGAUGAGUGAAGAGAGCAACAUCACAAUGCCUCCGGAACGAAUGAAUGGAAACCUAGAUGGUUGGAAAGAAAAGAACGGAAAAGAAGAAUGACAACUCUCGCAAAUAAAAUUCAAAGAGCAUGUUUACAAAGAAAAGGUUGAACGGAGUUGUUGGAUUAUCAACAACGAAAAGAGUAAGCUUGAAGUGGGCUUAUGGAAAACAUCCCAAAAUUAUGAGGUGAAAUUCUUCCACUAACGAAACAAUAGAUUGGUUGAUAUCAACAAGGAGACGAUAAACUUAUUCACCGGGAGGAUAAAUGAAGAACUUGGGUCAUUUAUGAGCACCAUAAAUAGCAACAAUCCUUAGGGAAGGCUUUAGGUGAAACAUGGCACAAGAUAACUCCAACGAAGAGGUUGAUUGGUUGAAAAGAUGUCUUGAGCGAAGAGAAAAUGAUGGAUUUAGAUAUGUCACUCUUGAAAAACUUGUGAAUCGUGAAACAUGAAGGGAAAAUUAUCAAUAAUGACAUAACACCACCUCAAAAGAUAAGAUAGAACGAAGAGGACUUUGGGAUGCAAGAUGCAGAAUGCUUGAACUCCUCUGAAAAGAAUCUCAAUGAACACUUCGAGAAGAAAUAGAAUCCUUGAUCAACCAUCAUGUAGAGCCUCCAUGAAGAACUCCGGUAAGAAAAUAAUGAACAAACGAAAGGAAAGAGAAGUUGAAAACACAAGGUGAAGAUUUGCAAUGAUUAGAUGGAUCUUCGUGAUGAUAUAAUGCGAAAAACAUGGAACUCCGGAAAAGAAAAGAUAAAGAAUCUCGAACCGAGAAUGUGAUAUGAUGAACCACUCCGGAAAGCAGAAAUUGGAUUUACUCGAUGAAACAAGAAUAAGAAUUACAUUAUGCUUAUCCUUCAUCAAUUUAGAUUGAUGACAAGUAUGGAUUUGGCAUACUACUUAUUCUCGUUGAAAGGAUUAAGAGAGAUAUGGCGCAAACUAGAGAAGAUCUUCAAUGAACCACCGGUAGGAUUGAAACAACGAAUAAAUUGAUAUGAUAAACGAAGGAAGAAGAAUCUUGGAAGAACCAUCGUAAGAAUUAAAAAUGAAAGAAGAUACUUGAGAAGAAUUUAGAUACAAGUGAAACGAAGAGAUCAUGAACUGAUUAGAGGACAUUUGAAUGAUGCACCGGUAUGAUUUGGAGAACGAGAGCUGAAAGCUGAGAAUGAAUAAUCUUGCAAUGAUGGUCUUCGGAGAAUCAAACUGAAAAGACUCUUGAGUUGCUACGGAUGGUUGAAAAGAAUUCUCACAAUCGGAAAAAAUUAUGAGCGGAUGACAUCAAGCUAGAACCGCGAAUCUUGAGAUAACGAAUAAGAUUGCAGAGAAAAACUCUUCUUCGGUCUUCACAUGUUGAGAAUGAUGACGAGAAACACUACCAAGAAUUUUUAGACACUCCGGGAGAAUCAAAAGCGAAGAGGUUGAGCCAACGAUGAAAAGAAUUUGACAGAUCUUGGAGAAAGGCAUUUGACUGAUGAAAAUUCAUUCUUACGUCAAACUUUGAAAUGAAUUCGAGAAUAGCUCCGAGAAAAAAUUAGAAGAGUCAGGUAAGAUCCUGGGAAAAGACCUGUGGGUUAGGGCCCACUCAAAAGAAACACCGUUGAAGGAUUUAAAAGAUAUAUUGCAUCGGUUGAAUUAAAUGGCUUGAAUGAGAUAACAUCCUCAAAAUAGCUUGAACGGAUACAAAGUGGAAACACGAAUCUUCGAGAUAUCUUCAGCACUCCGGAAAAAUUGAAUAGCGAGGAGUGGAUGAUUAAGAGGUGCACCGGCAUGGGAAAGCAUUUGAAACAAAGAAAGGAUAUGAUCAACCAAGCUUGACUUGAAUCCACCGGGGAAGAAAAGAACGAAAAUGAUGAACUUGAAGCUCCGUUACAAUCUUCAAGAGAAUCACCGGAUACGAACAUUGAUUGAAAAGAAUGGAGAGACUUCAUAUGAGUAAAAUGAUACUUGAUUAAGAAAUCUGAGUCCUUGAAGAAAAAGGGGUGGCUGGGCGGGAAAACAAAGACAACUUGGGACAAAUGAAACAAACACCAUUGAGAAAGCUUUGAGUUGAACUUGCGGAUGUUGGAAUGAUCGGAUCCACUUGACGAGAAGCACACCGGUUGAAAAGGAUUGACAUGACAAUCUCGAUUAUUAGGAAGGAUUAGUAUUCACAUAGGAAUAUGAGAACACCACUAAGGAAAAGGCAUGGAAUCAACACUUGACAUUGAAGCAACUCGAAUACCACAACUGAAAACAAAACAAAGGAUUGGCUUGCAGAAUAAGCUGGAACAAACAUAUGAUAGAGAUUUCGUCUGAAGUUUUCGUGGUGGGGCCCACACGGGCUCGAUCGUACAGCACCAUCAUGUACAAGGCAGUGCACAUGACAUACGAAGCGUCCCCGAGUCAGCAUAGCCAAGGACUCUUUAAGACACAACGAGACCACUGUAAAACCAACUGUGGAUAGGCGGACCACUAGACGUCGAACCCCAAUCUCAUAUCAUGCAUCUGUCGGAAAGAUAUCCUAGGAGCUACUUGAAUUCCCACUUAUAAACUCCUGAAACUUUCUGGUUAUGCAAUCAGAUGUUGGGGAUACAGGGGAAGCAUAAUAUCUCACCCAAAACUAGCAAAUCCUACAUCCAGCUGUAUCCAUCCUUCAACACAUAACCAAGAAACCUUCGGAAACCAUUUACCUCAACCUUCAAAAAGCAUCCGUUAUACGAGUUAUGGCAAUACUCCCAAACUCCCGCCCCAGUACUGGGUGGCGUCGAGGUUAUCUCACCAACAACUACAUAAAAGAGAUUUUCGAUGUCGGCGAAACUCAGGUAUUCCAGAACUGCAAGAUAAAAUUGUGACGACAACACCUCGGAGCUUAACUCCACGGGACACCGCCACAACCUCUAAAUGUCAGGAGCCACCAAGAACAAUGUUCUCGUCAGAAAACCAUCGGAACGAUUCCAAGAUACCCGCGUGAUCCUAAAAAAAAUCGUGAAAUUUUAGGAGAGAAGAGUCAAAACUCUACGUCAAGAGGCCUCACCAGAGCGAUGAAGGGACUGAAGAGUAAAAAGAAUCCUACUCUCCGAUAUAUAUAAUCCUAUAAGACUCAAAACAUUUUUCUAGACUCAACAACGCCAGUGAUUCGAUCAAGCAGGGGGCUCCUAAGUCGGGGAAUGCUCUCAAAAAGGAGUUCACUCCUUUGUGGAUGUACUUCAUUAGCUUUUGCCCCGCGGUUCACUUGCCCUCGUCACUGCGGUCCACUCUCGUUUAUAAAAAAUGUUGAAAAAAAGACAACAAAAACUCGUUUGAGAAAAAAUUACAUUCGACAAAAUAAAUCAUGUUCACUUGACCGUCUGAUGAAGUGCGGUUUCUAGUCUGAAGUAGUGCGUUCUUCUGUCUAAUGAAGUGCACACGUCGAUUUUAGUGCUUGUUUGAGAUAAAAAUUUCGUCUGAGAAAAGAAACCAUGAAGUUUACUUGACCGUCUGAUGCAGUGUGGUUUUUAGUCUGAAGCAGUGCGUUCUUCUGCCUGAUGAAGUGCACACGUCGAUUUUAGUGCUUGUUUGGGAAAAACAUUGUUUGAGAAAAGAAACCAUGAAGUUCACUUGACCGUCUGAUGAAGUGCGGUUUUUAGUCUAAAAGCAGUGCGGUUUUCUGUCUGAUGCGGUACAUACGAUGAUUUGAUGUCAUGAAAAAACAGUCUCCGCAUUUUGUUAAAAUAAAAAUUGCUCUUAAACCGCAAAGAAUCAGAGAGAGUGCUCUACAUGAAAAAGUUGCGUCUCAUUGAUAUCUUUCCAACGGCGCAUAAUUUGAAUUAUUUUGACAAGCGGUUUGUAAAAAUUUCGCGAAAAGCGGCCGCUGCCUCUCGUCGUCAGUCGCACGAUUUUCAAAAUUAACUAAAAACUCUAAGGAAUCUCAAAACCAUUUCAACAUAUGAAAGUUGCGCCUCGUCCGUAGCUUUCCAGCGGCGUAUCACACAUCUCGUUCUGACAAUUAGUUCAAAAACUGGAGCGAAAACAAUACACAAAUUGCAAAAAAAUCAAAAAAACAUAAUUCCGCGAUUUACUAAAUUUAAAACUGCUCUUAAACCGUAACAAAUUAGAGAAAAUAAUAGAUAUGAAAAAUAUGCACCUCGAUGAUAUCUUUCCAACAGCGUAUCAUUUGCUUCAUUCCGACAAGGGGUUUAGGAAAAAUCACGAAAUUACGCAUGCUGCCGCUCGUCGUCCGCCGCACCAUUUUUGAAACUGCUCUUAAACCGCGAGGAAUCUCGAAAAGUGUUCAACAUGGCGAAGUUGGGCCUAAUCCAUAGCUUUCCAACAGUAUAUUAUACGCCUCGUUUUGAUAAACGUUUAAAAAACUAGAGCGAAAUCAGUACCGGAAAAACACUGCGUGCAGUUUUUUUCCGACAAGAAAUUCACUAAUCUGUAUUGCAGUGCCCUUGCUACAGAAAAUACAGCACUGCAUUUUAUAUAGCAAGGGAACAUCUAGGCUAUUCUGUUUCGCGUAACAGAAUAUUAUUAUGUUACCCUACUUGAACUGACGGUUUCAGGCGGCUGUACUGAUGAUUUUCAUCACGUCGAAAUGAUCAUCUUUUCGUCGAAAUGGGGCGUGUAAUAUAUCAUUGGAAAGCUCUUGACAUGUACAUUACAAAUAUACUAGAUUUUUUUUGUAAAAUCAUCAUGGUUUAAGAGCAGUUUAAAAAAACAUUUUUUCAAAACCGAAAACGUGAAUCGUAUUUUGGACUUAAUUUUCAAACAGUUUGUAGGAAUUGAGCAAAUAAGACGGCGUUAGAUAGAUGGUGAAAAUCUGCUUCUUCCAUAUAUCUAACGUUUUUUCAAAUUCGGUAUGAUUGAAAAGUAAUUUGGAAAAUGGUGAAAUUCUGGGCGAAACGUAUUUUCGCAUUUUUUGCAAAUGGUUUGUUGGAUCGACGCAAAUGAUACGGUGUUGGAAAGCUAUGGAAAAUGCGCAACUUUUUCGUAUAGAAAUGUUUUUAUAGUUCCUUACGGUUUAAACUCGAAUUCAAAUACGGUCAAAUUUGAUUUCGAACGCGGUUUUUUUUAAAAAGUUUGUCGAAAUGGGGCAAAUAAUAUACCAUUGGAUAGCUAUUGAAAAUGCAAAACUUAAUCAUGUUGAACGUUUUCUCUACUUCGCAACCGUUUAAGAGUAAUUUUGAAUAAGGUGAAACUUAUUGUGUUGUUUUUCUGUCUAAAAAAUAGAGUAUUCGUACUGAUCUAUGUCUGUGUUUGUACUAAGGUAUUUUUCACAGAGUAAUGUUGAAUGGUUCUGAAAGAGUACUCGAACUUAUGUGCGUCUUGGUUUGUACUAAGCAUGCUUUCACAUACUAGAUUUUACUCUAUUUUCGAUAUGGUUUUCCUCGUAACUUUUCAACGGUUUACGAUCUUAUGGGACAGUUUUCCUCGUAACUUCUCAACGGUUUACGAUCUCAUAGUCCCCGAACUUGCAUGGUUUAUAUCGUUGAACUGAAUGAUAUAUUUUUUAAAUUUUUUUUAGCUCAGUAGUUUUUGCAACGAUGUUUUGGACUUCUCUCGUUUUGCGACUUGAACUUUUACCAUUUGAAUUUUCAUUGGGUUUGUUUUCGUUUGAGCUUUUUUCCCAAACUUAUCUGGGACGUUGUGUUGAACUUAUAACUUUUUAAAUUGUGAACUUGUUAUGUUUUUACAAUACCAAAGCUAGUAAAUAGUAGGAGAUUCACCCAACAAAGGGGCUAAUUACAUAAAGCAGGCACAGUAAUACCGCGGUCAAAUCGGUAGCUAGCAGCAACAGCAGUGAUUACCAACACGUACACAUGAACUGGUAACAAACUUGCACACAAUCUGACUAACAAAAAGAACACAAUACACAUGAACUGAUAAUCCGCACGGCUAAUGGCAGAGCUUUGUUGCACCUAGGUCCACCCGUUUACUGAUAGUAGAACUUCUCAGUUGUAUUAAUUCAGUCUGAUGUUUAAAUUUUCACCAUUUUGUCCUACAUAUUAGAAUACUAAGAACAUAUAUUUACUGAAGAUCCUACCAAUACAGAGUUACAGAAUAAAUUCUUUGUCCAAUGACAAUGUAAGAGUCACGGCCAGUAAUCACAAACAACACUAUCUCGACCGCCGGGCAUGUGUGUGCGGCAAGGGGAUGCAGAUACUCCGAUGAUAGAUGUGUUGAGACAACAAGUUCAUGCAGGAGACCUUGAACUACUCGCCUGUUGCCAUUGAUGGCUAUGGAUCAUGCAAAAUCCUGACCAAAAGAUCACAUUAUUUUCACGAAACUAAUCUCUUGAACUUGCUCCACGACAAUCUUUGAACCUCCUACAAGAACAAUCAUUAUUUUAAAGUUCACAUGAAUACCUACAAGCUAUGAUCACAAACAUUCACAAAACAUUCUUUUAAAGAGUUAUGCCGCAUUAAUUAGAACCAGAAAAAUAGGGUGAAACUAUGGCAUCUACACUACACAUCAUCUAGACUGUAGCAACAACUGUUUUGCAUGAUCAUUGGCAUUUGGAGUAGCAUACAACAACUGGACGGAGAAGGGAGAAAGAGUUGGACUGGUGUGAACCCUGUACCUAGACAGGGACCGGAGGAAGUAAUGCAUGGGGCGGCGGGGGCUGUCUGUAGUCCAACCUCCCCUGUGCCGCAGUUCAGAGAGAAACAAAUUAGUAAGAGAAAAGAGCAGUAGAGAGGAAAGAGAUACGGCAGAUGCAUUGACUACUGCUGUUCUUUUUGUUGAAGGGCAGAUGAAGAAACUCCCGUAGGUCGCAGCUGAAGAAUUACAGUGGCUUCAUAACAAGUUUAACAACACAACAUUUUGGCAGCAAGUACGUGCAG